rnacentral:lncRNA from 1 species
CAGGGAUUGUUUAAUCAUAAAUCUUCCUAGCCACAAGGAUAAGAGCAUUUUUUUUUGUGUGUAGCGAGACCAGGUAGUGCAUCAAAGUCUAUGUCUUCUUUUGUCAUCGAAAUCGGCAUUUCCCAAUCGAACUUGUAAAGAAGAUUAGAAAGGGUAAGUUCCACUACUGCAACUCCCAUAUGCAUUCCAGGACAAACCCUUCUACCAGCACCAAAUGGUAUGAGCUCAAAGUGUUGUCCUUUGUAGUCAAUGGGACUACCAAUGAACCUUUCAGGAUAAAACUCUUCUGGAUUUUCCCAAGUUUCAGGGUCUUUUCCUAUUGCCCAUGCGUUCACAUAAACUAAGGUUUUGGCAGGUAUAUCGUACCCACCUAUGUUGCACUUUCGGAGUGUUUCUCGUGGCACUAACAAUGGUGCUACUGGUUGCAAUCUGAAGGUUUCUUUUAUCACAGCUUUUAAGUAAGUCAAAUCUCGAGUAUCAUCUUCAUUUACAAAACCUUUUUUCCCAACCAAAUUCCUUACUUCUGCUUGAGUUUUCUUCAAACAUUUUGGAUUUUUCAUUAGGAAGCUCAUCACCCAUAUCACAGUGGCUGAAGAUGUGUCUGUUCCACCGAAAAACACAUUCUGCAUGGAAAACAAAGGGUUAUAUAUACAUACAAAGUGUGAGGCUCAAAAGUUAAUAAAUGAUAAAAAGUUUUGAGUAGAGAUGAAAUGACCAUAAGAAUAGCUUUUAUCUGAUCGAUAUUCAGAUCAAAUGAAAAGUCGCGAUCCUUCCAUGUUUGUAGUAACACGUCGAGUAUGUCCUCUUGUUGCGGUUUUAGCCUAUUAGGAUCCAAAUGUUCAUCAAUGAGUUGUUGAUAAAAAGUAUCAAGUUCUUUGAAAGAUUUUUCAAGACGACUAAGCAAUCCAGUGAAUCUAUCGAGCCAACCCAUGUAAGGAAAGUAGUCAGAAAAACUGAAGCUUGAGAGUAUGGCUUCACUUUCGUUAAGCAGCUCAUGGAAUCUGCUUCUUUCGGCUCCUUCUUCGUCAUACCUCUUGCCGAAGGCUAUUCUACAAAUUAUUGUACAGGAAAGUCACAUCACUGCGUCACUCAAGUUGACAGGUUUAGAAUCAACAGAUAAUUUGGAUAUUUUUUCAAUCAAGCGAGCAACUUCAUCUUCUCGUAUGGGACGAUACUGUUGCACUCUACUAAAGAGAUGUACAGAACAUAUUUUCCUAAUCUCCCUCCAGUAGUCAUUAUACGGUGAAAAAGCCAAAUCCGAGGCAUUGUAAGAUAGUUUAUGAGUACAACGUUGAUGAGGUCUACUGCAAAAGUCAAGGUCAUGGGUUUUCAUAACCUCAUUAGCCAUUUUUGCUGAAGAAACUACAAGGAUUGGCUUAAACCCAAAUCGCAAGUACACGAGAGAACCAUACUUAUGAGAGAGUUUGCUAAGAAAAAUAUGAGGGGCUGAGUUAUCAAACAACUGCAUAUGUAAGUGACCAAUCAAAGAAAGAGAAGGAGGGCUAGGGGGAAGACAAUUAGAAUUGCCAUGUUUUAGGAGAAUGAACAGGAACAAGGAGAGUGGUAGAAGAAAGACCAGAAACACUACUACUGCCAUUGUAAUCUACUCAAUGAAUCAGUUUGAAAGUUGAGAAGGAUGCUCCCCCCCUUAUAUAAGAAACUGAGAGCCGUAACCCUGUGGUGCUUAUUGACCAUUGUGGUUAAUUAAGAUAUAUCUUCAUGGACAGGAGUAGCGAGGGAGAAUAAGUUUCAAUCAACUUUGCGUCUAUAGUAUGAAUCAUGAAAGAUGCAAUGUAUUGUAGAAAUUUAAGCUUCGUAUUACGUAUUUAGCUCAAAAAUGAUACCAGAUGAUUAAAAACAAUUUAGCAUAGCAAGGAUUGUUCAGCAUUCAUUCUAUUACAUGAUACACAAAUUAAAAUAAAAAUAAAAACAAUACCAUUAAGGAUUGAAGAAAAGUGGAAGUUGAUUAUUUUUCCCGCAUUUGGAUAAAAUUUAAAUUUUAAAAUCGAUUUUGUAAGAGAGUUGUACUUGAAUAUAAUCUCAACCCAAAUAUAAUUAGAUUCAAAUCAUAAAAUGAAAAAGUAUACUUGUAAUUAUACUAAAAUAAAAAAAAAUUUCUCCUUUGGUUUUUUGCUUUGAAUUUUUUGAAAGAAUAUAUAAUUAUUUUAAAUUUAAAUUAUUUAUUUAGAGGGUUGGAUUUUAUUUGGGUUGAUUUAGGGGAAAAAAAACAGCUGUUUUUUUUCCUCUCUCCUUUUGCUAGUUUUUUUCUUUGAAUUUUCUAAAAGAAUAUAUAGCCAUUUAAAUUUAAAUAAUGUAUUUAUAGGGUUUGAUUUUAUUUGGGUUGAUUUAGAAUUUGUUUUUAUUAUAUUGUAGGUCAAUAAUGGUAGUAGGAAUGAUCGCAAAAUAAUAAGAAAGAAAAAUAAGAACACUUAGAUUUUACGUGAAAAAAUCUUUUCGAGAAAAAUCAUGGGUAGAGAUGGAGAAAUUCACUAAGAUUGAAAAAUAAUAAUACAAGAUGUUUUCAACUACACACAUUUUAAGGGUUAAACAACCAUGUUAUAAUCAAUGUCUAAUAAAAGAAAUAUAGCUCCCCACAUAUCCCCUAUUUUGCCUCUCUAUUUUAUUUCUUUAACAAAUGAAUUUCACCUUGAACUUUUCAGGCCAGAUCAAAUAAAAUUUAGGUCACACAACUCUAGCAGUACUUAUAUAGUGAAAAACUUUUCGGGCCAAUCACAAAGUAUAAAUGUUUGACUGAAAUUAUCAUGGAUUAAAAUAUGACAUCAUAUACUAUGUUAUAAUUAUUUUUCACUAAUUAAUUAAGAGAUAAAUAAUAAAAAAAUAUAUUAUCACAUAAUAUUAAAUAUUAUUUAAUCUUUAAUUAAUUAAAGGGUAAAUUACACCAACAGUCACUCAACUUUGGGGUAACUGACAAAACAAUCAUUCAGGUUUCAAUUCAAUCACUCAACUUUCAAAAAAUAAUAAAAAAAUCACUAAUGUUAUCAAAAAGUGCAAAAUUAGUCACUCAUUAACAUUUUCUGUUACAAACCUAACGGGACAGGUGACGUGGCCAAUUAAUUAGCUGAUGUGGCUAGUUAACUUGCCACGUUGGACAAGGCAAAGUUAGUGACUAUAUUUUUGUCCUUCUUUUUUGUUUUUUAAUAAAUGGCCCAAUAUUUUUUAAUUUUUAUGUAAAUGGCCCAAUAUGUUUAUAAUUCUUCUUCUCCAUCCCAAAGAUCUUGCCAUUGAUGCCUCCGCCACAACCAUCUUUGGCAUCACCAUUGUUGACCUCCAAACUACCACCACCUUAUAUUGAUCAUCCAAUCAUCCAUUCAACAAUGAACAAUCCAGAUCAAAAGAUGUUUGGAAAGCACCUAAGAAGAGCUCACCUUGUUCAAGCCUUAAAGAAAAAAAUGGUUCCUGCUAGAGAAAAGAAGAAUUGAGGAUUGGGAAGUGACGAAGAAAUUCAACUGGGUUGAACUUGCUGAAAGGGAACUCAAGAUUGAGCAGGUUGUUGGCAUUAAAAGAUUUGUGCGAAGUAGUGAAGGCAAAGGUGUUGGCAUCGUGGAAUCGAUCACGAGAGAAAAAUUUAGGGGAAGAGUAAAUGAAGGUUGGGAGAAGGGAUUGUUUGGAAGAAUCCGAAAGCAAAGCCAUUGCUGCAAAAUUUGAGAAAACAAAAAACAUGUCGAAAAUUUACCCAUCUAUUUGAGAAAAAAAUAUCUUACACAAAUUAAAAUAAUAAUAAAAACAAUACCAUUAAGGAUUGAAGAAAAGUGGAAGUUGAUUAUUUUUCCGGCAUUUGGAUAAAACUAAAAAAGGGCCCAAAUGUAAUCAAGAAUAAAUUAUGCGGAUAAAUCUCAAGCAUAUCAAACUACCAUGGGAUCAAAUUGAAACAUACAAGAAAAAUGGAAGGAUUAAAAUAGCAAAUACCCCAUUUAGGCCAUAAAAACACGCGGAUCCCCCACUAAUCGGGUCACGGGUUACCCUCCAAAACUACGCCGUUUUGGGCUUAUAGGGGGCCUAAUGAAAUGGUGUCGUUUCGGCCUGUUAUAUUAACCCAAUUUUUUUUAAAAAAAAAAUCAUUCCAGCCCAUUUUUAAGAAAAAAAUUUCAGGAACUUUCUCCAUUUUCUCUGCUACGGUUUUAAACCCAUCCUUGCGUCGCCAACCCACCGCUCCUCCACCAUGGACGGUGGUCGGAACGGCGCAAAACGGGCUUUUCAGCUCCUGUUAAAACAUAUUUGAAGGCUACGCCUUUUCAGCCCUAAAAAAAUCGAGAGAAGAAGGCCCUUUCCUCCUUUUUAGAUUUGACUUUGGCGACGGAGAGGAGAACUCUGGCAGUGCGACCACGGGGUGAUUUGGGUAAAUUUUUCACUCUUUCCUCUUUUUAUUUUUUAUAUUUAAAGUAGAUUUAAAAAAAUAAAGUAAAAAGAAACAAGAAAACCAAGAUAAACAAGGUAAAGAUCAAAAUCAACCUUCUAAAGCUUCUAUUCUGUUUUUUUUAUUUACUAAUGUGCGUAAAAAAAUACAAAGAGAAGAUUGUGGCCUUUAUAGCCAAAUACAAGGCCGUUUACUUGCAUUUUUUUUGUCAUUUUGUUAUUGAUUCUUGUGUGCUCCUCUCUGCUAUUUCAUUUAAUUCUCUCGCAGGUGUCAGAGAAGCAUCAGAGGCGUGGAGGAGGGCGUGUGUGGAGGAGCGGCACACGAGGUGGCCUGCUGACGUGCGGCCCUGGUCAAGGGAAGGCCUAAGGUUUUUUGUUUUCUGAACAUGUGGGUUAGUGGGCUAGGGCUAGUUUUUUAGGUUUUGGGCUGGUAAUUGGGUUUUAAUUGGGCUAUUAGGUUUUUAGGCCUGCUAUUUAUUUUGUAAUUUGGACUAUUAAAACUUUUGGACUUUUAUUAUUAUUAUUGUGUUUGGGUUUUCUGACGGGCCGGGCAAAUUUGGACCCGUACAACUGCCCCUCUUUGCUCAUUUUCGUAUAACAGGAAUGAAGCAAAGACUUUAAAAAUGGCCAAAUUUGUCUAGUCUUGCAAAAUCUCGACCUCUUUGGUGUUUUCCUUUCUAAAGGAGUUUCAUUCCAUCCCGCUGCAACUUCAAGGGUAUAGGAAUUAGUGUUUCGAUCUAAUCCACUAUGACUUCAGAGAGACUAGACUUGUAGCUUUAAUCUGCUCCACUGCGACUUUAGGGAGAUUAGACUUGUAGCUUUAAUCUGCUCCACUGCAACUUCAGUGAGAUGAGACUCGUAUCUUCAAUCUUCUUCUCUGCAACUUCAGAAAGAUAAGAUUUUGUUUGUAGCUUUAAUCUGUUCCACUGUAACUUCAGGGAAAUAAGAUUCGCUAUCUUUAGUCCGCUCUAUUGCAACUUCAGGGAGAUAAGACUUGUAACUUGUAGCUUUAAUCUACUCUACUGCAACUUCAGAGAGAUAGGAUUUGCUAUCUUCGACCUACUCCACUACAACUUCAGGGAGAUAAGAUCUAUCACUUUAAUCUACUCCACUGCAAUUUUAGGGAGAUAAGAUUUGUAAUUUGUAGCUUUAAUCCGUUCCAGUACAACUUCAUGGAGAUAAGAUUCGCUAUCUUCAGUCUGCUUCACUGUAACUUCAGGGAGAUAAGAUUUGUAACUUGUAGCUUUGAUCUACUCUACCGCAACUUCAGAGAGCUAAGAUUUGCUAUCUUCGACCUACUCCACUGCAACUUCAAGGAGAUAAGGUUUGUGGCUUUAAUUUGCUUUGCUGCAACUUCAGGGAAAUAAGAUUCGCCAUGGUGAUUUCAAUCCAUCCCACUGCAUCUUCAGGGGUAUACGAUUUUUGGUUUCUCCAGUCUGUUACGCCAUUCUUUGGGGAACAUAACCUGUAAAAUCUAUUUCAUGAGCCUAUUUAUGCCAAAUAAUUUGGAUGUCAUGAUAGAAUGAAUCAAAUGCUCCUAACUAUAUUUGUAUGGAUGAUGUUUACAUGAAUGUAAAAUGUCAUUUUUAGUAUGAUCUUCUUUUAAUGCUUAUGUUGACAUUACUCGUUAAUCAUCGAAGUUUUAUCACUGACGCAUUAUCCUGUCUUCUUGUCCGGCUGGUAUUUUGCCAGAAAACGCGAAGAAAUAAUCACAAUUUAGUCUAUUCUUUCUCAAAUAUUUCCAACUCUCGGAUUUGGUUAGUUUUGACCAGUGGUCCUACUUCAAGUCCUUGUACUAUUUUGAACAUUUCAGAGUAAUAUGCAUAACUCCUUUUACUUGAAUAUUAUUAGUCCAUUAAUCAUUAUUUCAAUGAAAAAUGCUUGAAAAAGAUUAUCGCAAUGGAUAAGAUGGAAUUUUAUUAAGAGAAAAGUUUGAAAUAGGUCAAUCAACAUAGCAAAUUUGCUAAAAUAAAGAGUAAGAUGAAAACAGAUGCCCCAGAUAUCAUAACACAAGCUUCUCCGCACAAACUUCUUGAGAACCUUUUGAACUUAAUGCGUGUUUAGGAGAUCCAGAGUACUUCGUUGAUGCCCCAAAAUGUAGCAUCCUUCCUUUUCGUUAAUUCAGGAAUAGCGAGACUACCGCAUGCCCCCUCUUCGAUCAAAACUUCGAAUUUCCCUUUUCCUAUGUUUUCAAUUCAAAGCCCCUUUGGUUUCAAGGUGCCCUUUGUGGGUUUUCGCCUUGGCUUCUCUCUCUCUUUUUUUUUAGGUGAAGUAUUUUUUGACUGAGUUUGAAUUCACAGUAUUGGGCAAAUUUUUUCCAUCCAUUUCAGUCAAAAUCAGAGCUACUUCAGAAAAAGCUUUCUUCACCACAUAAUGUCUCUUCCAGUUUGGCAUAUAUUUUCCUCUAAAGUCCUUUUGUAUGGGGAGGAUCUUUUCCAAAACAAGGUCUCAUUUAUGGAAUUCUCUAGGGUGAACUUUCUUAUUAUAUGUAACAGCCUAAUUUUCAAUGGUGUCAGAACAGUGAUUUGAGAUCACUAAAUCCAAUGAAUGAGUCAAAAAUUUAAUAAAUUAAUACCUAGGAGGCAAGUGUGAAUAUAGAAGUAUUUUUGAAUUAGUGAAGUGAGUGAUUUAAAAGAAUUAAUUAGGUAAAUUGGGUUGAGAAUGAGGUAUCGAAACCUCAACUUCAUAAAACGAGCCAUAAAUAUUUUUAUAAAUUUUUAUGGAGUUUUAGUGAGGUAGUAUUAAAAUUUUGUCAGAAAAUUUUGACGUUUGGGUGGUUAAUUAAAUAAAAAGGACUAAAUUGAAAAAGGUGUAAAAGUUACAAAAAAGAUUAAAUAGCUCAAUUGUCAAAUGAGGAAGGACCUAAAGUGAAAAUAAGUGCAAAUGAGAUAUUUUGGGCGGCAAUAGCUAAGAAAAAUCAGGGAAAGAGGUGAAAUAAGGGCAAAAUUGGAAAACUGCCAAAAUUAGCUAAAUAAAAAUAGGACCAAAUUGGAAUAUCUAGAAUUCUCUUCGUUUUUCUUUAUUUUCAUCAGCUGAAAAAUAUCCAUGGAAGAGGGUUCAAGCUGGUUUUCAUUCUCUAGCUACAUGUAAGUUUAAUUCUUGCUUUCUUCUAGAAAUUUCUAUGUUUUUGGACUUUUACAAUUAGGUCCAACUUACUAUUUCAUUAGUUUUUUUAUUUCAUGGUUAAUUUUUAAAGUUUUUAUGGAUGAGUGCUGGAAGAAUAUGAUGAAUAAACAUAGAAUUGAAGCUUUAAUUUAGAUAUAUGAUAAUUUUAUCAGGCAAAAUUGAUGGAAAUUGAUUUUAGGACCUAAUUGUGAAAAUGUUUGGAAUUAAAGUCUAGUGCUGAAAUUAUGAUUUCCAAAGGUUGUAAAGUAGUUUAAAGUGAUAGAAUAAAGUGUUAAUUGAGAAAAAAAUCAGCUCAAUUGAGAGGCUAAUUGAGUAGGGACGAAAUUGUUAUUUAUUAAAAGCUCAGGGGGAAAAUGGUAAUAAAUAGCUUGCACUAAAACAAUUUUGGACAGCAGCAGUAGACUAACUUUGAAAAAUCACCAUAAAUUGUAUAAAUCUAAAUAGAAGAUGAAAAAACUAUGAAAUUAAAGCUUAUUGAGUCUAGUUUCUUAUAGAAGAAACAAUGUAAGCAAUGAAUUUGUAAAUCAUGACAUAUAAUGAAUUUUGUGAGACAAUGUCAGAAUGAAUUCGGGUUCCCCUGUAUAAUUAGGGGCUUAAAUUUAUAUGUAUAGAAUCCUGAAUUAGUCUAUUUUCAAUAUAAACAAAUAGGAACAUCAUUAGAAUCUUGUACUAGGAGAUAAUUAAUUUUUAGUGAAGAAGGAUCGAAACUAUCAGACAGCAGAACAGGGGUGACUUUAAAGAAUAAACUGUACUUAUUGAUUAAACCAAAAAUUCUUAAAAUUUUAUAGUAAAAAUAUAUGUGAGUCUAGUUUCAAGAAAAAUUAGCGGAUUUUAAUUUGGAGUUCCGUAGCUCCAUAUAUAAAAAAUUUAGUGACUAUGACACGGGUGGAUAGCUUGAAUAUUCACAUAAGUAAUUAGUGAAAAUUAUGGAUAAGCUUACUUACAAGUGUGUUAAUUAUACCAAGGAUGUGGAUGGAGAGGAUGAGGAGGAAAAUAUAUAUAUGUGAAUGACUUGUGUAUAAAUUGAUCACAUGCCCGAUUAUAAUCGAUAAAUGUUGAAUUAGAAAUGAUAUAAUGUUUUAUUUGGAGUAUUUAUUAUGAAAUUAUAAUUAUCGUUAUAAUACAAAAAUCAAACUUAUGAGUUUGUAUAACUAAAUUUGUGACCAUUUGUUAAUUUUAUGAAUUUCAUGAUGUGUUAUUUCAUAUGUAUUGAUGAUAAAAUCGUGAAUAAUGUAAAAGCAUAAAAAUUGAAUAAAUGAUCAAAUUGAGCACUUCAGUUUAGUGACAAGAUGAAUUGACGGAAAAGACAAUGAUUGAUCCAUGGCAAAGUGUGAAAUGUAGGUAUGAUAUUAACCAUAUCGAGUUGUGAAACGUAGGUAUGGUAUCAUCCAUACUGAGUUGUGAAACGUAGGUAUGGUAUUAACCAUACUGAGUUGUGAAACUUAGGUAUGGUAUCAUCCAUACCGAGUUGUGAAACGUAGGUAUGGUACUUCAAUAAGGAAAACCAUACUGAGUUGUGAAUCGUGGCACUGAGCAACGAUGUAUGAAUAUGGAAUAUGUUUGACAAAUGUGUUCAUUUAUAAUUAUGGAAUUAUGUACCUCAUGUGUGCUAUUUGCAUAAAGAUGAUAUUUCAAAAAAUUUGGUGAGUAAAGUUUAAAUAUGAAACCGAGACAAGUUGUUAUGAAAAUAUAUUUAAAUUAUCUGUAAGUGUUUUGUACUCCUCGAUAAUGCCUCGUACUCUAUUCUAGCGACGGAUACGGGUAGGGGGUGUUACAUUAUAAGCCAGCAUCAUUCGUUUUUGGUACAUUUGACCAUGACGGAUAGCCUUUAGCCUUUUUUCUUCGAUCAAGUUCAGCUGAUCAUAUCGGGAUUGGAUCCACUCUACUUCAUCCAACUUUAACUUUGAUAAAACUCGGAGAGAAAGAAUCUCUACUUCAAUAGGCAGAACUGCCUCCAUUCCAUAAACCAAAGAGAAAGGUGUUGCCCCGGUGGAGGUCCUGAUAGACGUUCAAUAAGCAUAAAAGGAAAAUGGUAACUUCUUGUGUCAAUCUUUAUAAGUCUCAGUCAUUUCCCCUACGAUCUUCUUGAUGUUCUUAUUGGCUGCUUCCACCGCACCAUUCAUCUUUGAGCGAUAUGGCGAUGAGUUGUAGUGUUUAAUUUUGAAUUGACUGCAGACCUCCGCUAUCGUACUAUUGUUUAAGCUCAGUGCAUUGUCUGAUAUGAUCCUCUCUGGCAUCCCAUAUCGACAUAUGAUCUCUUUCUUCAAGAAUUUGCUGACUGUUGACUUUGUGACAUUGGCAUAAGAAGUGGCCUCUACCCACUUGGUAAAGUAACCAAUGACUAUGAAGAUGAAUUGAUGCCCAUUAGACGUUUUUGGCGAGAUCGGCCCAAUGACGUUUAUGCCUCACAUGGAGAAAGGCUAUGGAAAAGUCAUGACAUGAAGAGGUGAAUGGGGUACAUGAAUUUUAUCUCCAUAAAUUUGGCAUUUAUGACACUUCUUGGCAUAGCUGGUGCAAUCUCUUUCCAUAAUGGACCAAUAAUAUCCGAAUCUCAUGAUUUGUCUAGCCAUUAUGAAACCAUUAGCGUGUGAUUCCGCAGACGCCCUCAUGGUCCUCUUCCAAGAUUUGCUUAGCCUCAACAGCAUCUACACAUUUUAGCAGCACCUAAUCCUUCCUUCUUUUGUAUAGGAUCUCUCAAUCUAAGACAUAGUCACUAGCUAGCCUUCUCAAUGUCCUUUUAUCAUUCUCAGUUGCUUGGUCUGGGUAUUCACGAUUCCUCACAUAUCACAAUAUAUCGUGAUACCAAGGGUGAUCAUAUUUUUCUUCUUCUUCGUCGAUGUUGUAGCAAUGAGCCGGAGCCUCAUAAAUACUCACUUGGAUAGGUUUUACGUCCUCUUGCUUGUUUACUCUGAUCAUAGAAGCUAAGAUAGCCAAGGUGUCAGCCAUCUGAUUUUCAUCUCGCGGGAGGUAACAGAAGGUGAUGUCAUCAAACUCCUCAAUUAACUCCAAAACUAGCUUUUGGUAAUUGAUUAAUUUGGGGUCUCUUGUCUCACAUUCACCUUUGAGUUGAUAGAUCACUAAUGCAGAAUCCCCAUAUACCUCUAGCACUUUGAUUUUACGUUCAAUGGCUACAUGGAUACCCAUGAUACAUGCUUUGUAUUCUACCAUGUUAUUUGUGUAAUCAAAAUCCAAUUUACUAGUAAAGGGAUAAUGAUCUCCAUUUGGGGAUACUAGGACCGCCCCGAUUUUAUUACCCACAGCGUUAAAGGCCCCAUCAAAGUUUAGUUUCCAAGGAUGUUAUUCUUGAUCACCUUCUUCAGUGGUUGCAACAUACAUCAAAUAUUCAUUUAGGAAAUCAAAAUUCUAAGACUCCUAAUCUUCUAGAGCUCUACUAGCCAGAAAAUAUACUAUUGCACUCCCUUUUAUAGUUUUUUGGUUCACAUAGACUAUGUCAAAUUCAGAAAGCAAAAUUUUCCAUCAAGUCAUUCCUCCAUUCAAAGCAGUUGACUCCAUCAUGUACUUCAGAAGGUCUAGUUUUGAGAUGAGCCAAGUUAUGUGGUACAACAUGUACUGUCUCAGUCUCCGGGUCGUCCAAAUCAAGGCGCAACACAACUUCUCAAUUGGCGAAUAUAUUGUCUCACAUUCAAUGGAAUUCUUUCUGAGAUAAUAUAUCGCUCUUUAUUUUCUUCCCGACUCAUCAUGUUGGCCUAGCACGCAUCCCAUGGAAUUUUCGAAUACUGCCAAGUACGGUAUCAGUGACUUGUUGGGGCAAGGUGGCAUCAGUAUUAGGGCAUUGGACAAGUAAUGCUUGACCUUAUCAAAAUUUUUUUGGCACUCAUCAUCCCAUACACUUGGGUUGUGUUUCCUAAGGAGACGGAAUAUGGGGUCACAUUUCUCUGUUAGUUGCGAAAUGAACCGGGCGAUGUAAUUUAGUCUUCCUAGGAAACCUCGAACUUCUUUUUAAGUGUGCAGUGGAGGCAAUUCUUGUAUAGCCUUAACUUUGUCUAGGUCAAUCUCAAUCCCCUUUUGACUGACUAUGAAUCCUAAGAACUUUCCCGACCUAGCCCCGAAGGUGCAUUUUGCUGGGUUGAGCUUUAGCUGAAACUUUCUUAACCUUAAGAAUAGUUUUCUCAAGACUUGUACGUGCUCUUUUUCUGUUCUAGAUUUUACAAUCAUAUCAUUGACAUAAACUUCAAUCUCUUUUUGCAUCAUAUCAUGGAAUAGGGUUACCAUUGCUCUCUGAUACGUUGCUCCUGCGUUUUUCAGCCCAAAUGGCAUCACUUUAUAGAAAAAUGUUCUCUACAUAGUUACGAAUGUGGUCUUUUCCAUGUCUUCAGGAUGCAUCUUUAUUUGGUUGUAUCCUAAGAAACCAUCCAUGAAGGAUAAAAGUGAGUAGCCUACCGUGUUAUCCACUAAGGUGUCAAUAUGAGGCAACAGGAAAUUAUCUUUUGGGCUAGCUUUAUUCAAAUCCCUAUAGUCCAUGCACAUUCAUACUUUUCCAUCUUUAUUAGGAACGGGGACUAUAUUGGUUACCCAUUCUGAGUACUUAAUCACUUGUAAGAAACCAGCGUCGAAUUGCUUCUUGACCGCUUCUUUUAUCUUCAACAAAACAUCUGGUCUCAUCCUUCAAAGUUUUUAUUGAACUGGCUUGCACUCUUCUUUUAUGGAGAGUCGAUGUACCACAAUAUUAGUGCUUAGCCCAGGCAUAUCUUGAUAUGUCCAUGCAAAGAAGUCUUUGAAUUCUUGAAGUAACUCAAUGAGGUCUCUUCUUAUCUUUGUGGCAAUACAAGCUCCAAUCUUCACCACUUUUCCUUCUCCUAAGCUCACAAUUUCCGUUGACUCUUUGUAAGGUAGGAUUUGUUUCUUAUCUUAUUCUAUCAUCCUUAACAGAUCAGGAGAGAGGUUACAGUUUUGAUCAUCUUCAAAAUCCUAAGAAUCCUCCAUGCACAUAUUUCACUCAAAAGGAGACUGAUUUAACAGCGGUGUCGCUCAUAUCAUUGAUAUCUAGAGACCUGUUAUAGGCAUGGAGGAAGGUCCAAAGAACAAAAAAAAUCUAAGAAUAAUUAAUUGUAUGUAUGGUUAUGAAUGAAAUGGAAAGAAUAAAAAAUAUUUUGAUUAUGAAUGAAAAGAAAAGAAUAAAAGAAUAUUUUUUCAUAAUGAGACACCAAGAUGCAUUUCAUUGAAAUAAAGAUAUUUGAAUAUAUGCAUAUUUAACAAAAGAUUCUUAUUGCUCCUAGGCUUAGAGUAAUAAAUGUGUUUUGAACAUUACUCUGAAUUAAUUUUAAAAGUUACAGGAAUCUCUUCCGCGGUCCAAUUUUUCAGAACACUUCCAGAUAGAUAUGGGCAAAUGCCUGAUAGAUUUUCUUCUCCUGUUUCUUCAUUGGAAAUGACAUUAAUGCUCAAACUUCUUAACAUUUCCUCGGUAGACUCCUUUCUUGUCUUCCUCCUUUCAGAGUAAAUAGUUCCUCCAGACACAAACAUUUUGGGUAUAUAAGGAAAGGUUAUUGGCUCCCACUUGGCCUCUUGCCCAUUCAAAUGCGUUCUUCUCCUUUUGCUAUUUCUUCUCUUGAUCCUUUUUCUUUUGCCUUGCAUCUGGCUUAAAUCCUAAGUUAAAGCGGUCUUGUUUAUCCUUCAACAUAGGUGCCUCGACCCUUCUUUGGAGGUAUCUUCCUAGUCUUCUUUCCGGUAAGGCUUCAUUUUCGACCGUCAAUCACAGACCUAUCCUUGUAGUUUUGGAUAUUUUGGGUAUUGGGAUCCUGUUCUCUUCGACAAUGAAUAUUGUAUUGACGAAUUCCAGCGGUCGAAAGGAACAUUCUAUCACCUCAUCGUCCGCCCCUAUGUAUGGUGUGUCACUGGUAACGGAUGCAAUAAUGUCUUCCUCCGCGUUUAUCGUUACCAGUCUACCCUCAGUUACAAACUUUAACUUUUGGUGUAGUGACGACGGUACUGCUUCUACUGAGUGAAUUCAAGGCUUCCCCAACAAGCAAUUGUAAGAAGGUUUAAUGUCCAUUACCAAGAAGUCCACCUCAUACGUGUUUGGCCCAAUUAAAAUAGGUAUCUCGAUUCUUCCCAUCACCUUCCUUUCAGUACCGUCAAAUGCUUCUCUAUUCAAUAUGGAUAAGGGCAAGACAUUCAAUGCCGGUCCAUUAUCAAUUAAUACACCUGGUAAUGUAUAUCCUUUGCAACGGGUGGUGAUGUGUAGAGUCUUCGUAGAUCCCAUACCCUCCGGAGGUAUCUCAUUAUCAUUGAAGAAGAUGAAGUUAUCAACACUUAUAUUAUUGACUAAGCGGUCCAGCUUGCUAACAGAGAUGUCAUCAGCGACAUAGGUUUCAUUUAAUACUUUCAUCAAUACGCUGCGAUGUGUCUCUGAACUUAAGAGUAAAGCUAGCACUGAUAUGCGAGCUGGUUGUUUGUUUAGCUGCUCCAUAAUGCUAAACUUGCUAUGCCUUAAGAACUUUAAGAAUUCUCUAGCCUUUUUUUCAGUCACUGGCUUGUUAAUAGGUGAUUCAACUCUAACCGUCUUUUCUUUUUCUUGUUCCACCGCCAAGGCCUUUCCUUUCACAAAUUCCACUCUUGAAUUCGCUAGAUCGUAGCAUUUCUCAUUACGCGUGUAGAAGCCUACAUCUUUGCCCUCCACUGAAGCAUUGACCGUGUUCUCCUUUCCCAGGAUUGUCACGUUGUAGUCAUAGUUCCAAGGAACCCUUUUACUAUCCUUGUAAGGAAAAGAUACAGGUUUCUGGAUUAUGACUCUAGGUGCCAUUUGUAUUCAUGCUUUAUUAUUUCUUGGUCGCAAAAUAAUGACCACUGGGUGAUUAACUUUUUGACCCUUUCUGUUGAUCCCUCCUCUAAGGUGUAAACCUCUCCUUAUUCUGAUCCUUUGAUCUCUUCAUAAAAUUCCAUCUCUUUAUUGUCCAUCAGAUCUUGCACUGUGGUCCUGAACUCAGUGCAUUCUUGGAUGUCAUGACCCUCCUUGGCAUGGAACUCACAAUAUUUUCUUGCUACUUUAGGCCUUUCCACUAAAUCUUGUAUGAUUAAACCUCCAUCUACCAUUUGUUUCCAAAUUCAUCUCAGUGGGGUUUUUACUUCCGCCACAUUGGCUUUAACUCUUUUACCCCCACUCUCGAUUAUUGCGUUUACCCCUUUAUCAGAAUGAUUGGGUAAUGGAUUCCCUGCUACAUUAGAUCCUGAUGGGUCACCGAACUUUACGAUUCUCAUUUUGAUGAAUCUUUCGAUCAACUUUUUAAACACAGUGCAGUUCUCGAUCAAGUUCCACGUGAUUCCCACGUGAUACUUUCAUUGGGCAUUUGCGUCAUACCAUUUGGGGAAUAGUGGUUUCAUAGGCUUCAAAUAGAAAGGGGACACUACAUGUGCAUCGAAUAGGCUUUGAUACGACUCCCUAUAUAACAUCGAGAUAAGCGUAAACUUGAGCCUCUCUGUAUUUGACCUUGGGUUGGAUUCUUGCCUUGGAGGGCCCUGAUGGCUAGUAGUCACCGUCCUUGGCUAGCUUACAGUAAUGGGUUUUGAAUAACCUUUGUUGUAUAUGCUUACAUUGUUCACCUCGUUUUCCUUCUUCCUCGGGGCCAAUCUUUUGGAGUUUUCCCCCGCGUCUAUCUUUUCACACCUUAUGGCAUUUUCUAUCAUCUCACCAGACAUCAUUAUAUUUGAGAAGCUUUUAGUAGUGCUUCCCAGUAUCUGGUUGAUGAAUGGGGCCUUCAAUGUAUUGAUAAAAAGCAUGGUUGUUUCCUUCUCUAGAAGAGGUGGCUGGACUUGUGUCGCGAACUCUCUCCAUCUCUGGCAUACUGCCUGAAGCUCUCACUUGGCUUUUUGUCCAUAUUUUACAGUGUGAUUCUAUCGGAUGCUACGUCUAUCACGUGGCCAUACUAUUUCAUGAAAGCCUGUGCCAAGUCCUUCCAUGAAUUAAUUUGGGCACAGCUUAGCUGGUUGUACCAUUUGGCCGCAGACCCAAUCAGACUGUUUUGGAAGCAGUGGAUUAAUAACUGAUCAUUAUUAACAUAUCCUGUCAUCCUUCGACAGAAUAUUGUAAUAUAAGCUUUAGGAAAACUAGUCCUAUUGUACUUUUCAAACUCUGGAGUCUUGAAUUUUGGUGGGAGAAUCAAAUCUGGGACCAAGCUCAAAUCUUUGGCAUCAACCUCGCAAUGGUAGUCAGCAUUCUCAAUUGCCUUGAAUUUCUCUUCUAGCCAUCUGCACCGGUCUUCAAGUUGUUUUGACAGAUCUAUUCUUGCCUUCUCUAUUUUUGCUACAUCAUCGAGGUUAGGGACAAUGGGAUUAGUUAGAUUAUUUCUUGGAUUAGAGCCUGAGCCUGUUGGAAAGUUCAUCGGUGCCGAGGUGUCGGUAUUGGAGUCUGAUGGUAACAAGUACCCUUUAUGGAUUCACAUCUCGUUGUGGUUGGGUUUUUUUUAGGGUGAAGCCUGAAGGAUAGACAGGGUCUUCAUUAUCGUUCCCUGAGUUAACCGCAGCGCUCUUUCCUUUUUCACGUUCUCUAGCCAGCAACUACGCCAACUGGCUUAUCAUACUAUUUUGGGAUUCUUGCAUAUGUUCCCUCAGGUCUUAUUGUAUUUUGGAUAAUUGAUUUUGCAUCUAUACUUGCAAUUGAUCUUGCAUAUCUCUUUGCAUUUGUUAAUCUUAACAUUCUUUGAUCCAUUACUUUCGUCUUGCGGUGGGUACCAUAGUGAUAUUUAGUUGAUGGAUUUUCAUUAGUUUCCAGGGUCACUAUCAUAAUUUUAAUUAAUUAAGGUCUUUUCAUGAAACUUAAUGCAUAUGAUGAAAUGUCAUGUAGAUGAAUGAAAUGAAUGCAAAAAGAGGAGUUGAUUCUGAUUCAAUUUCAUUAGAACAACUUUGCUAGAAAAUAAAUUUCUUUAUAUAAAACAGAUUACAUAUACAACUUUACCCUAAUACCUAAAGCCUUAACUUUCUUAAGAAGCCAAGCUAACUCUCGGCUCCGAUCUGAUUCUGACUCAUAUUUUACACUUAGUACAUUAGCCUGAACUGCCAGGUUUUGCAAAUGGUCAGCCACCUCUCACACUUCAGCCACAACUUUGCCUAUGAUAUAAUCUUUAUCUCUGAUCUGAUCUUGAAAGUGGUGGAGCUGUUCUUUCCACUAUUCAUUGCUUGCUUCAAGAAGUUCAACUCGAAGUUCACCAUUUCGUAGUGCGAUCUAGAGUUCUUCUAUCCUUUCUUUCAACUCCUCAAUCUUGUUUAGGCUGGCCUUUAAUUCGACUACAGAGUUGCGACUAUGAUGCUGAUGUAUUGACUUUUCUAACUCUGCCACUCGAGCUUUUAACCUUUCUUUUUCAUUCUGGCUCUCUAACAAACUACUUUUUAAAGUGUCCUCCAGUAUUCUAGCAUCUUGAAACUUCUUCUCACAUUGAUCGGCUCUAGUGUUUUCUUCCUUAAUUUCUUACCACCAUUGCUCUGAUGUCUUGCCCAAACCAACAGUUCUUAUUAACAUACGCAGCUUCUUGUAAUCCUUUUUCAAACUAUCCAAAUCUUCUUCGACCUUGUUUUUUCCUUUCCUCAAUUUCUCAGCAUCUAGUUUGUAGAUGUCGACGUCUAAUCCCAAAUGCAUCUUUUCCUCCUCUAACUACUCUAUUUUCUUGCCCAAUACCCGACUCUUUUUCUCAAAAUCUUGCUUGAUAAUUUCUAAUUUAGACGGGACUACUUGUAAGUGCUCCUCUAUCGGCCGAGCGUUUUCUGGACUUGGCAUUGGGGUGUUGUCGUUGAUUCUUUUACCCCACCACUAGUCAUACUCGGGGGUCAUCAUCGGACCUGAAGUGAAUUCUUUUAUUAUAUGGGUUUAGUUCCAAGUGUUCGAUAUUUCACGAACCUUCUUCUUAUAAUUAUCGCCCUUGUAUGAAAACUCGCACUGAGCCAACCCUUGUGUCUCUAGUAUGAACUUCCUUGAUUAAUACCGCCUUAACACGAGUAAUGGAGCAUAUCCAACGGCUCCUCAUAUCCUAACUAGAGGGACCCAAUCAAAGUUACUACAUUGAUGUAAGAUCUCAUCAGGGAUCAUCCAUAGAACCCUCCAUUCAACAUUUUCAACCUGUAGAUUCUGGAGAAUCGCCAUCCAUUUCUCUUCAGAAAUGUCAUCUCGCCUCGGUGUAGCCACUAAUUCAUUCAAUGGAGAGUAGUUCUCGAAAAAAAACUCGAUAUGAGACUGUUUCUACCUUUUAAAAGUGGAUAUAGAACCAUGCUAACAAAAGCUGCGCACAUCCUAUGAAUCUUCAUUCGCUUGCUCUUCGGCAAGCAUUCAAGGAUCUGAAAGUUUCAGCCAAUAUUGCAGGAACGAGUAUGACCUUUUUGUCAAGUCGAUCAAAUAGGUCUGAGACUGCCUCAUCAACGUGCCCUAAAGCUUUGGGGAAGACGACCAAACCGUAUAUGCUCAAAGCGAAAACAUCAACCCUUUUCUUCAUAUCCAGAUGAACUAGAAUCAGAUCCCUCAAGUUUUUCCAAGGGAUGCACUUACUAUCUCAUUUUUGCUUGAUCCGAGCUGCAACCCACUGUUCGCUUAUCCCUGUGAUGCUUAUCAAUUUCUUCAAAAAGGUCGGGACAUUUACGGCUCUUGAAUAGGCUUUGUCGGCUUGAACCUUUGGGCAACGAAGUAAGGCCAUGUAUUCCUCCACGGUAGGUACCAAAUCAACUCUCCCAAAAGUGAAGCAACUAUAGGCAAGAUUUCAACACUGGCGUGGGCUCGGAAUAAAUGCUUGUCCACCUUUAUAUCAAGUAGAUAGGGAAAAUUGUCGUAGUUAAAGUGAAAUAGCUUCUUGAUCUCGUCACCCCAUUGGUCUCAUAUCUUCUUUAAUUCUUGCAGAUUAUUCUGAGUCACACUGAUGCAAGUGAAAUCCCAUAACUCUGAUACGUAUCCCUCGGUCAGACUAUCACCUUUCUGUUGUUACAUCCUCUCGGACCAUAUUUGGAUUGCCACAUUAUCCCCCACUCUAUCAAGAAACCCCUUUUCCAUGCUAAGCUCACUAUUUAGUAACCGAAUGUGAAUCAAUACCUUUUUAUGAUGAAAUGCCAUACAAUAACAGCAAAACACAACAAGUCAGUAUUAUGUACAAAAAUAGAACUCAAAACAAACAUGAAAUAAUCAAGCACCUAUUCGGGUAACCACUAGGGUCUGGCGCGGUUCUACCUACGGUAGGCUCUUAGGGCUCCUUACAUGUGGUUUGGUUCUAAAGUAAAGGUACCUGAAUCGGAAGAUUCCUCGAUCCUCACCCAUUAUAGGCUCUUACGGACGGAGUUCAGUUCAGGGGAAUACAUUUCCCUAUGGCUAUACGGAGAUGAAAAUCUUACGAAGACGUAGGUAUAAAUGUAUUCGAAAGUGAUCCACUAUCCCAUACGGAGGUGAAGACCUCACGAAAGAAUAGUUUCUCACUCCCAUUUAAAAAGGUAAAAUCGACCAAAUUAUGAGAUGUAAUAUACAAAGAUACACCAAAAUAUUUAAAUCACUAAAGCAAGCAUAUUAUGAUGAAAACCACGAAAGUGACGGAUAAAAUGCAAUAGAGCAACAGAUUUUCAAAUUUCGACAAAAAGACAAAAAUUAAUCAAUUUAUGGCUUGACUCUCAAAUGUCCCUAGCGGAGUCGCCAAGCAGUCGAAACCAUUUUCUUUUGAAAAGGUCGAGGUCGACUUUUAAAAAUGAAAAAUUGGAGUCGCCACCAAUCCUUUUUAUUUAGGUGUGAUCGGUUCACCUCGUAAUUUAAUCAUUUUAAUAAAAAUUUAAUUUUACUAAAAUGAUGAUUUUGGUCUAUGAAAUUCAAGAAAACGAGUUCAGGAGUCGGUUACGUGCUAGGAAGGGUUAGCACCCUCGUAACAACCAAAAUUGGUACCUAAUUGAUUGAUUAAUGUCUUAAUGUUGAAAGUUGAAAUUUUGAAAAGAUUUUAAAACACAAUCCCUUUUUAUUAAUGUUCAUUUUAAAAAUGCUUGAAUUAAAUUGAAACGAACAUUAAAGGCCCUCUCGCCUCGAGAUAACAAAAUGUCACAUCCCGUAAGUUAGGACAUGACAUUUGAACCCUCAAAAAUAAGCUUGCCUUUAAAUUGUUUUAUUUCAAAAUCCGUAAUUUGAUUUUUAAAAGGGUAUUCGGUUCUUUAGACUCAAUCGAGGAAAAUCGAAACUUUGUAAGUUAAGGCACGACCUUCUCGAGUUUCUAAACACGGAAUAUUACCUUUAUUUUUAUUUAAAAAUCGUAGAUUUUAAAAUUUAAAAGGAUAUUUAGCAAUUUAGGUUCAACGAGAAAAAAUCAAAACCCCGUAAGUUAGGGUACAAUUUUCUCUAAUCUUCUAAGUUCAAAACAUCGCGUUAUUAUUGAAAAUUCCUUUUUCAUGCAUUUGAGUAAAGAUUAAUGUAAUAUUUAAAAUGAUACAUGUUUAGUUUAUUUGAUCGUGUUUAAAAAGAAAUCGUUUAAAAACGUAAAAUGGGUCGUACUUGGCCAAUAAUGAUGGUGCAACAUACAUUUGCAGCAACAAUGACAUAAUAUUGCAUAAAACAAAAUAGCACAUGGCAUUAACAUUGACGAAUCAUGAUGUUAACAAGCAUAAGCAAUAACAAGAAUAAUAAUGCAAAUGAUAAUAUAUGGAAUGAUAAUAUUAAUAAUAAUAAUAUUGAAAUCUAAAUUUUGAAAUAUAUGUUGAAAACAGUGAAUAAGCAAAAUAAAUAAAAAAAUAAAAAGCCAUAAUAAAAGAGAAUAAUAAAUAAAAAAUGUGAGAACGAAAUAAGGGAAAUAUUAAGUAAAUAAAAUAAAUUAAUAAGACAUUUAGUAAAAAAAGGACUAAACAAAUAAAAUAUAAUAAAAUAACAAACAAAACAAUUUAUAAAAAAAACUUGAAAUUAAAUGAACCCAGGAUCGAAUUGAAAUUAAAAUAAAAUUAAAGGGGCCAAAUCUAAAACACAAAAAACGAAAGCAGGGCCUAAAAUAGAACACACACGAAGGAACAGGGGUUAACUGGGUAAUUAUUCCUCAACCUUUGUGCACGGCGUUUUAAAAAAGGGGCCCAAAUGUAAUCAAGAAGAAAUUAUGCGGAUAAAUCUCAAGCAUAUCAAACUACCAUGGGAUCAGAUUGAAACGUACAAGAAAAAUGGAAGGAUCAAAAUAAAAAAUACCCCAUUUAGGCCAUAAAAAUACGCGGAUCCCCCACUAAUCGGGUCGGGUCGUGGGUUGGCCCCCCAAAACGAUGCUGUUUUUGGUCGAGGCUUAACUUAUUAUUGACAAGAAAUAUGUCAUUAAUGUAUAAAACCAAAUAUACAACCUUACUGCCACUGAACUUGUUGUAUAUACAAUUAUCAACCAAAUUUAUCUCUAAAACCAAAUGAGAUAAUCAUUUGGUAAAAUUUGUAAUAUUAUUGAUGAAAAGUUUGCUUAAGCACAUAGAUGAAGUUCUUUAAUUUGAAAAUUAUUAACUUUGCAUCAUCAAACACAAGUUUUCUAGUUGCACCAUAUAAAUGUAUGAUUGAUGUUACCAUUGAAAAACUAUUAACUUAACAUUAAUCUGAUGCAACUUAAGGUUAAAAUAUUCCACUAAACUCAUUAUAACCCUUUCUGUAUUAGACCUUCUUAAUGACAUUCGUUCUUGAGGUUGUUGAGUUUGUUCUUUCGGAAUAAUUACCUCAUUUUGAAUAGGGAGUUGUCCAACAUUGUCUUGUUGAGGUUUUAGAUUGACUUCUUAAUCAAUGAUAGAUAUGAGAAUCUGAACAUCGUCAAAAGUGAUAGUAAGAACUAAGUUAUAAUCCAAUUUCUCCUCAAAAGCACUGUCUAUAACCUUAUAUCUCCCUCUAAACUCAACAUCCUCAAAAAUAGUUGCAGUUUCCAUGUAAAAAAGAUUCCUAAUUGUGGGAUCAUAAAACUCAUAUCCCCUAGAUCACUCAGAAUAACCAAUAAAGUAGUUGUUCACUAUUUUAGAGUCUAAUUUCUUUUUAUAUGGCCUAUAAGGCCUUGCCUCAACUGGACAUCCCCAAAUGUGAAAGUGUUUUAGAUUAGGCUUUCGACCUGUCCAAAGCUCAUAAGAUGUUUUUACAGCUGCUUUAGUGGAUAUUCUAUUCAGAAUGUAAGUUUUUGUCUUUAGAGGCACUGGCCAAAUGAGCACUUCUAGAUUUAUCAUGUUUCAACCUUUUUUCCUCUUGCACAGAAUGAGAAAUAGGCAGAUUUAGAGUCUAUUUCUCAUUUUGACAAUUAUAACUAAUUUUAAAAUUGGUUAAAUUGUGCAGGAAACAACGCCAAAACCAUAAGAAUAAGCAAUUCCUUAAAAAACUCGUUCUUAGGUGUCUUAAGUCUUAAAGCAACAUAAAACAUCUCCAUAUUGUACUCCCUCAUGUUUCCUUAACCCUUAUACUUCAUAUACAUCAAAGAAGUCAAAAGUGAUAUCAUCUCAAUCUUAUCGUUUUUGGAAAAACAUUUAUUAAUUUCAUUAAGGAAACAUUGUCCUAAGUGAUCUCUUCAGAUUUUAUGCCCCUAAAGGCUUCUAGAAUGUUGUGUUUCAUGAUAAUUAGACUCAUGCAGUUUAAACGAUUCUACCUCUCAAACUCCCUUUUAACAUUAGGAGUGUUUUCCAUAGUGAGAGGUGCAGGUUGUUCUUCCCUUAGUGCAAGGUCUAUGUCCAUACAACCAAGCACUAUAAGUAAAUAUCUUUUCCAUUCCUUGAAAUUAGUCCCAUUAAGUAUCGGUAUACAAUUUAUAUUACUAGAUAUUAUGGCAGCAGAAGAUGAGCUAGUUGAAUAUAGAACAAAAUAAAUAAAAACAACCUCACAUCAAUAUUCAUAAGUAAACAAUAAAUUUAAGAUAAUGGCUAAUCUCAUCUCAAGAUACCAAAUACAACAUUAAUAUCAAGUCUUUAGACAAUAAUAUUAACAGUAAACGAUACUCUUGUUGUAGUAAUCAAACAUUGACAAUAAAUUAUGUCAAAAAAUUAAUCAAUCUUUGGACCAACUUAUUGCUCACAUAAAGUGCUUUAUAAUUGUCACACAUUUAUCAUCACAGAUGUCAUUGAAAUUCUGUCAAAUAUUAACUUACCUUUGGGUCAAUUAAUAAACACAUGAAUCACAAAAAUAUAUAAUCAAUCCAAAAAUAAUAGAGAAUCAAUUCGUUCUCAAUUAUUCAAUAUGAUGAGACUCUGAUACCACUUGUUAAAGCAGUAAAAACAAGAUCUAAUAUAAACUUAAAAUUGUAAAUCAGGAUUUGUCAUGUCAAAUCAUCAAAAAUAAAUUAAGAACAAAACUAGAUGCAGAAGCGUACCUGAAUCCAUGGAUUUCUUGAAAUCUUUUGAUUUUAUGGUUUUGAUCUUUCAAAUUAGCAGACAAGUAAUUUUGAGAAGCUAGCUCUCUCUUUUCUAAAGAUAGGAUAUUAGAAAAGUUACCAUAUAUGUAAUUUGGGGACCAUAACCCUAAUAUAUAAUUUUACACAUUAAUUUUAAUUUCUAAUCAGCCGUCAUCAAUUAGAAAUUAAUUACUAGAGUAUCUACACAUAUUUGGCUCAUACUUUAUUAAUAACUAAAGCCCAAUAAAACUUAAUUGUAACGCCUCGAAUUUUGGGCCUAGAAGUAUUAUGUCUUGAGCAUGGGAACAAUUAGGAGGUUGCACAUAAAUGUUUAGUCGUGCAAGAAAGUGACAUAACUGUGUAUCUGCUUCAGUGGUUAUGUGUUUUGGGAGUGUAUGAGAAGUAUUGGGUUCAAGCCUUGGCUUGUGCAAAAGUUUUAUUUUAAGUGGAUAGUAGGCUUUUAAAAUAAAUUUGGAUAAAGCAUGACAGAAUAGGCUUGCUGGUCUAAGGGAUAGGUGGCGUGUUAUUGUUGCUUGAGGACUGAGGUUCGAGUCCUGGUGGGUGUAGUGGAGUGUUUUAUUUUACUGUUGUGCUAUGAGAGUGUUGUGGUUUGACUGAAACACUGAAGAGUUUGAAUGAAAUUUGAACUAGGUGGUUGAGGGAGAAGUGGACGGUUUUGAGGGAUUUGAGGAGGAAAAUGUGGGAUUUUGAAAGAAGAGGGAAUGUUGUACCGAUUUUGAACUCUUGCUCAAAGAGUUUUGGCUGGGUUUGGAGAGUGUAGGGACUUAGUGGCCAAAUUUUAGGAGAGAAUAAGGGGGGAGAAAGUUAUCUGAUUAUGGGGUUUGUUUUUCAAAAUUCUGCUCCUCUUAUUUUCCAAUUUUGGUUUUUCUUUUUGACGAUUGUUUUUUCUGCUCUUUAGUGUCGUCCCUUUUCUUUUCCUCUUCGGUUAAGGUUUGGUUUUCUCCUCAUUCUGGCUUUUGUUCUUGAAGACCAUAUAUUACUAAGGGUUUCUACGAGCUUCUUUCUUUUCUUCUAAUCUGACUUUGUUCUGCUCUACGGUAAUUGUUCCUUUCUCCCUUGCUUACCGAUUUUCUCUUACUCUUCUACCCCUCUAACAAGCGUCCUCUUUUUUCUUUAUUUGGUCGAACCCUCAUCCUCUAUCCAUUUUCCCUUUUCAUCUCUUUUGGCCGAUUCUUUCUUUCUCUUGCGCUCAACUUCUUUUUCCGUUGGUUCGGUAAGUUUGGUAAAUGCUAAAUCUGUUUUCUCAUUUUGGAAUAUCAUUUAAGAGGAGUCUUGUUGCUGGUAGGUGUUACUCAGCGAACUAGUGACCUUGAUUGGCAUGCGAAGUGUGCAAAACCCUGUUGGUGCGUGUGAAGGAAGGUUCUUGAGUGAUCGUGGUUCUCGGUUUAACGACGUUAGCGAAGGGUCUUCUUGGAGGUAGGUCAAGCUAAUGCUAUUAGUGAUUGUUGUGACUUGCGAAUCUGAAUGACUAUUGCUAGGUGAUCGGGCUUAGGGAGAGCUCGGCAUCGAAUUUGUGAUAGGUGUGUAAAAACACUACCUUAAUCGUAAAUUGGCAAAAGUCGAAAUAAGUGACCGACGACGCUACACGGGCGUGCACUCGCUCGUGUGGUAGUCUGUAUGCCUAAACAUGGGCGUAUAAUCGUUGAGGCCGGCCAUGAACAACUUCAUGGGCUAAGGUCGUUUCGGGCCUUAUUGGGCCGAAAUAAGUUGUGUAGGCCCGCGGGCAUGUGGACCCCACUUGGGUAAACCGCACGGGCGUGUGGUGAAUAUUGGGUCAGGCCAUGUAAUCCAGAUGGCCAAAGCCAUAUCUGGGCUUUGUGGGCCACAUGGGCGUGUAAGCCCAUGUGGACUCGCAUUAUAGGCCUCGGGCCCAUUUUCACUGUUUGACUGUUAAGGUUGCACGGGUCACUCGAGAUGACUGUGGACAUACUGUUGGGUCAGUAAGAUUACCUAGAACCCCUAUAUGUAACAUGACUAUUUUGCCCCUAUAUGGUAAGAUGACCGUAUUACCCCUAUGUGAUGUAUAUAUAUGUACAUGUAUGACCGUAUUUUAGCAUGCUCUUUGAACUAUAAUGGAUACAUGUAUGAAUCUAUGAUAUGACAUGACAUGAUUGUAUGAUGUAUUACAUGAGGAUGGGUUUAUACUGAUCGGAGGAAGUGUACUGAAAGGCUUUGAGCCUAAAUUAUUGACAGCUCUGCUGCAAAUACUAUUUAGUGCCGCAACCGGUACUAUUUAGAGUGUAGGGAUGGGUGGGUUGAUUAUAUCCCCACAUAAAGUGUAGGGUUGGACGGAGUUGGAGUGUAGCGGCUGGAUAGGUAGGUCUUAUAUACUGUUUAAACUAUUUCUGCAUUGAUUAUUGUUACUGUAAUUGGCCAAGGCCCAAACAAAUGAUUGUUUCUGUAUUGAGAUGGGCUAAGCCCAAACUGAUAUUGUCACUGUUACUAAAAAAGACCUAGGCCAAGACUGUGCUUAUUUUCUGACUGUUUGCUUAUAUGGGAUUACACACUGAGUUUUCAUAACUCACCCAUCUGUUUAAUUGUACAGGUAAUCCCCAGCCUUAGGCGGAUCGGUGCUGCGAGGAACUCAAAGGUGGCUACACAAUCGCACGUACAACCGUAUUUACUAUCAGAUUGGCUUUAUUUUUACAAGUAGUUUGAUUUUGGGCAUUUUUAAUGUAAUAAGGAUUUUUUUAAAUUUUAAGCUUUAAUUUGGGGUUUUAUUUAUUUGGAUUUAUAUCUUAUAGUAACAGGAAGCGGGUUUUCAAAAAGAUAAAUGAUUUUCAAAACACCAUGUUUCGCGCAGCAUGUUUUAAAAGCUUCUGCCAGAAAUAAUGAUUUAGAAAUUAAAGACGUUUUAAUAUGAAUAACUCUCAACAAACAACUCGCAUUUGGAAGAUAACUGACAUGUUUUCAUCAUUGAAGACACACAACAGUGGUAAUUGUAGAAAGGGUUUUUCAAUGAAAUCAUUAUUUGCGAAAAACACUUCGCCAGAUUCGACCAUAACGUCUAGGCUGGAUUUGGGGUGUUACAUUAACCAAAUUAGAUCACUUUUAAUUUAAGCUAACAUUUUAUGAUAGUAAAUAAAAACAUAUAAUUACUCUUAUUAUAUAUGUGAUAUCUAUAUUUUCCAGCACUCGUCUCUUUCUCCCCAACCUUAUCAAAUUUUGUAUUUCUUUCAUUUUAGUCCCUCCUCCAUUUUCAACCCUUUCCCAAACUUAAACUCAAAAAUUUGUUUAUAAAUUGUUAGCAAAAUUAAGAGGAUAACUCUAUAGUGAGCUUAUCAUUUUGCAAAGCUAUUUGAUAGUCAAUUUUGAAGGAGAAAGAAAAAUGAAGAAAAGUUAGAAAUUUUGAAAAAGUUAAGGGAAGAAAGUUAAGUUUGCUGAUAGGACAUCAUUUUUAUUUUUUAUUUUGAUAAUAAAUAUUGUACAUAUAAUAUUAUUUUCUACUAAAUCAUAUAAAAAAUAUAAUGUAGCAUUUUAUUAAAUUAAAAUAAAUAAAUAAAAUAGCGUUAGAAAUUAAUGGAAAGUAUUUUUUUUAUAUCCUUACAGCUUUAAGAUUAAUAAAACAAAGUUUUGAGAAUUUUAAUUAAAGUAAUUAUUAAAACAAAAAAAAACGAAAUGAAAUGGUAAAAAAAUUAAAUAUAAAAAUUAACUUUCAAAUAGUUAAAAUAUAAAUAAAUAAAAAUUAAAACCAAAUCGAUAAUUAAAUUGGUCAAGUCUUUAUUUUAUUAAUUUAACGGUUCAAUUAAAUAAAUUAUUAAAAAUUAUAAAAAUUUAAAAUAUAUAUUAAAAAAUUAAAAAUUGGUUCAACCAAUUUUUUAGUCAAGUUCAAUUUGUCUUUAUUGGUUCACAGGUCAAUCGAUCUGAUGCCUCUCUUCAAAUCGAUACUCAUCCAACCAAUUUGAUUGACCAAUUCAAACAAUCAUGAUUGAAAAAAAUUAUGACAAUAAUAUAAUAACAAUUAAAGUAAUAUCUAAAACACUAUUAAUGCAAAAUUGUAAUUUACUUUAAAAUAGAAAAUUAGCCCCUAUAUGUUAGGAAAAUACAAAUUGGUCAUUCUAUUAAAUGUUCCAUCCAUUUGUGCUAUUAAGUGAUGAUUUGAUUUUUUUAAAAAAAACUUUUAUGUAUGUGACGUAGAAUUAAAAGAUGAGUAGGAUUAGGUAAAAGUAUCAUGGAGACCCCUAUAUUAGGCGUCGACUACAUUUUACCCCAUUUACUCAAAAAAUGACAAAUCAAUUCUUGUACAUUAAAUUAAAGAACAAAUUGACCUUUCUGUUAAAAAAUUUCAUCUAUUAUUAUUGUUUAGUGAUGACAUGGUUGACAAAGCAACCAAACAACGAGGCAUGGUGUGUCAUAUGGACAUCAUGUUGAUGUGACAAAAUAUCUUGCAAAUAUCUAAAAAUAUUAAAAAUCCUAAAAAUUAAAUAAAUUUUAAUAAUUAUUGAAAAAUUAUGGAAAAUUAUUAAGAAUAUAACAGCAAAUUAUUAAGAAAUCUAUUCUUAAUAAUUUCUAAAUAAUUUUUUAGAAUUUUUAUAAUUAUUUAAGAAAUCACUUUAAUAUGAAAUAACAACCAUUUAUCUAGAUCCAUUUUCGACAUUAUUUUUAAUAAUUUUUAUAAUUUAUAAUUCUUAAAAAAAUUUAAAUUUUUUCUACAUUUUUUAUAUUUAUAAUUAUUUAAAAGACUACAUUCAGGAUCAACCUUGGAUGUGGUUAUUUAAAUAAUUAUAAAAAGUUUAUUUAUUUUUAAGAUUUUUUAAAUCUGUUGUUAUGAUGGUUUUGACUAUGAAAUGUAGAAGUUGCCACUCACUCCCAUGUGCAUUUCCUUUGUCUUCAUCGACCUAGUUGAACCAGCCAUCUUAUACGAAACUUAAAGCUAUACUUAGCCAUUGACAAGCUUUCUAACCAUACAAAAGUUUGGUUUUAAUCGUGAAUCCUGCUUGGUUUAUUGACAAAUUAUUAUCAUGCGUGUGUUAAUGAUUAAUUAUGUGCCAACAUUUUCCAAGAAUGGGGAAAGGAAGUAACUAAAAAGUCAGGGAUUGUAUGUGAUUUUAUUGUUUUUCAUUCUAUUCAGAAUUUUAUAUAGUUCUGUGGUAUAAUUUUAUUCGAUUAUGGCUAUGAGUUGUGGUCUACAUCUAAUUUUUUGAAUUUAAGUUUCGAAUGUUAUAUUUAGUUUUUAAUAUUUAAUAUAUUUUAUUAAGAUUUUUAAUUUUUUAUUACAUUAUUUAAAUAUUUUUAUUUAAGUUAUUUCAAAAAAUUAUAGCAUAAUCAGAAAUUUUGAUUUUGACUGUUUGAAUAUUAAUAUGUUUAUAUAUAUUAAAAUAAUUUAAUCGAAGUAAUAAAUUCUUAACGUGACCUCUGUUGUGGAAAAUAUAAAAGAUUAUGUAGAUGUGAUUUAAAUUGUGUUAAUAUCAAUCGGCAUAAAAGAAGGUUAAUAUUUAACAAAAUUACAUAUACAAUUAUAGUAAUAAACACGUGACAAUUAUUUGGUUUUACAUCUAAGCAAUAAAUCGGCUCAAAGAAAGAUUUAUUGCCCAUGUUUAAUUACUAAUAUUUUGUCCAAAGAUGAAAUAUUGAUAAAGUGUUCAGUAUCUUGAGAUGAGGUUUAUCUUUAUUCGAAUUUAUUAUUGUUUUGCUUUAUAUUCAAAGCCUUAUAUGAGAUUGCUUUAUUUGAGCUACUAUUACAAUUGCCCACAUCACUGUCAACAUUAACUCAAUUCCUAUGUUGAAUGGUACCAACUUUAGAUCAUGGCAAGAGAAUUUUAUGGUUGUUUCUCAGAGUCAUGGAUUCAACAUUUACCAAUGAGAGUACCUCUAAUGAAAGAAAGAAGAGAUCAAAUAGCAUGUGUGUGAUGGUCAUGAAUAAGGCUAUUAUAGAAAUAUUCAAGAACACUAUGUUUGAUAAGAUUACCACCGUUAAAGAAUUCAUGGUUAACAUUGACAAAAAUAGUUUGUCAUGAAUGAAAAAGUUGAAAUCAGUUUGCCCUUGACAAAUCUAGUUUCGAGAACAUAUAGAGUUGAGCGUUCAAUCAAAUCGAAUGAAAAAUUUUUGAGUUAAUCGAGUUGAUGAAUCCUAUUUUAUCAUCCUAACUUGAUUUGAAGUUUUCUCGAAUCGAGUUGAGUGAGAUGGAAUUCGAAUCAAAUAUAUUUGUUCGAGUUAAAUUUAAAAAAAUGACUUUAGGUCUUGUAGCCACUAUCUCCCACCAUAAUCAAAAUUGUUAUUAACUUUCACCCCCUCAUGAUUUAUUUAUUAAUCUUUUAUAUACGAGUAGGGGUAGUGUUUGACCGAAUUGAAUUGAGUGAAAAAUUUUCGAGUUAACUAGUCCUAUUUUAUCAUCCUAACUUGAUUAGAAAUUUUUUCGAAUCAAGUCGAGUGAAAUGAAAUUCAAGUCGAGUUGAAUCGAAUCGAAUGAAACUGCUCAAGUUAAAUUAAAAAAUUAAACAUGUCAAAUUAAAAUAUUGUUACAAUAGUUAUUUUAUCUUAGAGCAUAUAAAUUUGAAACCAUAUAAAAUACUUUAGUAUGAUAAACUUGAAUCAUUAAUUAACUUAUUAGAUCCCAAAAUUGUUAUUCUGGAAAAUUUUUAAUUUUUUUAAACUUUCUUUAUAUAUUUUCUGUAACUUGUUUUGAAAUUUUUAUAAUUUUUUUAAAAAAUAUAAAUUUUGAAAAUUUUAUAAAUAUUUUGAAUUUUAAAAAUUAUUUUAAAUUUUUGAAAAUUAUUUUGAAUUAUUUUAAAAUUUUUGUUGAGAGAGACCAAUUUGCUCAUUUUCAUACUUGAUAGGGACCAAAAAGAUAUUUAUAUUAAUUUGUUAUUCGAGUUAUUCGAAUUAUAAAAUUCAACUCGAUUUGAACUCAAAACUUGAAUUACUUAUUCGAGUUUACUCAAAUAACUGAAUUAAAUUAACUCGAGAUUUUUUUUGAAUCGAAUCGAGUUUUGCUCACCCCUAUUUACGAGUUAGUUUUUUUUCUUGCUUAAUUACUUCAAUUAUCUUCUGAUUCUUGUCACCAUAUAUUUUGAAAUUAAAAAAAUAUUUUUUAAAUGUAAAAAAUAUUAUUUUUUAAUAAAUAUUAUUUUAAAGAUAAAAUAUAAAAUUGAUAAUAAAGAUUUAAUAUUAUUAAACAAUUCAAUAAUAUAAAUAAUAUAUAUAAAUUUGAAAAAAUUGGGGUUUAACAGAAGUAAAAGUUUUUGGGAAAAGUUCUGGGGGGCUUGGGGGAAGCAAAAGUUUUAGAAAGAAAGUAAAAAGGAAAAAAAAUUGAAAGCUUGAGGGAAGUAAGAUUUUUUAACGGGAAGUAAAAGUUCUCGGAGAAAAUAAAAGGAAAAAAGUUUCGAGUGUUUGGGAGGAAAUAAAUCUUUUGGGGAAAUUGAGGAAAGAGAAGUAAAAAUGUUUGAUAUUUAGUUUAUUUAAAUUAUUCAAGUUAAACUCGAUUUAAACUCAAAAUUUAGAAAAAAAUUCGAAUUGAUUUGAUUAAUUCAAUUUGAAUAAUUCGAAAUUUGAAUUUUUUUCGAGUUAAAUCAAAAUUUACUCACAUAUAAUAAUGUAUAAAAGGAACAAUAAUAGUAGAGAGUAGAGGUGUGCAUGGGCCGGGCCCAAACAAAUUUCUAGGCCUGUUUUCUAGGCCCAGGCCCUGCCCGACCCUAAAUAUGGGCUUAAAAAUUUAUCCAAGUCUGGCCCGAAAUAAAAUUGUUAAGCCCGAGCCUAGCUGGCCCAUAUUAAUUUUUUAAACUUAUUUCAUUAAAUAAAAAAUUUUAAAAUAUAAUAAAUCAAAUACAUUUAAAAAUAUAAAAACAAAUAUUAAAAUAAGAAACAAAUAAAAAAUGAGACAAACAAUUCUUAAAACAAUACACAAAUUGAAAAUAUAAUAAAAAGUGGUUAUAUUAAAAUUGAAAAUAAAAUGUAAAUAUGAUUAAAAAUAAAAAAUAUAUAUUUAGUAUAUAAUUCGGGCCGGUCCCAAGCCAAAAAAGUUUUAUCCGAGGCCUGGUUUGUUUUCUAAACGGGCUUCGUUUUUUGCCCAAACCUAUAUUUCAAGCAUAUAUUUUUACCUGAACCCUCCCAUUUUUUGGGAGGGCCUUCGAACCGGGCUGACUAGCCCGACCCAUGCACAACUCUAGUAGAGAGUACAUUAUGGAAAUGUCUCAUCUUAUUUCAAAGUUGGAAACACUUUGUAAACGUCAAAUUUUAUCCAGGAUCCUAGUAACAAAUAGAGAUGCUCAUGGAUCAGGCUGAUAAUGGUUUUAGUAACUCAUGAAAUUUAAUUUAAAUUUAAAUUUAUAUGUUAAAUUGAUAUUAAAUUAAAAUUCAUAUAUGAUUUUAUUGCGAGAAAGAUUAUUUUUUAAAAACCUAACUUUAUAUAUUUCUUUUUAAUACAAUGAAAUUAUUGUUUUAAUUAAAAAAAUUUAUUAUUUUUAAGUGUUUUAGUUUUUUUUAGUUAGGGUCUGUUUGAUUGGCAGUAAAAUGUUUUCUGUAAAAUGAUUUCUGAAAAAUGUUUUACUUUUCUGUAAAAUGACUUACUGGAAAAUAUUUUCUGGUGUUUGAUUGAAUCUGUGUAAAAUAUUUUCUGCUAUUUGACAGAUUUCCUGAAAAUAUUUUCCGGAAAAGUUAUUUUUUACAUAUAUUAAUAUAUAUUAAUAAAUUUUUAUAUUUUAAAUUGUUUUUACAUAUAUUGCAAUGAUUUAUUUAUAAUAAUACUCAAUAAUAAGCUACAAUAUUGAUCGUUAUAAAUUAAAAAAAAUAUUAUCCACAAUGAGUACUAGUAAGAAUAUUGAAUAAUUAUAAAUUACUUCGAAACCAUAAUGAGUACUAGAAAUAAUAUUAUCCAAAUACAUAAUUAGUAGUACACCACAUGGUAACAACAUUGUCCAAGUGCAUAAUAUUACAGCACAUAAAAGUAUCAAUAUCUUCAACCCUAAAUUAACUACCAAUGAACUAACAAAACGAGACUGAAUUAGGAGUUGACAAAAGUCCAAACAUGACAGUCUCAGAAAUUUUUCCAACCAUAAUCAUUCUUAUAGAAGAACUACAAUAAUCUGUAUUAGUAUUUGACGAUUAUUAGAAUGACAGCUCCUUCCACUCCAAAAGAAGCAAUGUGUAAGAAUCAAGAAACCUUCCAUAAAAGAUAUAUCAGAUAACAAAGCAAUGUUCUAAAAACGGGCACAUCAAAUUAAAAAGCAAGAUUAACCAAAUCUAUUGGGAAUUUGAAAUUACUAUUUAUAACCUUGACAAGAUAAUAUGUUCACAAACAUGAUUCAUCAGGAUCAUCAUUUAAAAAAGACAUGAACAACCUCCAUACAUUGCAACAGUUGUUCAUGUUUAUACAAAACAUGCUCAUGAACUUCAAACAAACAGAAAUAGAAAACUUAUAUUAGUAAGAACACAUAAAAAAAGGAAUCAAAUUAUGGACCCAAAGGCAAUAUACAACUCUUUGAAAAAUAAAACAGUAAUGCUAGAAACAUAGUCUAUUUAUUGUAGAAAGCCAAAAAGAACUCAAUUUUCUCCAAAGGAAAAUAUCAGCAUUGCAUGCAAUUCUAUGUCAUAAAAACUUUAAACCAAGAUCGAAACAAAUACAUUCUUCACUAAAUUUACAAUCUUUCAUUUGUAAAUUUGUUUAAUGAACUUAUUGAAACCUUUAAUGUAAUGUAAUGUAACGCAGGUUCUUUAUGGGCAUAAAUGUACUAAUGGCUCACCCACCUAAAGCCUGCAUAUUGAUAUUUGUCCAUGUUUACAGCAGCUACACAGACUUGAGUGCUCUGCCAAGAAUUAGGACAACUAAAGAACCCAUUAAAAUUAGUUCAUAACAUAAUAUUUUCCAGAGAGCUAGCAGACAAUAAUAACAUAAUUAUGUCUUUAGUUCAUAACAUAAUAUCUACUCAACAAGUGGAAUGUUGUUUGCAUGUGAACAUAUUUUAGAUUUCUGGGUAGUCCACUAAAGUGCACAAAAUUUAAGAGUAAAUGUUGUUUGCAUGUGAACAUAUUUUAGACCUAAGAAUCUAGUCACAAAAAUAAAUUCCAGUAUCACACAAACUCCAUAUAUUAUGUAAAUUGUUUGAUCUUACAUCAACCAGUACACAAGUAGGUACUCCAAGAAAUAGAAGAUAAUUUAACUUGCUGAGUACUUUUCUCUUCUACUCUGACAUGAUUCAAUUAUUUUCUUAUAUAUUUAUAUGAUCUACCUUCAGGCACAACAAACUUAUUACAUGGUCAUUAGUUCAACACAUUCUGCUUACAGGAAUUACACAUAAUUAAUCCAACUCAUGUCAUGAGGGGUAACACUACUGGAGACAAUACCACCACUAACAGGUAACAUAUUCUUAGACUCUUAGUGGAUAUAAAAGUUAUGGACUGCCCAUGUUUACAAAACCCUAAAGGAUACAGUUCACCAGAUUGAUGAUUAGAAAUUCCAAUGGUAACCUAUGGAAUGCAUUUCUUUUACAAACUUAUACAAAAAAGGAUAUAGAGGUAAACCUUAAACAUUCCUUCAAGUUUGUUUGUAAACUAGCUGCCACACUCUGUCUUCAGCUGCAACAUCGCAAGAACAUAACAAAUUAACAAUUUAAUACAAUCUUCUGAAGACACACCAUUUAAUGCGAAGAACAUACUGACCUUAGAAAUCAUGGAUUUCUCUGCAUCAAUAGAAGCACUAUUCCCUAACAGCAGCCUUUUAGCAAGAUCUUUCUUAUAGAAUGCUUCAAAAACAUCCUUGCCCUUAAUUAUCAACAAAAAUGCCAUUCACAACUCUAGCAUUAACUAGUGAGGCAAGAAAGAAAGAAAUGCACAAAAGGAAAACUGUUACUUGGGGGAAAAAAGUAAAUUUAAUCAUUUUUGUGGGAAACUCUACCUGGAUGAACCUGAAUAAAACCAAAACUUUAUCAAGUGUACCCUCUAAUUCCUCUUCAGAAGUACCCUUAUUACCAUCACGAAGCUUUUCAUCCAGAAACUUAGCAAUAAGCUCAGCAGGUCGAUUCUAUUAAACACAAUAAAGUUCGACCAUCAGUCAAGUUCAAAAUAUGAUGAUCUAAAUUAGGAAUUUACUUUACUGGUUUAAAGGUAAAUGAACAUGCAGUUUAAAAAUAAAAUAAUCUCCAAAUACAAAGGACAAACAUGCUAACCUGACGAAGAUUAAUUAGAUGCUCAAAAGAAUCCUUAAUGGUGUUGCAAAAUGCCUCAUUCUUGGAAAAGCUUUCUUCUAAUAUGGAGUCAAGUGAAGCCUUGAAUUCUAACAAGGAAGACACCAUGUCCUUGUCUUUCUCUUCAUCCAUGACAAUGUUCUGCCCAGUUCUCCGAAUAUAUGAGCUUAUGGCCUGCCUGAGUGAUUUGCAUUGACCCUUGAAAACAGUGAGUACAUCCUCUGAAGGUCCUCGAUACGGUGUCCAUCCAUCAGCAUCAUAAAUCCCUGCACAAAUUAGAGAAACCAUAGCUACUAAGAAGAUGCAAAUUCAAGGUGUUCAAAGCACAAAGAACAACCAAAAAUUCAAUUCACACCUUAUCAAGAAUGGCAGGUAUAUGGCGUUCCAGCAGUUGCCUUUCUGCUGUUGCUAUAAGCGGCUUUCUCGUAAAAGCAUCCAGGUAGAGUAAGCAUCUUUCAUUUUCUUCAUUUAACCUCAUCUGAAGGAAUACGCACAAAAAGCCAUUUCCACCUUCUGGGGUUCCUGAUUCAGGGCAGAAUUCCCAGACUUGAUAAACGCCGGUGUCUGGUGUUAAGAAUCGGUGUUGGCUGAUGGCAAGCAGAAGAUCAGGUGUCAAGGAUAGGGGAAGGGGAAGGGGAAGGGGAAGGGAAAGGGAAAGGAAAAUUUUCCUGAAAAUGUCUUACCGAAUCAGAAACGGUAAGACAUUUUCCAAAACUAAAGGCUACUAUUUCCCGUGUUUGUAAUUGAUUUUACAUAAGGAAAAUAUUUUCCAACAAACAAACACCGGAAAAUGUGGAAAACCAAUUCCGGAAAAUAUUUUCCCCCUAUCAAACAGACCCUUAGUUUCACUCCACCCCUAACAGCAAAGUCGAUUAAAGAAAUUAUAUUAGAAUAGAAACCUAAACAACCCUUUGUGUUGAUUGAGGCCACACCUCUAACUGAUUAUUGGCACCUGUUGUCCCUUAUUGCUGCAAAAGAGAAUAUAUAUAUAUUAUGUGUGUAAAUUGAGAAUUUUAUUCAUAACUUGUUAUUUUAACUGAAUAUCAAAGCCACAUGGACCGUGUUACUAAAAACCUUUUCAUAAACAAGCAGUACACAAGUAACUAUCACAAGGCAGAGAUUGUUUAAUCAUAAAUCUUCCUAGCCACAAGGAUAAGAUGAUACUUUUUCCGUGCAGUGAUACCAGGUUUAACACCGAAGUCUAUGUCUUCUUUUGUCAUCGCAAUCGGCAUUUCCCAAUCGAACUUGUAUAGAAGAUUAGCAAGGGCAAGUUCCACUACUGCAACUCCCAUAUGCAUUCCAGGACAAGCCCUUCUACCAGCACCAAAUGGUAUGAGCUCAAAGUGUUGUCCUUUGUAGUCAGUGGGACUACCAAUGAACCUUUCAGGAUAAAACUCUUCCGGAUUUUCCCAAGUUUCAGGGUCCUUUCCUAUUGCCCAUGUGUUCACAUAAACGAAGGUUUUGGCAGGUAUAUCGUACCCACCUAUGUUGCACUUUCGGAGUGUUUCUCGUGGCACUAACAAUGGAGCUAUUGGUUGCAAUCUGAAGGUUUCUUUUACCACAGCUUCUAAGUAAGUCAAAUCUCGAGUAUCAUCUUCAUUUACAAAACCUCUUUUCCCGAUCAAAUUCCUCACUUCCGCUUGAGUUUUCUUCAAACACUUUGGAUUUUUCAUUAGAAAGUUCAUGACCCAUAUUAUAGUGGCUGCGGUUGUGUCUGUUCCAGCUAUAAACACGUUCUGCAAGAAUAACAAUGGGUUACAAAUAUGUACAAUGUGUGAAGCGCAAAAGUUAAUUAAUGAUAAAAAGUUUUGAGUAGAGAGGAAAUGACCAUAAGAACAGCUUUUAUCUGAUCGAUAGUCAGAUCAAAUGAAAAGUCGUGAUCCUUCCAUGUUUGUAGUAACACGUCGAGUAUGUCCUCUUGUUGCGGUUUUAGCCUAUUUGGAUCAAGAUGUUCAUCAAUGAGUUGUUGAUAAAAAGUAUCAUGUUCUUUGAAUGUUUUUUCAAGACGACUAUGCAAUCCAGUGAAUCUAUCGAGCCAACCCAUGUAAGGAAAGAAGUCAGAAAAACUGAAGCUUGAGAAUAAGGCUUGACUUUCAUUAAGCAGCUCAUGGAAUCUGCUUCUUUCUGCUUCUUCUUCGUCAUACCUCUUGCCGAAGGCUAUUCUACAAAUUACUGUACUGGAAAGGCACGUUAUUGCUUCACUCAAGUUGACAGGUUUAGAAUCAACAGAUAAUUUGGAUAUUUUUUCAAUCAAGUGAGCAACUUCAUCUUCUCGGAUGGGACGAUACUGUUGCACUCUACUAAAGAGAUGUACAGCACAUAUUUUCCUCAUCUCCCUCCAGUAGUCAUUAUACGGUGAAAAAGCCAAAUCCGAGGAAUUGUAAGAUAAUUUAUGACUACAACGUCGAUAAGGUCUACUGCAGAAGUCAAGGUCAUGGGUUUUCAUAACCUCUUUAGCCAUUUUUGCUGAAGAAACUACAAGGAUUGGCUUAAACCCAAAUCGCAAGUACACGAGAGAACCAUACAUAUGAGAGAGUUUGCUAAGAAAAAUAUGAGGGGCUGAGUUAUCAAACAACUGCAUAUGUAAGUGACCAAUCAAAGGAAGAGAAGGAGGGCUAGGGGGAAGACGAUUAGAAUUGCCAUGUUUUAGGAGAAUGAACAGGAACAAGGAGAGUGGUAGAAGAAAGACCAGAAACACUACUAUUGCCAUUCUAUUCUACUCAAUGAAUCUGUCAGAAAGUUGGGAGGGAUGCUCCCUGUUGAAGUCAAACCGACUUUCAAAGUCGGUAUAAAAUUGAAGCUAAGAGUUUCUACUCAAUUUGGCCUGCAACUCUACAAAACGUGGCUUUAAAAUUGAUUGCAAAGUGGCCUGCAACUUUACAAAUUGGCCUGCAACUCAAAGAAUAAACAUUAUCAGUACAUGCUUACUGGAAGUUUCAUGAUAUAUUUAAAGGAUAAGUAAUCAUUAAUGUGGUAAACUGUGUUUAUAUAUGUAUAUUUCGUAUAUUAAUGUGUGUGCUGAAAGUGAAAAAAAAAAUUGUGUGAGAGAUAGAAAACUAGCUGUAGUUAAUUAAGAGAGAAGAAAAGUUUGUAUUUCUAUUGUGUAAUGUUUGUACUGUGCAAUAAAAUUAGUAUUUCAGCAAUUAAUUCUCAAUUACGUUUUCAACACGUGGUAUGAGAGUUAAAUUCGUAUUCGUGUCAAAAUGGUAAAUAUUAAAAUUAAAUGAACCAAAUUCUUAUUUAAAUAAAAUACGAUAGAAAAUAAAAUAAAAGUAAAAUUCAUAUAGAACUAGACUUUUUUUAUUUUAUUUUAGAAUAAGGUUUUUAAAUCUUAUUAAACUCUAUCUAUUUUAUAUUGAUUAGGAUAAGGUGUUUCAAUCCUACUAGAAUAUGGCUUUGCAAGCCUAUAAAUAGACAUAGUCUAUUCCUCUUGUAUUUGAUUCAAAUUUUUCGACAUAGUGAAUUUUCUUCUCCCCUGCCAGUGGUUUUUUCCCAAAAGGGUUUCCACGUAAAAUUUGUGUGUUCUUUAUUUUAUUUAUUUUAUUUUAUUUUAUUUUUCACAAAUUGGUAUCCGAGCUUCCGGGUUAUUCAUCUCGAUCACAGUAAUGGCGUCUUUUAAGUAUGAAAUUCCGCUGUUGGAUCGCAACACCAGAUUUGCGUUGUGGCAAAUUAAGAUGCAAGCAGUUCUUGCACAGAUGGAUCUGGAGGAUGCCCUGCUAGGGAUAGAUAAGAUGCCUUUGACAUUAACAGAUGAAGAGAAGAAGCGUAAGGAUCGAAAAGCAUUAACACAAUUACAUCUGCAUUUGUCCAACGAAAUUUUGCAGGAUGUGAUGAAAGAGAAAACUACUGCUGCAUUAUGGAAGAGGCUAGAACAAAUAUGUAUGUCGAAAACUCUAACAAGCAAGUUGCAUAUGAAGCAGCGUCUUUAUGCUCAUCGUUUGGAGGAAGGUGCAUCUGUACACGAACACUUAACAGUGUUUAAAGAAAUUCUCUCAAACUUGGAGGCCAUGGAGGUUCAGUAUGAUAAGGAAGAUCUAGGGUUGAUUCCACUUUGUUCGUUGCCCCCGUCUUAUUCAACCUUUAGAGACACGAUUUUAUAUAGCCGCGAGUCUCUCACAGUUGAUGAGGUUUAUGAUUCUUUAACCUCGUAUGAUAAGAUGAAACAUCUUGUGGUUAAACCCGACUCUCAGGGAGAGGGUCUCAUUGUUCGUGGGAGACAAGAUCGGAAUGCUGAUGAUGAUCGUGGUAGGACACAGGAACGGAAUCCUCGUGGUAAAUCUAAGGGUAGAUCGAAGUCUUCAAACAAAGGUAAAACUUGCAACUUCUGCAAGAAGAAAGGGCACAUUAAAUCUGAGUGCUAUAAGCUACAAAAUAAGAUUAAAAGGGAGGUUGCGAAUCAAAAGGAAAAACAACUAGAAAAUUUCGGUGAAGCUGAUGUUGUAGAAGACUACAGCGAUGGUGAACUUCUAGUCGCUUCUGCCAAUGAUUCUAAAGUAAGCGAAGAGUGGAUACUUGAUUCAGGCUGCACCUUCCACAUGAGUCCCAAUCGGGAUUGGUUUACAACUUAUGAAACAGUAUCUGAAAGUGUUGUUUUGAUGGGAAAUAAUGCUUCAUGUAAAAUCACAGGUGUUGGAACAAUUAAAGUUAAGAUGUUUGAUGGAGUUGUCAGAACACUUAGUGACGUGCGGCAUAUUCCAAAAUUGAAAAGAAAUUUAAUUUCGUUGAGUACUCUUGAUUCAAAAGGGUACAGAUACACAGCUGAAAGUGGAGUUUUAAAGAUUUCCAAAGGGUCCCUUGUUGUGAUGAAAGGGCAGAGAAAGAUUGUCAAGUUAUAUGUUUUACAGGGUUUUACUGUUACUGGUGAUGCAGCUGUCGCUUCCUCUUCCUUGUCAGAUGAUGAUAUUACUAAACUUUGGCAUAUGCGCCUAGGGCAUAUGAGUGAGAAUGGCAUGGCAGAAUUAAGCAAAAGAGGACUUCUUAAUGGGCAAUGAAUUUGCAAACUGAAUUUCUGUAAGCACUGUGUUUUGGGGAAGCAAAAGAGAGUCCGAUUCACUAGAGGAAUCCAUAACACGAAGGGAACGUUGGAGUAUAUUCAUUCUGAUUUGUGGGGGCCAUCCAGAGUGCCUUCGAGAGGUAGAGCUAAUUAUAUGCUAACCUUUAUUGAUGAUUUUUCCAGAAAAGUUUGGGCGUUUUUCCUAAAGUAGAAAAGCGAUGUGUUUCCCGCAUUUAAGUCUUGGAAAAUUAUGAUUGAAAAACAGAAGGGAAAACAGAUAAAAUACCUCCGCACAGACAAUGGCUUAGAGUUUUGAUUGAUGAGUUUAAUAGAUUGUGCAAGUCAGAAGGGAUCAUGAGACACUUGACAAUUCGUCAUACUCCACAGCAAAACGGCGUUGCAGAACGAAUAAACAGAACGAUCAUGGAGAAGGUUCGAUGUAUGUUGUCAAAUGCCAACUUACCGAAGACAUUUUGGGCAGAAGCGGCCUCUACUGCAUGUUUUUUGAUCAACCGAUCUCCAUCCGUUGCCAUUGAAAAAAAAACUCCACAAGAGGUAUGGUCUGGUAAUCCUGCUAAUUAUUCUGAUUUAAAAAUUUUUGGGUGUCUUGCGUAUGCUCAUGUUGAUAAUGGAAAAUUGGAACUGAGAUCUAUUAAAUGCAUUUUUCUUGGUUAUAAAGCUGGUAUAAAAGGGUAUAAGUUAUGGUGUCCUGAAAAUAGAAAAGUUGUAAUUAGCAGAGAUGUUGUUUUUGAUGAAACUGCUAUGCUACCUAACUUAUCUCUUAAAGACUCUUCCAAUAAAGAAAAUCAAAAGCAGGUGGAGCAUCAGAUUAAUACAGAGUCAACUCCUCAAGCCAGAACAAAAAUUGAGAAUAGAGUUGCUUCUUUACCACAAUACUCUAUCGCCAAAAAUAAAACUAGAAGAGAAAUUAAACCUCCAAAGAAGUAUGCCGAGGUUGAUCUAGUUGCUUAUGCUUUAAAUGUGGCUGAAGAUAUAGAUGCGAAUCAAGAGCCAUCUAAUUAUUCUGAGGCGGUUAGCUGUGAAGACUCAGAAAAGUGGAUGUUUGCUAUGCAAGAAGAAAUGGAAUCACUCCAAAAAAAUAGAACAUGGGACCUUGUGAAACUUCCUAAAGGUAAAAAGGUUGUUCGUUGUAAAUGGGUGUUUAAAAAGAAAGAAGGGACUCUAAGAGUUGAAGAACCCAGAUAUAAAGCAAGGCUUCUUGCAAAGGGUUACAGUCAAAUUCCAAGAGUAGACUUCACAGAUGUGUUCUCUCCAGUUGUUAAGCAUAGUUCGAUUCGAGCUUUACUUGGUAUUGUGGCCAUACAUGAUUUGGAGCUUGAGCAGUUAGAUGUAAAAACUGCAUUUCCGCACGGAGAACUUGAGGAAGAUAUUUACAUGCAACAACCAGAGGGUUUUAUAGUCUCAGAAAAAGAGGACUAUGUUUGAUUGCUGAGAAAGUCCCUUUACGGUUUGAAACAGUCACCAAGAUAGUGGUACAAAAGGUUUGAUUCCUUUAUGACUUCUCAUGAUUUCAAAAGAAGUAGUUUAGACAAUUAUGUUUACUUUAAGAAAAACAGUGAUGGUUCUUUUGUGUAUCUACUUCUUUAUGUUGAUGACAUGUUGAUAGCAGCAAAAGAUAAAGGAGAGAUAAGAAAGGUUAAAGCCCAACUAAGUGAAGAAUUUGAGAUGAAAGAUUUAGGACAAGCAAAAAAGAUACUUGGUAUAGAGAUUCUCAGAGAUAGAAAAGCAAGUAAAUUGUACCUAAGUCAGAAGGGGUACAUUGAGAAAGUUCUUUGCAGGUUCAAUAUGCAGAAUGCUAAGCCUGUUAGUACUCCUUUAGCAGCCCAUUUCAGACUUUCAUCGGCCUUGUCUCCUCAAUCAGAUGAUGAGAUUGAGUACAUGUUACAUGUUCCAUACUCUAGUGCAGUGGGAUCUCUCAUGUAUGCUAUGGUUUGUUCACGUCCAGAUUUAUCAUAUUCAGUCAGUGCAGUUAGCAGAUAUAUGGCAAAUCCCGGUAAAGAACAUUGGAAAGCAGUUCAGUGGAUUUUAAGAUACUUACGAGGCACUACUGAUGUUUGCUUACAAUUUGGAAGAACUAAAAAUGGAGUUAUAGGAUAUGUUGAUGCUGAUUUUACUAGAGACCUUGAUAGAAGAAGAUCUCUCACAGGUUACGUCUUUACAAUCGGAGGUUAUGCAAUUAGUUGGAAAGCCACUUUGUAAACUACAGUCGCUUUGUCUACCACUGAAGCUGAGUACAUGGCGAUUACUAAGGCUUGUAAAGAAGCUAUUUGGUUGAAGGGACUAUUUAGUGAACUCAAUGAAGACCUUCAAAUCAGCACAGUAUUUUGUGACAGUCAGAGUGUCAUCUUUCUUACAAAAGAUCAAAUGUUUCAUGAGAGAACAAAACACAUUGAUAUUCGGUAUCAUUUUGUUCGUGAUAUUAUUGCUCGUGGUGAUAUUGUUGUGAGCAAAAUUAGUACUCAUGAAAAUCCUGCAGAUAUGAUGACUAAGUCACUUCCUAUAACCAAGUUUGAGCAUUGCUUAGACUUGGUUGGUGUUCAUUGUUGAAGUUAAACCCUUAAGGAGUUUUAUGGAAGAGGUGGAGAACUUGUUUAUUGAAAGUUCGUGAUGAAGAACUUGUUCAUUGAGAAUUUGUGUCAAGGUGGAGAUUGUUAGAAUUAAGUGACCCAAAUUCUUAUUUAAAUAAAAUACGAUGGAAAAUAAAAAAAAAAAGUAAAAUCCAUAUAGAACUAGACUUCUUUUAUUUUAUUUUAGAAUAAGGUUUUUAAAUCUUAUUAAACUCUAUCUAUUUUAUAUUGAUUAGGAUAAGGUGUUUCAAUCCUACUAGAAUAUGGCUUUGCAAGCCUAUAAAUAGACAUAGUCUAUUCCUCUUGUAUUUGAUUCAAAUUUUUGACAUAGUGAAUUUUCUUCUCCUCUGUCCGUGGUUUUUUCCCGAAAGGGUUUCCACGUAAAAUUUGUGUGUUCUUUAUUUUAUUUAUUUUAUUUUAUUUUAUUUUUCACAGUAAACAUGAUUCAAUUGCAGAUCUCGAAAUUAAUGAAAAUAAAUUAUGGCAAUUGAAGCAUUCAAAUGAAGAUUUUAAUUGGUUCUCAAGAUUGUUGGGACAUUGACGAAGAAGGAUAUGUCGAGCUCGAAAAUGCAAUUGUCAAAGUGGCUUUGACAAAUGAAGAAAUAAGAGUAUUGAAAGAAACUCGUAAAAAGGAUAAGAAAGCGUUAUCCUUUAUUUUUCAAGGUGUUAAUGAAUCAACCUUUGAAAAUCAAAUGCGAAGAUGAUGCGUCGCGAAUUAAUUAAUUAAAAAUUUGACUAAGACAAUUACAUCUAUCAAUUAAUGGUAUAGUUACGGUGAGCAAAGAUACUGUUGCCAUGAAGACUAAAAGUACCAGUAGUUACCGUCUUUCUAUUAUUUAAUCGAAUAAUUCGAGUGAUUGAUUUAAAAACUAAAAUUAACUAAAUUAUUUAACUAACGAACACGACAAAGAACAAAUUAGAAAAACAAACGAUUAACAACCAAGAAGCAAACAACUCCCAAGAAAGAAUUCAGAUAGAUUUCAUCUGUCACUAUCAAUUUAAAUUACGAAAUUUCUUUACCUAGUAACUUGAACCAUAGAAAUUCCUAGAUUAUGGUAAUAUCUUUUUCGAGAAUAAGAGCAACUAACUCUAAGUUGAUUAAUUAAAAUUUCUUUCUAAUUAAAACUCUUAUUAUCGUAUUAACUCGUGCUAUGGAUUCCCUUAUUAUAUCUUACUCUAAUUCGGUAGAUUUAUGUCAUUCUAUUUCUAGGAUUGCAUGCAACUCCACUCAAUUACGUAAGAUCUACUCUUAAACAGGGUCUAUUCCUCCUCUAAUUAAAGCACGUCAAACAUAAAUCAAUAAUCUAUAAAUAUUAAACCAAGAAUUAAGCACACAUAAUUGAGAACAAGAAACUAAGAAUUUAUUGCAUAAAAUAAAAAUCAAACGACAGAAUCCAUCAUAGAGUUCAUCUCCCUAGGUAUUUAGAAAAUUAGUUCAUGCUUAAAAAUGAAAACAUUCAAGAGACAAUAUAAUAGAAAGAAAUAAAGAAACUCAUGCUAAUCUCCUAAGAAAUCAAAUGGGAAUAUUCAAUAUUCACGAAAAUCUGCUUCAGAAUCGGCUUCAAUGGUAUAUUUCGAGUUGUUUUCUUAAAUAUUCUAUGACGACCCCCUUGUAUCUUCUUAUUUUUGUCAUAUAUCUCAGAAUGCCCGAAAAACCUAAAAGUCACGAUUUUUCGCAGCUCAGUGUGCAAAUCCGUGAAAUUCAUGUUUCUAUCUCAUUCUUAGGUUUACUCUGAACAGCGAAAAAUUGUGAUUUUUAGGAGAUGGAAUGUGUGCGUCUUAGGUCUCCAUCUUUCCACCAACGUGCUUACAAGUAUGGGGUUCAAUUUACACCCCCUACCCAUACGGGUCACAUGCAAAAAUUUCGCAUCUCUCAAGUAUGGUUCGAUUAAGGACGAUGGAGUAGGGGGUGAUUACGAUUAUACGUCUCUAAAAUCCGAUCUUCUGACUAUAUAUAAAAAAUACAAAAUAUUAAAUUUCAGUAUCAAAGAAUAUAUUUAAAUUAAAAUAGAUAAAAUAUAAUAAAAACAUUCUUACAUUUGCAAUUGGUCGACCAAAAUGUGCUUGUCAUCCAAACGUAUCAAAGAUUUUUCCAUUACUAAUUUCGAAAAAUAUGAAAUAAAUUGUAAUAUAAACAUAAUUUUUAAAAAACCUUAAUACAAUUUUAAUAAAAAAAUAGUUGGGAGAUGUUAGAGUAUGUAAAAGCAAGUUGUUAGUCAGUUAUCAAAACUGAUAAUUUGUUAUAGGUUGUUAGCAGAGGUUAGCAUAUCUCUCUUGUGUAUAUAAACCUCACUCAUGUACUCAUUCAAACAGAUUAACAAUACAGAAAUAUACUUCAAUCAAAUUCUCUUUAAUUCUCUUAAUUCUUUCAUUUAGUUUGUUCAGAGAGAUACUAACAUGGUAUUAGUCGCCUAGUCUUGGUAUCUGCUUCCAUAUCAUCGCGCCUUCUGAUGAUUCUACCUCUGUCAAUCUCACGAAUCAGUCCUUCUCUAGUGCUCUGAUUCAUUCUUUUCCUCGUCAUGACACCAUCAAACUUACCGAGGGAAAUUUUAUUCAGUGGCAGCAUCAUAUUUGACUGAUCAUCGACGGGUAUGAGCUGCAAGGGUUCCUAGAAGGUACAAUCUCUGCUCUGCCUCGGUUCAUUAACGGUUCAUUAAGUCUUCUGAAGGUACACUCACUCUAAAUCCAGAGGCCUCUGCAUUUAAUCAACAAGAUAAGUUGUUAGCUUAUUGGCUCCUCUCUACAAUCAGUUCUCUCCUGUCAUAUUUUACCUCUGCUAAAUCUUCAUGUGACAUAUGGAGUACAGCAAAUCGACUUUUCGUUGCCUCUACUGGUGCGAAAAUCUCUAGGAUCAAACAUGAACUUCACUCUAUGAAUAAGGGUAUUUUAACUGUUAAGGAGUAUAUCUCUAACAUACAAACUAUUUGUGACUUACUUGCAGCAUCUGGAUCGGAGGUAACCGAGACCGAAAAAGUGAAAGUUGUUUUGACUGGACUUUCGUCCGAUUUUAAUGCAGUUUUAACAUUGGCUUCCUUCUCGACAGAGCCCCUGCUAUUUCAACAUUUUUAUGUUAUUCUGGAAUUUGAAAGUAGGUAGAUCCGAGCGACGCGUGAAGUUCUGAUCCAAGUACAUCUAGUCGAAACACCAGUGGUUGCUGCAGUGAGCGACUCCGUUUGCACGAUACGCGUGGGGGGCAAUCAAUGACAGGUUCGUGAGGACGAGAAUUUUGGCCACAAACUCAAUGCCAAAUCUAUAGUGGGUUCGGGCAUGUGGUGCAGCAUUGCUACUAUCAUUUCAACCGCGAUUAUGGCGGCCCAAACAUCUCCACCUCGACCCAAUUUUCUUCUCCUGCUGAUGGCCAACGUGCAGGGCUCUUUGGACUUGGUGGUUACUCGUGGGGUGGCUGGCCGCCUUUUUAAAAUCGGCCUUAUCAGUCGCAACUGAGAGAUGAUGCUUUUGGGUAUUAUUUUUACCCUACUGAAGGUUAUGGUAUGGGACUUCAUGAUGGUGUCCCAAAUGAUUGUUUUGGGUCUAGUGGUGGCCCAACGAAUGGAUAUGGUCCAUACACUAGACCAUAGUUUGGACGUGAAAUACAGCGUGGGCCAGGGCAUGACGUGGGCUGUUCUGGGCCGUCUGCUACUAUAGUGCCUAGGUCAAGUGCAGCAGGCCCGUCGCUUGUCCAAGGAAGUGGCCAGUUUGCUGGGCCAAUUGCAGGCCAAUCUCGUGGGCUACAUGCUGGCCAGAAUUUUGGGCAGUCCAAUGGGCAGUCUAAUAGGUAGGAAAAUGCUAGUUACAAAUUUGGGCCUAUAGCAAAUUGUAUUGAAGGUUCUAUGCAAAAUAAUCUCCUGAAGUUUCAUGGUGAACCAAACCACGAGCUCGUGUCUUUGAUUUUGAUUCCUCUCAGUGUGUUGGGCUACCCAGAAUUCUUGAUUUUCACGUAUUAGAUUUUUCAUAUGCUACGCAAUAUGAUUCUAACUUUGAUAACUCUAACUCAUAUGUUCAUGUGCUAGUAAGAACAUCUUCGUAGUAUCCAGACUCCGAGGCCACUCAUCAUGUUUGUCAGAAUGCGUCCAGAUUAAAUGCCUCCACUCCGUAUAUAGGUAUUUCCUCUAUUUUAACGGGCAAUGGGGCUCCCACUAAAAUUUCGUCCAUUGGGAAUACUAUUUUACCAACCGUGAAGAAAUUAUUACAUCUGUCUAAUAUCUUGUGUGUACCAAGCAUUCAGAAAAAUCUCAUGUCUGUUUCUCAAUUUGCCACUGACAACAAUAUAUAUUUUGAAUUUCACCCUGAUCAUUGUGUUGUGAAGGACAUCCAAACACAGGAAAUUUUUCUGCGAGGCCAAGUUCGUGAUGUUCUAUAUCAGUUUUCAGUAAACUCGAUUGCUUUUCCUGCUUCAAAUCUGUCAAUUCACAACAUCAAGAUUCACAAUUGUCCUUCAGAUGAUGAUGUCUUUCAACUAUGGCAUAAAAGGCUUGGUCAUCCAUCUUCAGCAACUGUUAAAAAUGUUCUUAAUAAGUGUAACAUUGUCAAAAAAGGAAGUCUCAUAAACUGACUUUUUCAAAUUCUAUUAUUGUAUACAUGGAGCUGUUUGACUUACUUGUGUCUGAUUUGUAGGGACCUGCUUCUGUUGCAUAUGGGGGUAAUUUGUACUAUAUUUCAUUCAUUGACAUGUGUAGCCGGUUUACCUGAAUUUAUUUAAUUAAACAUAAAUCUCAAGCAGUUGAAUGUUUUCUUCAAUUUCAGAAGAUGGUUUUCACUCAGUUUAGGAAGAAUAUUAAGAAGUUUCAAAGUAAUUGGAGCGGUGAGUUCCGUACUUUUGCAUCAGUCCUCUCUAGUUAUAGGAUUUUUCAUCGUCUUACCUGUCAUCACACGUCUAAACAAAAUGGUGUUGCUGAACGUAAACACAGACAUAUUGUGGAGACUGGUCUUACUCUUUUGGCUCAGGCUAAUCUUCCUAUAGACUAUUGGGGCUAUGCAUUCUGCAGUAUUGUGCAUCUUAUUAAUUGGCUACCUACUCUGGUCCUGAAAGGUCAGUCUCCGUAUCAAAUUGUCAUAUGAUCAUCUUAAUCAUAUGAUCAUCUCAAGGUAUUUGGUUGUUGUUUUUUUUCAUACUUAAGCCUUUUUGUACGACAUAAGUUAGACUUUCGCUCACAACCAUGUACAUUUAUGGGAUAUAAUUCUCAACAUAAGGGAUAUAACUGUCUUACACCGGAUGGUAAGGUCAUUAUUUCUCGCCAUGUUAUUUUUUAUGAAGAUCAAUUCCUGUGUUCCUUACCGGUUGUGGACACUGUUCAGAAACCUACGUGUGUUCCUAUGUAUGUUCCUAUUAUUCAGCAGUUGUCUUCUCGACCUAGUACAGAGCCAAACAGAAUCUCAGUGUCUUUAUUUACAAUACCUGUGCACGAUCAAAACUAUGAAUCUAUGCAGUUUGGUUUAAUUGCUUCACCUACUACUUCUAAUCCCCUAUCAAACACCUUAGUUAAUUCGACGGCUACAUCAGAGUCUGGUCUAAGGGAGCCUCAUCCUGCUACUGAAGAUAUCCCAUUAUUUACUAAGAUUGUCACUGCUCCUCCUGUAUCUCCAAAGAAUACUCAUACUGUGGUUACUCGAUCUAAAGCUGAAAUUUUUAGAUCCAAGGUGUUAGUUGUAGAUGCUAUAGAUUUUAAACCAAGCUCUGUUGAGGAAGCUCUUGCUCAUAAGGAUUGGAAAUUAGCUGUUCAAGCUGAGUUUGAUGCUCUAAUUGCUAACUCUACCUGGGAACUUGUUCCACUACCUCCUGGUUGGAAGGCGAUUGGGUGCAAAUGGCUUUUUAAGGUCAAGAAAAAUCCCGAUGGGACAGUUGAUCGUCGAAAGGCACAAUUGGUUGCAAAGGGAUAUUCACAAGUACCGGGGUGUGACUUCAGCGAAACAUUUAGCCUGGUGGUCAAACUUAUUACCAUCCGAACCAUUUUAUCUAUUGUUGUGUCUAAUGGUUGGCAACUUCUCCAAGUUGAUGUAAACAAUACCUUUUUGAAUGGAGACCUAACUGAUGAAGUAUUCAUGUAACAACCUCCAGGUUAUGUUCAGUAUGGUUCAAAUGGUGAACAGUUGAUGUGUCGUCUGAAAAAGGCAUUGUAUAGAUUACGGCAAGCACCUCGUGCCUGGUUUGAAAAAUUAAAGUAGUUUCUCUUAUCUACUGGGUUUGUACUAUCCAAGUUAGAUGCUUCAUUAUUUGUCAAAGUUUCGACUAAGUUCGGCAUCUAUGUCUUGGUUUAUCUUGAUGAUAUUAUUAUUACUGGUAGUUUGUCUGACGAGAUAAAUUAUUUUGUUCGUCAACUACACAAUGAGUUUUCUCUGAAUGAUAUGGGUGAUCUCUAUUAUUUUUUAAGGAUUGAAGUCAGUCAAUCUGCUUCUGGCAAUUUUCACUUAUGUCAGUGCAAAUACAUUAGGGAUCUGCUUGCUAGAAGUUCUCUAUCUAAUGCAAAGAGUGUUCAUACGCCUAUGGUCAGUUUCUUUACUUUUUCCAAAAAUGAGGGUGAUCGGCUUGCAGAUCCUACUGAAUAUCGAAGCCUUUCUGGUGGUCUUCAGUAUGUGGUCUUAACUCGACCAAACAUUGCUUAUGCUGUAAAUCAUGUGUGUCAAUUCAUGCAUGCCCCUACUACAGCUCAUGUGGUAGCAUUAAAACAUAUCUUGAUGUAUUUACAUGGCACUAUUGAUCAUGGUUUGGUCUUUUGGCGAUCUGACAGACUUUCUUUGGUCAGGUAUGCUGAUGCCAACUAGGGUCUUGAUUUUGACGAUCAUCAUUCUACUACUGAAUAUUGUGUCUACUUUGAGCAUACACCUGUCUCGUGGUGUUCUAAGAACAGCAAAUUAUUUCUCGAUCUAAGGCCGAGGCCGAGUAUCGAAGUUUAGCCACUGCCACCAGUGUCAUUGCCUGGUUGGUUUACCUAUUGACAGAGUUGAAACUUAGUUCUGCUGAUCCUCCUGCUAUCUGGUGUGAUAAUUCUAGUACCGUAACUGUUGCAGCUAAUUCAGACUUACAUUCCAAGUUCAAACAUGUCGAACUUGAUCUAUUUUUUGUUCGAGAAAAGGUGGCUAAUGGGUCUUUAGUUGUUAGUGAAGUACCAGCUUGUGACCAGGUUUCUGAUAUUCUCACUAAACCACUGUCUGUCUCCAAUUUUAUGCGGUUUCUUCAUCUUUUUCGAGUCGUACCACUUGCGGAAGCUCGAUAAUGUUAGAGUAUGUAAAAGUAAGUUGUUAGUCAGUUAUCAAAACUGAUAAUUUGUUAUAGGUUGUUAGCAGAGGUUAGUAUAUCUCUCUUGUGUAUACAAACCUCACUCAUGCACUCAUUCAAACAGAUUAACAAUAUAGAAAUAUACUUCAAUCAAAUUCUCUUUAAUUCUCUUAAUUCUUUCAUUUAGUUUGUUCAUAGAGAUACUAACAGGAAAGGAAUAAAUAUUGUGUGAGAAAUUAAGAAGGAAUUGAGAGAGAUUUGAGAAUGUGAGAGAGAGGAGUUGAGAUUGAACUAAACAAAAAAGAAAAGAAUUAGGGGUUUAUAUAGAAAAAAAUAGUUGUUAGUUGGGGGAGAGGGAGGGGGAGGGGGAGGGGGAGGGGGUUCAAUGGCUAUCUAAAUAGCCAUUGGGAGGGGUAACCGUUGUGGGAAACGCUUCUAGCUGGAAGCGGAUUUCUGUCAAUCCACUUAAAAUGCUUCUAGAUGGAAACGUGUCACAUUUCGAAAAUCCAAUUAGUAGAACCGAGGGUUUAGUCAGAUAUUAGAAACUAGGAUCGUAAAUGAGUAAAUUAAGUAUGUGAGUAACAUAAUCAAGUUCUAUUUUAUUAAUUAGCUCAAAACAAAGUUCAAAUUUAAGGUCUAAUUAGGAAAAAUUAAUUAUAAUUGAUUUAGGACCUAAUUGGAAAAGGGAAGAAUUAGGAGUGACCAAAAGGGCAAAUUGCCCAAUUUUUGUAAAUUGGUUUCCUACUUGCGACCACUCAUGUAACACCCCCUACCCGUAUUCUGAGCCUAGAAUAGGGUACGAGGCAUUACCAAACUUAAUAUGAUCAAUCAUGUAAAAAAAUCAGCCAUAAAAUUUUUUUCUAAAUUAAAAACUUUCAUACAUAUGUUUAACGUCCCUUAUAUGGGCCUACGGGGCCCAAAACAUACAUUCAGGGUGGUUCGGGACCAAACCGUAAACAUAUGAAACUUUUGUAACACUUAGAAAAUUUUCACACUUUAGAGAGCGACACGCUCGUGUUUUCAACCCGUAUAACUCUCUGUUUAUAACUUCAUCACCCUUGUCAGUCGUACACUUCAUAUAAAUAACAAGAAACGUGUAUGGGCUUAAUUCUCAUUCAAUUUCUCAUAUAUAUACACAAUUUCACGUUAUGUAAUCAUACAACAUAUAUCAACCAUAUCUCUGUAAUCUAAAUAUAUUUUCAUAACAACUUAUCUUGAUUUCAGACUAUUUCAUAUUUAAGCUUAAAUAACCAAAGUAUUUGAAAUAUCAUCUUUAUGCAAAUAGUACACAUGAGGUAUAUAAUUCUAUAAUUAUGAAUAAACACAUUUAUCAAACAUUUUCCAUAUUCAUAUAUCAAUGUCUCAUGUCUCCAUAUAUCAAUAACAGUCAUUUUCAUGAAUUUCGAGUUCAAUUUCAUAAUUAUUUGUCUCGUGUUCAAUUUAUUCCAUAUCGAAAUUUUAUUCAUUAAAACAUUUGAAUUAUCAAUACAUAUGGACAGUACAUUCAAGAUGAACAAUUAUAUAAUCACAAAUGAAUUCAUUUAUCAACCAAGUUCUAUACUUGUAUCUUAUCAACUCGUACUUCCUUGUAUCACAUAAUUCCAUGUAACACUUGCCAAACUUUGUCAAAUUAGUGAACGUCUUACGGAAUUGAGUACUUCGUUUUCUCGAUGCCAUAGUUCAACUAUGGUCUUACACAUCUUCACAUAUUGAUGCCAUAGCCCGGCUAUGGUCUUACACAUAUUCAUAUAUCAAUGUCAUAGCCCAGCUAUGGUCUUACACGAAUCACAUAUCUCACUGAUGCCAUAUCCCAGAUAUGGUCUUAUACGGAAAUCACUUGUCACUUGUAGCCGAAGCUACCACUAUUCACUGAUCAGGUAGCCGGAGCUACCAUUUUUCACUGAUCAGGUAGCCGGAGCUACCACUUUUCACUGAUCAUGUAGCCGGAACUAUCACUUUUCACUGAUCAGGUAGCAAAAGCUACCACUUUUCACUGAUCAAGUAGCUGAAGCUACCACUUUUCACUUGUCAUUUGUCAUUGAUCAGAUAAGUGUAGCCGAAGCUAUCACUUAUCACUUGUUGCCAUGGUUCAACCAUGGUCUUUUCCUUCAAUUCAUCUUGUCACUGAACUGAAAUGCUCAAUUUGAUCAUUUAUUCAAAUUUCAUGCUUUUACAUUAUUCACGAUUUUAUCAUCAAUACAUAUGAAAUAACACAUCAUGAAAUUCAUAAAAUUAACAAAUAAUAACUAAAAUUUAGCCAUAUAAACUCACAAGUUCAAUUUCUGUAUUAUAACGAUAAUCAUAAUUUCAUAAUAAAUAUACCAAAUAAAACAUUAUAUCAUUUCUAAUCCAACACUUAUCGAUUAUAAUCGGGCAUGUGAUCCAUUUAUACACGAGUCAUUCAUAUAUUUUUGUAUAUUUUCCUCCCCCUCCUCUCCAUCCACAUCCUUAGUAUAAACAACACACUUGUAGGUAACAUUAUCCAUAAUUUUCACUAUCUACUUAUGUGAAUAUUCAAGUUGUCCAUCUGUGUCAUAGUCACUAAAUUAUUUUUAUAUUGAGCUAAAGAACUACAAAUUAAGAUUCAUAAAUUUUCCCAGAAACUAGACUCAUAUGUAUUCUUACCAUAAAAAUUUCAUAAUUUUUAGUUGGGCCAAUUAAUACAUUUUAUUCAUUGAAGUCUCCCCUAUUCUGCUGUCUGACAGUUCCGACCCUUCUUCACUAAAAAUUAAUUAUCUUCUCAUACAGGAUUCGAAUGAUGUCCUUGCUUAUUUAUCUUGAAAAUAGACUCAUUCAGUAUUCUGAACAUAUAAAUUUAAUCCCAUAAUUAUUUUUAUCCAAUUUUUUAUGAUUUUACAAAGUCAGAACAGGGGAACCCUAAAUCAUUCUGACUUUGUCUCACAAAAUUCAUUAUAUCUCAUGAUUUACAAUUCUAUUGCUUACAUAAUUUAUUCUAUAAGAAACUAGACUCAAUAAGCUUUAAUUUCAUAUUUUAUUCAUCCUCUAAUUCCAUUUUUAAAAUUUUUUGUGAUUUUUCAAAGUUAGACUACUGCUGCUGUCUAAAAUAGUUUUAGUGCAAAAUGUUGAUUUCUAUUUUGCCCCAAAUUUCACAAUUCAUACAAUUCAGUCCUUGCUCAAUUAACCCCUCAAUUAAGAUAAUUUUCUUAAUUAAUACUUUUUAUGGACAUUAUAAGUUAUUUCAUAACUAUUGAAAUUCAUAAUUUCCACAUAAAACUCUAACUUCAAACUCUUUUACAAUUAGGUCCCAAACAUUCACUUUCUAUUCAAUUCUUUCAAAAAAAUCAGCAUAUAAACAAUUUUAAGCUCUAAUUCCAUGCCAAAUCAUCAUAUACUUCCAGAACAUAUUCAUAGAAACUUUCAAUUUCUUUCAUAGAAUCAAAAACUAAUGAAUUCAACAAGUGGACCUAGUUGUAAAAGUCAUAAAAACACAAAAAUUUCAAGAAAUAAUCAAGAAUUGAACUUACUUGAAGUAAAAAUAUGAAAAACCAGCUUAAGGGAACUCUUCCAUGGUGUUUUUGCUGAUUAGAAUGCAGAAAAAUAAAGAGAAAUCUAGAUAUUCUAAUUUAGUCCCAUUUUUAUUUAGCCAAUUUUGUCAAUUUUCCAAUUUUGCCCUUAUUUCACCCAUUCCCUGAUUUUUCUCAGCUAUUGCCUCCCAAAAUAUCUCCUUUGGGCUUAUUUGCACUUUAGGUCCUUCCUCAUUUGGCAAUUGAGCUAUUUAAUCCUUUUAGCAACUUUUACACCCUUUUCAAUUUAGUCCUUUUUAUUUAAUUAACCACCCAAACGUCAAAAUUUUCUGACUAAAUUUUAUUACUACCUCAUCAACACUCUAUAAAUAUUUCUAAAAAUAUUUAUGGCUCGAUUUACGAAGUCGAGGUCUCAAUACCUCAUUCUCGACCCAAUUUACCUAAUUAAUUCUUUUAAAUCACCAAAUUCACUAAUUCAAAAAUGCUUUUAUAUUCACAUUUGACUCAUAGGUAUUAAUUUAUUAAAUUUUCAACUCACCCGUCGAAUUUAGUGAUCUCAAAUCUCUAUUCCCAAUACCACUAAAAAUUAGGCUGUUACAACUCAUGUAUUCCCCCUUCUUUUUAAAACCCCAAAUUAUUUAAAAUUUCCCAAAACCUAAAAUCAGAGUUCCUUCAAAAUAAAUUCAUUUCUUCAGAUUUAUUACCUUUCCAAACACCAAAAUGAUUCCUAAUUUCAAACAAAAAUCACAUUUUCUCUCCCAAAUCCGUCAUUGUUUUUCUUGAGUUCAAAUCCUGAAUUAGAGCUCUAGAUUGUCGUUUUCAUUGAAUUAAGUUAAUAUUCUGACUUUCUAGGAUUAAACAAAAAGUGUUGUUUGUAAUAGGCCCAUUUUGCUCGGGCCCAUACCAAAACCAAAAUGAAAAAAGCAAAGCAAAAUAACAAAAUAAAAUCCAAUGAUAAGUGUCCAGUCCAUUUACAAAUUACACUUAUGGCCCAACAGACCCAAUAAACUUAAUUACCUAGCCUAUUUACAAGAAAACCAUCAUAGCCCAAAAAUUUAACCCAAUUGAAACCCGACUCAGGUGGCCCAAUUUUCGAUUUCAGGGACUGAAACCCUAAGACCAAUAUUGAAGCCUCCUCAGCGAGGAUCUCCAACGCCACAGAGUUUCGAGCCUCCUCCACGUCAUCCCCACGAGCUUUCUCCUCCGUACAAUCGAACCUGUGAGAAGAAAAUAACCGACUAACAACCACAACAGUGCAGCAAUUGACAGAAAUAAGCCAGCAAAUGAUAGCAAAAAUUAGAGUUUUUUCUAAUAUAUAUAUUUUUUAUUUUGUAAAUCCGGCUAUAAAAAGCCAUGGAUGUAAUCUGUAAAGGACUUAACCAUACUGAAUAAAAAAUACGAAAGCAAUUUUGAAAAGGUGAUUCAAUCAUCAAUUUUGGCCUUUAUUUUUUCUGUUUUUAUUUCUUUCUUAUUGGUGAAUCUAUCACGCAAAUAUAAAAAUAAGGAGGAUAGUUUGCUUACCAGUUAUUCGACGUCGAUCCAAUCGGCGUUUGCUCCUCCGAUCCAAAGGCACACGGAUCCUUAGGGACCGGUUGAAGCCAUGGCGGAGAUGAAGGAUUAUUUCGACGCGGUUAAGGUUCCCAUGAGAGGUUAAGAGGUUUUAAGGAACUGAUUUAGGGCUUUCUUUUGAGGAAAUAAUCUGCUAAUUGAUUUUAGGGCAGCUUUUAGCUUUUAUAUGCGUUUAAAAAUGGCGUCGUUUUAAUCCGUACGAAUUGGCGUUGAAACGGCAUCGUUUCAUGAUGCAACCCAAUGACCCGACCCAGUUUCUUUAAAGAUCCGCGCGUCUUAUAAGGAGGGGAUAAUUAUGCUUGUGGUCCUUCCGCAUUUCCGUUAUGUUUUAAUAUGGUUUGUUUUGUUUUCAAUUUCUCCCCUUAAUUUCAAUACUGUUUCAAAUCAGUCUAUUUCUAAACGUUUCAUUUUAGAAUUUGGUUCAUUUUCACUUUUAGCCCUCUUAGGUUUGAGCAUGUUGUAUUUUAGUCCUCCAUAUUGUUUUAAUAGUUUCAUUUACUUGUAAACUGUUUCUUUGAUUUUAUUUUUAUUUUAAUAGAGUUUUUUUAUUUUAUUUUUUUCCUUUCUUUUGUAAUUCUUUUAUUUUCUUUAAAAAUUAUUUAUUAUUCAUCUCUAGCUUGAAUUAUUUUACUGAUUUUGCAUUGUUCAAGCACUUUCAUUAGUGUAUAUAUAUAUGAAUAUAUUUUAAUUUGUUUUAUUUUACAAUUUAUGUAUUAAAAUUCUCUUAUAUAUAUUUUUACGUUUGAAGAUUUAUAUGGUAUUUAACCUCAUACUAUUAUACAUGACUGAUAUUAAAUUAUUUUUACUUUAGUACACGUUAUUGAUUUCAUAUUAUUCUAUGUAAACAUUUUCUAUGUAUGUAUAUAUAUAUUUUCCUUUAAAUUUAUUUAUGUGUAUAAUGUGUUUCUUUUAAGGACUCUAUUUUAAAUUGUAUAUUUUACUUAUUCUAUACAUUUCCAUAUAUUAUUAUCAUUAUGUAAGUAUUAUCUAUACAUAUCAUUAAUCCAAAUCAAUUUAUUUCAUACGAAAUUAUUUUAUACAUUAUUUAUUUCAAAUUUCUUUUUAGACAUACAUAUAUAUAUUGGUACACAUGUUUGAUUUAUAUACAUCACUAAAUCCAUGUAUUUUAUACAUAUAGUUUUUCUUUGUAUACAUAAUUAUGUUUUUAAAAUCUAUUACAUAUAUAAUUUAUGAUAAAAUUAACUUAAUCUUAUAUGCAUUAUUAAUUUCAUGCUAUUUUUACAAAUAAUUACUUCUAAAUCUGUUUAUGUACAUAUGUAUUUUGUAAACCUAUUAUUGUGUAUUUCCUAAGAUUAUAUUUUAUUAUGAAUUCUUGCUAUCCUUUCAUAUUUUAUAUAUUAUUUAAAUUUUCCUUUAUUGUAUGUAUUUUAACAAAUGUUUUUAACAUUUGAUAUAUUAUUCGAUUUAAAAAUCUUCAUUCUGUAACACUUAUUUUAAUGAUUACAUAUAUAUCUCUAGUUUUUUUCUACAAAUAAUUUCAAAUUCAUCAAUUCAUAUAUUAUAUAUAUUAUGUGUUCAACGGUUCAUCAUUAUUUUAAAUUUGUCUUAUACCAUAUUAUUUUUAAUUUUCAUUUUGUUUUGUAUAUUUUGUAUCGAUAGUAUUAUAUUAAGCUAUAUAUCAUUGUUGUAUACUAUUUUUUUCAUUUUUUUAUUUGUUAUAUCAAUUGUUCUCCAUACAUGCUUGGAAAGUUGGUUUCAUUUUGCUUAGAUAUGUUAUAUUCAAUUGUUUGAUUUGAUUGGUUAAAUAAGGUUAUGUUAUCUUCAUUUACCAAGUAUUGUAUUUUAUGCAUGCAUAUUAUCCCAUGAUUAUUUUUUUUUCUUUUGGUUUACAAAUGUUGCUUUAUAAUUUUCAACUCUUUAAAAUCAAUUAUUACAUUUUAUUUCAAAUAAAUUAAGGCAUUCUGAGUUAGUUUACAAUAAUUUAUUUAAAUUUUUUAAAACAAAGCAAUGUUCAAUAUUUGAAAAUUCAGAAAAUCGUGCCCUACCGUGCUGGGUUUCGAUUUUUCGUUAGACUAAAUAUUUGGAUAUCCUGUUGUAAUUUUUGACCUAAAAGCUUUUGGGAGUCAAAAAUCAAUCGUGUUUUCAAAGGUAUAAAGGAUCAUGUCCUAUCGUGCUGGAUGUGGUGUUGUAUACCUUUGAAAUUAGAGAGUUUUGACAACCAACUUGAACCACUCAAAUGUUUUAAAAAAAACCAUAUUUCAAAUUCUUUUUAAACAAAACCCUAGACAUAAGGACAAUACUUAAUCAAUCUGGUACCAGUUUUUGGGCGUAGUGAGGGUGCUAACCCUUCCUCAUACGUAAUCGGCUCCCAAACCCAUCUUUUUUUUACGUAGACCAAAAUUGAUUUAAAUGGAACAAAAUGCUUUAACAAAAAGAUUGGUGGCGGCUCCACAUUUUGUUUUAAAAAUUUGAUCCUCGUUUUCUCUAAAAAUGGCUUCGACAGCUUGGCGACUCCACUGGGGAUUGAACAAGAGAGUCUAGCCAUAAAAUUGAUUAUUUUCUGUCCUUUUAUCUAAAGUUGAAAAAUUAAUUUGAAAAUCAUGAUUCUUUGUGGCCUUUGUUUGCAUGAUUGUUUUGGUCCAUGUCUUGUGGAAUAAUAUUGCAUUGCAUUGCAUAACCGUUGCGGUUAUACCUUUAAGUGGGAGUGAGAAGCUAUGCCUUCGUGAGGUUUUCACCUCCGCAUGGGCUAGUAGAUUACUUCCGGGAUACAUCCGUACCUAUGAUUUCGUGAGAUUUUCAUCUCCGUAUGGUCAUAGGGAAAUGUAUUCCACUGAACUGAACUCGAUCCAUAUGAGCCUAUAAUGGGUAAGGAUUAAGGAAUCUGCUGGUUCAGGUUCCAUUUCUCUAGAACCAAGCUACAUAUAGUGAAUCCUAAGAGUUCACCUUAGGUAGAACUAUAUCCGAAGGUUAGUAGUCACUCGAAUAGAUACUUUAUUUGUUAUUUAUUUCUUCUGUACUAAUGUGUUUUGUUUAUAACUGCAUUGCAUUACAUAAUCAUAGAAAUGAGGUGUUGAUUCAUAUUUGAUUACUAAACAGAACAGUUUGUCAUAGGAAGACGAAUUUCUUGAUAAAGUGGAUUAUAAUACGAUUGUCUGAAUAUGGUCCAAGUAAACACAAUAGAAGAAGGCUGAUAGUUCGCGGAGGAAAACAAGAAUUUGUUUUAUUGCCCAAGGAUUCAAGCCAAUAAAGAUUAUUCAAGAGUCGUCGUGUCCUGACUUUCUUAAAGGAGCUAAUCAACAUCGCGAGGAUAAUAAGUCGCGGCCUGAAUCAAGCAAAAAGGAGCUAGUGGAGGCAUUUAUUGGAAGCUUGAUAGAUUUUACUUUUACGAAGAAAAGGGAUCGGUGUUUUCACCUGGAAUAUGAAAGCAAUGUCGUAUAUGUAAUCCGUUUUAUGUAAAGGAAUUUGUUUUCUAGAAAAGUUGUUCUAAUGGAAUUGAAUUCAAAAUCAACACAUUUAUUUCUUUUACAUUCAUCCCAUGCAUUUGCAUUGCAUUGCAUCAUUACAUCAUUUGCAUUAGGUUUUCAUAAAAGGGUCCCUAAUUAGUUGAAACCAUUUCAGUUAAUCUGGGAACCAAUAAAAACUUACCAACCAAGUGUCGUUACGGUACCCGUGCUAAGAAAAAAGAUAUAAACUAAAGAUUGGAAAGGCUUGAACAACUUCAAAGGGAGAUGCAAGACCAGUUACAAAUGCAAAUGCAAGAGCAGCUAACUAAGAUUCGACAAGAUAUGAGAGACCAAGUGCUAGAGUCUCAAAGGAAUAUGAUGGAUUUGUUGUCCCAAUUGCUAACUAAGGGGCUAGGAAAAGGGAAAAACUCCAUGAUUAAUGCUGGGGAGAACAAGGAGGAGCCUCUCUACCCUCUGGGUUUCACCCCGACAAAUGCUCAAACAUGUUCGCAAAGUGUACCUAUUAUCAAAACUUAGCAAUAUCAGGCUGGUACCUCGACACCAGUAGAUUACCCAAUAGGCUUGGGCUCUAAUUUGGGAGGCAACCAACCAAUCUUGAAGCUCCUGAUUUGGAUAAAAUGGAAAAAGUAAAGAGGGAACUGCCAAGACAACUUGAGGUUCGAUAAAGGUAGUUGGAGGAAAUAUUGAAGGCAAUGGAGAAUGUUGGCUUCUACUGUGGGAUUGAUGUCAAGGAUCUGAGUUUGGUCCUCGAUCUAGUACUCCCGUAAAAAUUUAAGAUUCCAGAGUUUGAAAAGUAAAAUGGGACUAGUUGGCCUGAAGUUGACAUCACAAUGUUCUGUCGAAGGAUGAUAGGGUACGUUAACAAUAACCAAUUAUUAAUUCAUUACUUCCAGGAUAGUCUAAUCGGGUCAGCAGCUAAAUGGUACAGUCUGUUGAGUCGUGCUAAAAUCAAUUCAUGGAAGGUCUUAGCACAAGCUUUUAUGAAGCAGUGUAGCCAUGUAACAGACAUGGCACCCGACAGAAUUACCCUGCAAAAUGUAGAAAAGAAGCAAAAUGAGAGCUUUAGGCAAUAUGCCUAAAGAUGGAGAGAGGUAGCAACACAAGUCCAACCGCCUCUUCUGAAAAAGGAGACUACGAUACUUUUCAUCAAUACUUUGAAAACCCCGUUCAUUGACUAUAUGUUGGGAAGCGCUACUCUGAGCUUUUCAGAUAUAGUAAUAUCUGGUGAGAUGGUUAAAAGUGCAGUAAGAAAUGGACAAAUAGAUGUGGGAGAGAGCGCUAAAAGGUCAACCCCGAUAAACAAAGAAAAUGAAGUGAACAUUGUGAGCAUGCCUUCUAAAUUGGUCAACAUAGGCCAGCCGAGAGUUGUAACAACUAGUUAUCAAAGAGAAUUUAAAUGACAUAUCCAAAAAGAGGUCCAGGGAAUAAAAGAUUCCAAACCCUUAUAUACUUGGGGAUGUUUUAAGCAAUAGGAUUGUGGAAGAGAUCCCUGUAUUUUUGGAGUUAAUCUAGAGUAAUGUUCAAAACGCGCUUGUUGCUUUUAGCCUAGGGGCAAUAAGAAUCCUUUUGUGAAAUAGGCUUAUGUCUAAAAAAUUUUAUUUCAAUAAAAUACAUUCUUUUUGAAUAAAUAUUUUUUCAUUCUUUAUAUAUUCUUUUUUUCUUUAGACUAUUUUUUUAAAAUAUACUUUCAUUCUUCAUUCCUGGUCAUACCAUACAAAUAAUCAUCAUUGGAAUCAUUUAUUCUUUGGAAUUUGCCUUUGUACCUACAAUAGGUCCCCAAAUAUCAAUAACAUGAGCAACGUUGUAACUAACUCCCUUUAAGAGUGAGACACGUGUUUAAGUGGAUCUUUGGACUUUAAAGAUGAUAGAGAUUGUGAUUUAUUUCCUGAUUUGUUAAGGACGGUAGAAUAAGAUGAAAAAUGGAUCCUACUUUACGAAGGAUCAUUAGACAUUGUGAGCAAGAGGCAAAGAUCGAAGCCUGAGUCACCACAAAGACAAAACGAAUCGUCUUUGCGUUAUUCCAAGAAUUCAAAGAUGUUAUCGCAUAAUCAUGUCAGAUAUACUAGAGAUACCAAGACUUGUGGACGCUAAUAAAUGUCUAUACUGGUGUAAGAAUGACACAUGUUAAUGGUUUCAUGGUAACCAAGCUAAUCAUGAGGUUUGGGUAUUGUUGAUCCACUAUGGAAGGGGAUUGCAUUAGUUAGGCUAUAUUUAGGGAGACAAGAUUCAUGUGCCUCAUUUAUUUCUUCACAGGUUUUCUCUAUGUGAGGCAUGGAUGUUAUUAGGCCAUUCUCAUCUAAUAUACAUCGAUUUAUCUUGGCAGUCAUUGAUUACUUCACGAAGAGGGUGAAGGUCACUUCAUAUGCCAAUAUUACAUGAUUGAUAGUUAUCAAAUCUCAAAAAAAAAAAGGUUGCUGACUAGUAAUGUCAAAAAGGAUCACUUCUAAUACAACUACAUAAUGUCAAAAGUUUGCAAUCUGUUCAAAGAUCAGACACUAUAUCACAAUGCAGCAAAGGUAUCCAAAAAGAAAAACAAAAGUAUAAAAAAAUAAAAAAAUAAAAGGAAAAGGAAAAGCAUUAAAACAAUAAAACAAAGGUCAUAGUGAAAGAUGAUUGAGUCUUGUAAGGAUUGGCAUAAAGAAGUUAUCAUUUACCCUCUAUGCUUAUCGAACGUUGGCCAGGGCCUUCCCUGGGGCAACACAUUACUCAUUGGUUUAUGGGAUAAAAACAGUUUUGAAGACGAGAUUCUUUAUCUUCGAGUCUUGUCAGAGUUGAAGAAGGCAGAAUGGAUCUAAACUCGAUAGAUCAGUUGAAUUUGAAGAGAGGAGAUUUUGCCGUGGUCUAAUACACUAGAAAUGAAUGAUAUGAGAAAAUUCCAUGAAGGGAACUUGAUAUUGAAGAAGAUACUUCCUAUACAAAAAGACUUCAAAAGAAGAAAUAUGCCGAACUAGGAGGGACCUUAUGUAGUAAAGAAGGUUUGUUCUGGAGGAGCAUUGAUAUUGACCAAAAAGAUUUCCCCAAUUCGGGGAAUUCAAAAUGCAGUCAAAGAGUAUUCUACCAAAAAUGGGAGAAGCCAAGGUAAAAACCCGCAAAGGGCGCCUUGAGACUUUAAAAAAAAGAUCGAAAUAAAAAAUCACAAUCAAAACGAAAAAAGAAAAAUCAAAAAAAGAAUCAAUCAAAAAAAUAAAAUAAAAAAUAAAAAAGAAGAAAGAAAAUGAGAGGCUAAGAUGAAAACCCGCAAAGGGCGCUUUGAGACCAAAAGGGAUUUGAGUUGAAAACCCAAAAAUGGCUGCUCAAAUUUGGAUCAAAAUGGGGCAUACAGUAGUCUUGCUAUGCUUGAAUUAAUAAUGAAAAAAGUAUGUUACGUCUUGAAGCAUCGACAAAGUACUUCGGAUCCCCUAAACAUAGAUUGAGCUCAGAAUGGUCCUCAAGAAGUUUGUACAAAGAAGCUCAAGCUGCGAUAUCUGGGGCACAUAGCUUUCUAUUUUUACCCUUUUUUUUGUUAUCUUUGAUUACCUUAUUCUUUUCAGGUCACGUCUCAAUAAAUUUCUUUCUUGAUUACAUUUGCUUGUUUGUUUUGAGCUAUGUUCUCAAUUAAUUCCUUUCUUGUCCAUGGUUAUGAUCUUUUUCAAGUAUUUUGCAUUGAAAUGACGAUUUUUGGACUAAUAAUACUUUCAUAAAAGAAGUUUCGCAUAUUACUUUGGGAAGUUUCUAAAUAAUACAGGAGCCUGAAAUAGGACUAUUGUUUAAAACUCACCAAGCUUAAGGGUUGGAAAUAUUUAAGCCCAAAUUGGAUUAUCUCUUUGGAAUUUCUGUCAAAAAUAUUGAUUGAACAAAAAGAAAUUACAUCGGUGUUAUAAUCCCAAUGAAAAGUGAGCAAUAGGAUUAUUCUUGAGAAAAAAAUGGUAUUCUGUAUUCCUGCAGAUAUCAGGCAUAUAUGUCUGGUUAUUACACCCAAAGAAUGGUGUAACAGAUCAAAUUGAUUGAAGAUGAUGCAAAUCAUAUACCUCUGAGUUACAGCAGGAUGGAUAGAAGAAACCAAAUGAUUAUUCCCCUGAGGUUGUAAUGGGAAGUUCAAACUUUAUGUCCCAGAAGUUACAGUGUAAGGGACUCUGAAAUUAUAGCAGGGCAAGCUUGCUGAGCAAAAUGUGAUUGUUUCUUUGGGUGUUCUGUCAAGAAUACCAGCUGAACAAGAUGACAGCAUAAUAAAUCAGUGAUAGUGCCUUGGUGAACAACGAGCGAUGAUACCUUAAGCAUUUUUUUUUUAAAAAAAAGAUCAUUUUUAUUUUUGCAUUCAUAUAUCAUUCAUAAUACAUCUAGUUAGGAGCAUUUGAUUCAUUUCGAUCAUAGCAUCCUAAUUAUUUGACAUAAGCAUCACAUCUAGUUAGGAGUAUUUGAUUCAUUUCGAUCAUAGCGUCCUAAUUAUUUGACAUCAACAUCAUAUCUAGUUAGGAGCAUUUGAUUCAUUUCGAUCAUAGUGUCCUAAUUAUUUAACAUCAGCAUCACAUCUAGUAAGGAGUAUUUGAUUCAUUUUGAUAAUAACAUCCUAAUUAUUUGGCAUAAGCAUGAUACAUGAAACCGAGUCUACAGAACAUGUCCAAGAGGAUGGUGUAGUAACAUCGGUGAAGUCAGAUCUUAUAUCCCUAAAGUAAAGAUUACAAACCUUAUCUCCCUGAAGUUGCAGUGGAGCAGGCUCAAUAUACAAGUCUUAUCUCCCUGAGGUUGCAGUGGAGCAGACUGAAGAUUGAAUAUCUUAUCUCCUUGAGCAGCUGUGGAGUAGAUCGAAGAUGGCAAAUCUUAUCUCCAUGUAUCGGCAAUGGAGCAGAUUUUAGCCACUAGCCUUAUCUCUUAAGGUAGCAAGAGAGCAGGUUGGCGAUUGUAGUCUUAUCUUCCUGAAGUAGCAAGGAAGUAGACUGAAGAUUGAAGAUCUUAUCUCCCUAAGCAAUUGUGGAGCAGAUCAAAAAUGGCGAAUCUUAUCUCCAUGUAUCGGCAAUGGAGCAGAUUUUAGCCACCAAGGAAGCAGACUGAAGAUUGAAGGUCUUAUCUCCUUGAAGUUGCAGUGGAGCAGACCAAAGAUGGUGAAUCUUAUCUCCAUGUAUCGGCAAUAAAGUAGAUUUAAGCCACAAGCCUUAUCUCCCUGAAGUUGCAGUGGAGUAGGCUCAAUAUACAAGUCUUAUCUCCCUGAGGUUGCAGUGGAGCAGACUGAAGAUUGAAGAUCUUAUCUCCUUAAGCAGCUAUGGAGUAGAUCGAAUAUGGCGAGUCUUAUCUCCAUGUAUCGGUAAUGGAGCAGAUUUUAACCACCAGCCUUAUCUCUCUGAGGUAGCAAGAGAGUAGGCUGGGAUUCUAGUCUUAUCUUCCUGAGGUAACAAGGAAGUAGACUGAAGAUUAAAGAUUUUAUCUCCCUAAGCAGUUGUGGAGCAGAUCAAAGAUGGCGAAUCUUAUCUCUAUGUAUUGGCAAUAGAGCAGAUUUUAGCCACUAGCCUUAUCUCCCAAGGUAGCAAGAGAGCAGGUUGGCGUUUGUAGUCUUAUCUUCCUGAUGUAGCAAGGAAGUAGACUGAAGAUUGAAGAUCUUAUCUCCCUAAGCAGUUAUAGAGCAGAUCGAAGAUGACGAACCUUAUCUCCAUGUAUCGGCAAUGGAGCAGAUUUUAGCCACCAGUUUUAUCUCUCUGAGGUAGCAAGAGAGCAGGUUGAAGUUUGAAGUCUUAUCUUCCUGAGGUAGCAAGGAAGCAGACUGAAGAUUGAAGGUCUUAUCUCCCUGAAGUUGUAGUGGAGCAGACCAAAGAUGGUGAAUCUUAUCUUUAUGUAUCGGUAAUGGAGUAGAUUUAAGCCACAAGCCUUAUCUCUCUGAAGUUACAGUGGAGCAGGCUCAAUAUACAAGUCUUAUCUCUCUGAGGUUGCAGUGGAGCAGACUAAAGACUGAAGAUUGAAGAUCUUAUCUCCUUGAGCAGCUGUGGAGUAGAUCAAAGAUGGCAAAUCUUAUCUCCAUGUAUCGGCAAUAGAGUAAAUUUUAGCCACCAGCCUUAUCUCUCUGAGGUAGCAAGAGAGCAGGUUGGGAUUAUAGUUUUAUCUUCUUGAGGUAGCAAGGAAGUAGACUGAAAAUUGAAAAUUUUAUCUCCCUACGCAGUUGUGGAGUAGAUCGAAGAUGGCGAAUCUUAUCUCCAUAUAUCGGCAAUCGAGCAGAUUUUAGCCACUAGCAUUAUCUCCUAGGUAGAAAUAGAGCAGGUUGGCGAUUGUAAUCUUAUCUUCUUGAGGUAGCAAGGAAGCAGACUGAAGAUUGAAGAUCUUAUCUCCCUAAGCAGUUGUGGAGCAGAGCGAGGAUGGCGAAUCUUAUCUCCAUGUAUCGGCAAUGGAGCAAAUUUAAGCCACCGGUCCUAUUUCCCUAAGGUUACAGUCAAGAUUCAGCAAAAUUAGGCAAAAUUGGCCCUAUUUGAAGUCUUUGCUCUAUUCUCAUUACAUGACAAUAAGCAAAGAGGGGCAGCUGUAAUAGGCCCAUUUUUCCCGGGCCCAUACCAAAACCAAAAUGAAAAAAGCAAAGCAAAAUAACAAAAUAAAAUCCAAUGAUAAGUGUCUAGUCCAUUUACAAGUUACACUUAUGGCCCAAUAGACCCAAUAAACUUAAUUACCUAGCCUAUUUACAAGAAAACUAUCAUAGCCCAAAAUUUUAUCCUAAUUGAAACCCGACCCAGGUGGCCCAAUUUCUGGUUUCAGGGACUAAAACCCUAAGACCAAUAUUUCAACCUCCUCAGCGAGGGUCUCUAGCGCCACAGAGUCCCGAGCCUCAUCCACAUUAUCCCCACGAGCGUUCUCCUCCGUACAAUUGAACCUGCGAGAAGAAAAUAACUGACUAACAACCAUAACAGUGCAGCAAUUGACAGAAAUAAGCUAGCAAAUGACAGCAAAAAUUAGAGUUUUUUUAAAUAUAUAUUUUUUAUUUAUUUUGUAAAUCCGGCUAUAAAAAGCCAUGGAUAUAAUCUGUAAAUGACUUACGCAUACUGAAUAAAAAAUAUGAAAGCAAUUUUGAAAAGGUGAUUCAGUCAUCAAUUUUGGCCUUUAUUUUUUCUGUUUUUAUUUCUUUCUUAUUGGUGAAUCUAUCAUGCAAAUAUAAAAAUGAGGAGGAUAGUUUGCUUACCAGUCAUUUGGCGUCGAUCCAAUCGGCGUUUGCUCCUCCGAUCCAAAGGCACACUGAUCCUUAGGGACCGGUUGAAGCCAUGGCGGAGAUGAAGGAUUAUUUCGGUGUCGUUGAGGUUUGCAUGAGAGGUUAAGAGGUUUUAAGGAGCUGAUUUAGGGCUUUCUUUUGAGGAAAUAAUCUGCAAAUUGAUUUUAGGGCAGAUUUUAGCUUUUAUAUGCGUUUAAAAACGGCGUCGUUUUAAGCCGUGCGGAUUGGCGUUGAAACGGCAUCGUUUCAUGAUGCAACCCAAUGACUCGACCCGAUUUCUUUAAAGAUCCGUGCGUCUUAUAGGGAGGGGAUAAUUGCGCUUGCGGUCCAUCAACAUUUCCAUUAUGUUUUAAUACGGUCUGUUUUGUUUUCAAGUUCUCCCCUUAAUUUCAAUACUGUUUCAAAUUAGUUUGUUUCUAAACAUUUCAUUUUAGAAUUUGGUUCAUUUUCACUUUUAGCCCUCUUAGGUUUGCGCGUGUUGUAUUUUGGUCAUCCAUAUUGUUUUAAUAGUUUCAUUUACUUGUAAACUGUUUCUUUGAUUUUAUUUUUAUUUUAAUGGAGUUUUUUUAUUUUAUUUUUUCCCUUUCUUUUGUAAUUCUUUUAUGUUCUUUAAAAAAUUAUUUAUUAUUCAUCUCUACCUUGAAUUAUUUUACUGAUUUUGCAUUGUUCAAGCACUUUCAUUAGUGUAUAUAUAUAUGAAUAUAUUUUAAUUUGUUCUAUUUUACAAUUUAUGUAUUAAAAUUCUCUUAUAUAUAUUUUUACGUUUGAAGAUUUAUAUGGUAUUUAACCUCAUACUAUUAUACAUGAUUCAUAUUAAAUUAUUUUUAUUUUAGUACACGUUAUUGAUUUCAUAUUAUUCUAUGUAAACAUUUUCUAUGUAUGUAUAUAUAUAUUUUCCUUUAAAUUUAUUUAUGUGUAUAAUGUGUUUCUUUUAAGGACUCUACAUUUCCAUAUAUUAUUAUCUUUAUGUAAGUAUUACCUAUACGUAUCAUUAAUCCAAAUCAAUUUAUUUCAUACAAAAUUAUUUUAUACAUUAUUUAUUUCAAAUUUCUUUUUACAUAUACAUAUAUAUAUUGGUACACAUGUUUGAUUUAUAUACAUCACUAAAUCCAUGUAUUUUAUACAUAUAGUUUUUCUUUGUAUAAUACAUAAUUAUGUUUUUAAAAUCUAUUACAUAUAUAAUUUAUGAUAAAAUUAACUUAAUCUUAUAUGCAUUAUUAAUUUCAUGCUAUUUUUACAAAUAGUUACUUCUAAAUCUAUUUCUGUACAUAUGUAUUUUGUAAACCUAUUAUUGUGUAUUUCCUAAGAUUAUAUUUUAUUAUGAAUUCUUGCUAUCCUUUCAUAUUUUAUAUAUUAUUUAAAUUUUCCUUUAUUGUAUGUAUUUUAACAAAUGUUUUUAACACUUGAUAUAUUAUUCGAUUUAAAAAUCUUCAUUCUAUAACACUUAUUUUAAUGAUUACAUAUAUAUCUCUAGUUUUUUUCUACAAAUAAUUUCAAAUUCAUCAAUUCAUAUAUUAUAUAUAUUAUGUGUUCAACAGUUCAUCAUUAUUUUAAAUUUGUCUUAUACCAUAUUAUUUUUAAUUUUCAUUUUGUUUUGUAUAUUUUGUAUCGAUAGUAUUAUAUUAAGCUAUAUAUCAUUGUUGUAUACUAUUUUUUCAUUUUUUUUAUUUGUUAUAUCAAUUGUUCUCCAUACAUGCUUGGAAAGUUGGUUUCAUUUUGCUUAGAUUAGUUAUAUUCAAUUGUUUGAUUUGAUUGGUUAAAUAAGGUUAUGUUAUCUUCAUUCACCAAGUAUUGUAUUUUAUACAUGCAUAUUAUCCCAUGAUUUUUUUUCUUUUGGUUUACAAAUGUUGCUUUAUAAUUUUCAACUCUUUAAAAUCAAUUAUUACAUUUUAUUUCAAAUAAAUUAAGGCAUUCUGAGUUAGUUUACAAUCAUUUAUUUAAAUUUUUUAAAACAAAGCAAUGUUCAAUAUUUGAAAAUUCGAAAAAUCGUGCCCUACCGUGCUAGGUUUCAAUUUUUUGUUAGACUAAAUAUUUGGAUAUCCUGUUGUAAUUUUUGACCUAAGAGCUUUUGGGAGUCAAAAAUCAAUCGUGUUUUCAAAGGUAUAAAGGAUCAUGUCCUAUCGUACUAGAUGUGGUGUUGUAUACCUUUGAAAUGAGAGAGUUUUAACGACCAACUUGAACCACUCAAAUGUUUUAAAAGGAACCAUAUUUCAAAUUCUUUUUAAACAAAACCCUAGACAUAAGGACAGUACUUAAUCAAUCUGGUACCAGUUUUUGGGCGUAGUGAGGUUGCUAACCCUUUCUCAUACGUAACCGGCUCCCGAAUCCAUUCUUUUUUUACGUAGAGCAAAAUUGAUUUAAAUGGAACAAAAUGCUUUAGUAGGUGAUCCAAUCACACCUAAACAAAAAGAUUGGUGGUGGCUCCACAUUUUGUUUGAAAAAGUCGAUCCCCUUUUUUCUCUAAAAAUGGCUUCGACAUUGUUAAUUCAAAUUGAGUUUUAAAUGAUUAUAUUUAGAUUUGAUAUUUUUAAAGGAAGCUUGGAUUCAAAAAUGGUAAAUCUUGAAAUCUUGGGUAAACUUGUGCUUUCAAAGUGAUUUUUGAUUCAUUCUAACCUAAUUAUAAGGUAUUUCACUUCAAUUUGAUAGCUCAUAAUUGAAUUUCUAAGAAUAAAUCAUUUUCCUUUUUACAUGUUCUUGAAAGCUUCCAUUUUUCGAAAAUUUUAGGAUCACAGAUUUAUGUGAAAUUAUGUGAAAUUAAAUAUUAUUUAGGAUGUUUGAAAUUGAAAUGGAAGAUUAGAAUCGAGAUUAGGAUGUCGAAACUUCAAUUUCGACAAAACUAGUUAGUUUUCGAUAGUGAGAAAGAAGAGGCUUGAAUUGUAUUUUCUUGUUGUUUUGGUUGUGCUCAAGGUUAUUUUUAAUGAAAUUGCAAUGUGUUUAUUAUGUGUACAAAGUUUCGGAUCAAGUGAGAGUAUCUUCGAGCAAGUCAAAAGGCAAGCUUUUGACUAAUAAGUGGAAGCAUGAUUGGUGAGUGUCCGAAGUUUUUGUUGGUAUGCAUGAUUCGUAGCAUUAAUCGGGAGCUCAAAAUUAACCUAAACCCCAAUCUUAAGUUAUGAGUGUAAGCCUUAUCUAUAUUCUUUUACAUUUGUUGUGAAAUUAUGCUUGAUGUAUGUCGAGUUGUGGAGUGUGAGGCUAUUAUGACAGGUAAUGUGUGUGAAUACUUAUAUGUGAUAUGUGAUAUACUAGUUGUAAUGCACAAAUGUGAGAUGUAAUAUAUGUUGGCUCAACGAGCAUUAUUGUGGCACAUGAAGUGCAAUUAAAUGUGAAUUUGAUAGGCAUGCGUUGUGUACAAGUUUGUGAUGUAAAUUAAGGAAUAUGAACAGAGAUUAUGUGCAUUAAAACAAUAAUUAAAUAUGUAUAAUUGAGGAUAAUUUGGUCUUAUGAUCUCUUGAAACCGUUGAAUAUAGUUGGCAUGCCAUAGGAUUAUAAGUACUCACAUUUGUGUUUUUUUUUAUUUGGGCAUUGAGGCCUCGAGACAAAUUGGAGAUAUAAAGGAAUGUUGAGCUCUAUUUAUCAGGACAUGUUGGUGUGUUGGAGAGUGUUUAGCUUUAUGCUAUACUUAUGGGAAAUGUUGGACUCUUUGAGUCUUUGGUGUAAUGGAGAUCCGUUUAUCCAAUGUUGGUGAUAGAGCCCACUUUUAUGUUUCAUAUUCUUAAGUUGCCAAACUAUAAUUAAGUGAAUUAUAUAUAUGAGUGAUGUUAUGCAUAAGUGAAUGUAAGAGUAUAUGCUAGUUUUAUGAAUUAAUGAAGCAUGGAAAUGUUAUUUUGACUUGGUGAAAAUAUGGUUGUGAAUAUGCCCUAGUAUGCUCUUGCUUAUCUUAUGAUGUUGUGUAUGUUUUGUGGUAAUUCCUAACAUUCGCUGAUCUUAUUUUAAGCUCACGCACUCGACGUUAAAAUUUUAUAGAUAAAUAGCUCUUUCAGUGUGAGUGGAGCGGCAAAGGAAGUGAUCUAAGCAAAGUAAUAACUUUCGAGUAUGUGGUUUUAUAAUUUUUGGACACUUUGAAUAAAGACAAUGUGGGUUAGAGUUUUAGUUUUAGUUAUUAUCAUUAUUUUACUAUUACUAUUUUGGGAUUAGAUUGAUAGAAUGUUGAAGAUGCUUUUGGAUUUCGCUUAUGGACAUUUUGAUGUUUGAGAUUGAGGUUGAUAAUACAUGUUAGGUAUUCUCGAUGAAAAUGUAUUGAUAUGGCAUGACAAAUUAUUAAAAGAUGAUAUUAGGUUCAAUUAAAUUAGACACUAGUUGUAUGUUAAGUAAGAAUAUUGUUUUGAGCAUGAAGAACAUUUUAACUUAUGAAAUUUUUAGCAUUCUAAGUAAAAGUAUCGAUACUCAUGACCAAAAUAACGAUACCAUAAGAAUGGAACAUUUUCAAAAAUUGACAGUAACCCAAUUUGGUAUCGAUACUUGUGAUAAAAAUAUUAAUACCCCUACCAAGGUAUCAAUAAAAUGUUUUAACCAAAAUUGGCAGAGAGCUAAAACAAUAUCGAUACUUACGUUCUAUUUUGAAAAUUUUUAGAUUGGUUCCUAUUUCUUGAAUAAUUCUAUUUCCGAUGUUCAUUAUAUGUUGAUUAUUCAUGAUUUCAUCUUUAGAUGUUAGUGGUAGUCGUUGCUCAUAAUUAAAACCGUAUAUGCAUGUGUAUAAGUUCCUACAGUUGUUGUAGCAUCCUAUAACGCGAGUCUGACGAUCAAACCGGAUGAGGGGUUUUACAUUUGUAAAUGUCAUAGCCAACACCUAGCUUGGUAAAAUAUUGUCCACUUUAGGUGCACAUGUCCCUCACGGUUUUGUUCUUGGGAGCGCUCAUACACCCCCAAAAUGUCUCUUACCACUUAAGUGUUGUUAUCCCCUUUAUGUAGCCGAGGCCUCUCCUGUGCUUUGCCGAUGUGGGAUUUGCCUAGGGUGUUAUAAAGCGUUUUCCUGUAAAUUAGUUAAAAACGCUUACAGCUGAAAGUGCUUUUCUUAUUUUGGCCUAAUCCGAUAACUUUUUAAAAAAAAAUUCAAGUCUAAUAUAUGUGAUGUGAUGCUAAUAUAUAUAAAGAAAAUUAAUAUAUUAAAACAGUAAUGAUAUAAAAAUAAUAAAAAUAUGACAUAAAUAUCUCCUUUUCUUCUUUUUAAAUAAUAAAAAUAUGACAUAAAUAUCUCUUUCAUAUACGUCUAUUAAUAGGAUUUUCAUUUUAUCCAAAAUAAAAAAUUUCCACCCGGUUUUAAACUUUUUUCUUAAGAAAGAGAUGCAAUUAUUUAUAUACAAAUUUAUGAAUUUAUAUAUUGUUUAUUUGAAAAUAUAUAUAUAUAUAAUUGUUAUGACUACCACAUUCUUCUAACUCAUUUUUGUUUGUGUUAAAGCUUUUCAUAAUUGAAUUUAUCUAAUCAAACUGAUUAGAUUAGAAAUUGAUUAAAAUAUUAAAUUUAAAAGAUUUAAAAAAAUAAUAAUUAAUUUAUAAAAUAAUAUAAAAUUAAUUGAGUUUAAAUAUCAUUUUAGUCUAAAUAAAAUUAAUCUUAUAUAGUAAAAUGAAUGAACAACACUGGGAUUAUAUUAAAAAUAAUAUUAAAAAUUUUAGUUAAUAAUUAAUAGUUAAUUGUGUGAAUUUUAGAUAUAAAUUUGUUGAAUAUUCUCCAAGAUCCAACGUGGGAAAGAGAAAAGGACGCGUGCACGGGUUUAACGAAUGAAUUUGGUAAUCUUCCACUUACGUCGUUUACUAGCUAAUACUAUGCAACUGUCUGUAAAAUGAACGUCCAAUCUUUCAAAAUUUGGGUAAGCUCUAAUGUGGCAAAAUAAUCUCAACAUCACAUAUACCAAAUGUGAAAAAUUAUAACAUUACAACCUGCCUGGUUAUAUAUUUCAAUCUCCGACCAAUUGAAGAUUUCAAUCGGGCACAAUAAUUUGCAAACAAUAAGCAUCGUAGCAGAUUUUGACUUAGGAUUUAGAAUUUCAUAUGUUAAGAUUGGGAAUCUUAAUUGGAUACAGCAUAUCCUAGAAAAGGUUUAUACUAUACGCAUAUCUUUGUUUCUUUAUUUUUAUCACGUGACCAUAUAAGUUAUCUGCAAGUUUUAUUGAUUUUCUCAAACAUAGAUUUAAAUUUUGAUGAUACUCUCUAUUGUCACCGAAAAAAGUGAUUUAAGGAAAAAGGUAAUAUUGCAAAUUCAGCUCUUAUAUACUAAAUGUUAACUUAGCUUUGAUGAAAUGAACUGAUAAAUGAGUGGUUGAUUUUUUGUAUAUUAGGUGUAUAUAGUAAAUUCAUGUGGGUAGUCAUGAGUGUUCUAUGUUGCCAUUUAUGCCUUCAAUUGAUGAAUUUGCAUCAAUGGUAUGAUUUUUAAGUAAAUUUUAUUGGAGGCACUAAAGGAUGAAUUUUAAAUAAUACUGCAUUGAUAAUUGUAUUAAAUUCUAACACCAAAGUCGAUCAAAGAAAUUAUAUUGGAAUAGAAACCUAAACAACCAUUUGUGUUGAUUGAGGCCACACCUCUAAUUGAUUAUUGGCACCUGUUGUCCCUUAUUGCUGCAAAAGAGAAUAUAUACAUAUAUAUAUAAUUGAGAGUUUUAUUCAUAACUUAUUUUUUUAAGUGAUUUUCAUAGUGCAUAUCAAAGCUACAGUGUUACUAAAGACCUUAUUCAUAAGCACGCAGUAAACAAGUAACAAUCACAAAGGCAGGGAUUGUUUAAUCAUAAAUCUUCCUAGCCACAAGGAUAAGAGCAUUUUUUUUGUGUGUAGCGAGACCAGGUAGUGCAUCAAAGUCUAUGUCUUCUUUUGUCAUCGCAAUCGGCAUUUCCCAAUCGAACUUGUAAAGAAGAUUAGCAAGGGCAAGUUCCACUACUGCAACUCCCAUAUGCAUUCCAGGACAAACUCUUCUACCAGCACCAAAUGGUAUGAGCUCAAAGUGUUGCCCUUUGUAGUCAAUGGGACUACCAAUGAACCUUUCAGGAUAAAACUCUUCUGGAUUUUCCCAAGUUCCAGGGUCUUUUCCUAUUGCCCACGCGUUCACAUAAACCAAGGUUUUGGCAGGUAUAUCGUACCCACCUAUGUUGCACUUUCGGAGUGUUUCUCGUGGCACUAACAAUGGAGCUAUUGGUUGCAAUCUAAAUGUUUCUCUUAUCACAGCUUUUAAGUAAGUCAAAUCUCGAGUAUCAUCUUCAUUUACAAAACCUUUUUUUCCAAUCAAAUUCCUUACUUCUGCUUGAGUUUUCUUCAAACAUUUUGGAUUUUUCAUUAAGAAGCUCAUCACCCAUAUUAUAGUGGCUGCGGAUGUGUCUGUUCCAGCUAUAAACACGUUCUGCAAGAAAAACAAUGGGUUCUAUAUAUGUAAAAAGUGUGAAGCUCAAAAGUUAAUUAAAGAUAUAAGUGUUGAGUAAAGAUGAAAUGACCAUAAGAAUAGCUUUUAUCUGAUCGAUAGUCAGAUCAAAUGAAAAGUCGUGAUCCUUCCAUGUUUGUAGUAACACGUCGAGUAUGUCCUCUUGUUGGGGUUUUGGCCUAUUAGGAUCAAGAUGUUCAUCAAUGAGUUGUUGAUAAAAAGUAUCAAGCUCUCUGAAAGUUUUUUCAAGACGACUAAGCAAUCCAGUGAAUCUAUCGAGCCAACCCAUGUACGGAAAGUAGUCAGAAAAACUGAAGCUUGAUACUAUGGCUUGACUUUCAUUAAGCAGCUCAUGGAAUCUGCUUCUUUCGGCUCCUUCUUCGUCGUACCUCUUGCCGAAGGCUAUUCUACAAAUUAUUGUACUGGAAAGGCACAUUAUUGCUUCACUCAAGUUGACAGGUUUAGCAUCAACAGAUAAUUUGGAUAUUUUUUCAAUCAAGCGAUCAACUUCAUCUUCUCGGAUGGGACGAUACUGUUGCACUCCGCUAAAGAGAUGUACAACACAAAUUUUCCUCAUCUCCCUCCAGUAGUCAUUAUACGGUGAAAAAGCCACAUCCGAGGCAUUGUAAGAUAGUUUAUGACUACAACGUUGAUGAGGCCUGCUGCAAAAGUCAAGGUCAUGGGUUUUCAUAACCUCUUUAGCCAUUUUUGCUGAAGAAACUACAAGGAUUGGCUUAAACCCAAAUCGCAAGUACACGAGAGAACCAUAUUUUUUAGAGAGUUUGCUAAGAAAAAAAUGAGGGGCUGAGUUAUCAAACAGCUGCAUAUGUAAGUGACCAAUCAAAGGAAGAGAAGGAGGGCUAGGGGGAAGACGAUUAGAAUUGCCAUGUUUUAGGAGAAUGAACAGAAACAAGGAGAGUGGUAGAAGAAAGACCAGAAACACUACUAUUUCCAUUGUAAUCUACUCAAUGAAUCUGUUUGAAAGUUGAGGAUGCUUCCCCCCUUAUAUAAGAAACUGAGAGCCGUAACCCUGUGGUGCUUAUUGACCAUUGUGGUUAAUUAAGAUAUAUCUUCAUGGACAGGAGUAGCGAGGGAGAAUAAGUUUCAAUCACUUUGCGUCUAUAGUAUGAAUCAUGAAAGAUGAAAUGUAUUGUAGAAAUUUAAGCUUCGUAUUACGUAUUUAGCUUAAAAAUGAUAACAGAUCAUUAAAAAAAAUUAAGUUUAGCAAGGAUUGUUCAGCCUCCAUUGUAUUACAUGUUCCACAAAUUAAAAGAAAAAUAAUACAAACAAAUGAUCGAAAGCAGUGGAAAUAAAUUUUUUCUUCGAGUAUUUGGACUAAAUUCUAAUUUUGGAAUCGAUAUUAUAGGAAGAAUUUUACUUGAAUAUUAUCCCGACCCAAAUAAGAAUAAAUUCAAACCACAAAAAGAAAGAGAACUCCUAUUAUUAUAUCAAAAUAGUAAAAAUAAUAAAAUCUGAAUUUUAUUUUUUCUCCUUUUGCUUUAAUUCUUUUAAAACUAUAUAAUUAUUUUAAAUUUAAAUUAUGUAUUUAAAAGGUAGGGUUUUAUUUGGUUUGAUUUAGAAAAAUAAAGUUGUUUUUUUCUCCUAUUGCUUGGUUUUUUGCUUUGAAUUUUCUAUAAUAAAUAUACGUAUUUUAAUUUUAAAUAAUGUAUUUAGAGGGUUGGAUUUAGACGGAAAAGAAUCCUUUUUCUUGGAUUUUUGCUUUGAAUUUUCUAAAAAGAAUAUGUAGUCAUUUUAAAUUUAAAUAAUAUAUUUUUAGGGUUUGAUUUUAUUUGGGUUGAUUUAGAAUUUGUUAUAUUAUAAUUAUUUUUCACUAGUUAAUUAAGAGAUAAAUAAUAAAAAAAUUAUAUUUUUAUUAAUUAAAUUAAUAUGAAGUAAAUAAUAAAUAAAGUAGUUUAAAUAUUUGUGAAUCAUUCAAAUUAAGAAUUUAUAUUUCAGAUGAACACUCUUUCAUUUGAAUGAAUGACAUUAUAAAGGUUCACCUAAAACCAUUUAACAAAACUUCACAAGUUCAAGAAACCAGAUGUUAAAGUGCAACAUGUGUCUAAUUUUUUGUUAUUUAAUAUAAUUUAUGUAAGUAAUUAUUAUCAAAAGAUAAUUAAAAUAUAAAAAAUAAUUUAAUAAUAAAAUAAUUAAAAUAGUAAUUAAUGUAAUUAUAAAAUAUUUAAAAAAUUAUAUUUGAUACAUUGUUUAAAAGAUGGACAUAUUACAUGCAACAUCCUUGACAUCCCCUCGAGAUGUGAUCAAUGUCAAUUCAGAUCGAUACUCUAGAAUAGAUAAAAUAGAAUUAUUAAUAUUAAUGGGGAAUAUAAUUAGAAUAUUAUAAGAAAUUAAAAAAUUUUGAAUUUAGGGAAAUUAAUUUAAGAAAUGAACUAAAUUAUAAAAGUGUGGGAAGUGUUGGGUUGUAGUGUAAAAAUUAGAAAUAAGAAAAAAAAACCAAGAACUUGGAGUGUAAUUUAUCCAUUAAAAUACAAAAAGGAGCAGCUUUUUUAACCCAACUAACCUAAAAAAAAUAAAUAUUUACAAAAAUAACCUAACUUGAAAGACUAUGACGUAAACGACCUAAAAUCUACAAUGUUGGGCGGUGUUGAUAUCUCAAUUUUCGGCACUCGAGUUAAUCACGGUUUAAUGAUUGACUGCUAAUUGGGUCGAGGUUUAAAAAAAUAUAUGUUUUUGAUGCCGACACUGCAAUAGUCGGCAUCUGUAUGUAUUUUUUGUGUACUUUUUUGAAAAAUAUAGGCAUUUCCCGAUUCAAAAAUAUUUUUUAUUAGGUGUCAGCGUCUAGGUGGUCGGCACAAAAAAAAUUUUAAAUUUUAAAUUUUUUUUCUUUAUUUUUUUUGUGUUGGCACUGUGGUGGUCAGCACCGGUGGCACGAUUUUUUAUUUUUAUUUUUGCCUUCUCUCCACCAUCACCAGUGUGAUUUUUAAAUUUUUUUCCCGACGUGUUAUGGUUACCGAGACCACUGAUCAUUUGGUUCUUCUUUAAGCCUUGAACAAUGUGACUCCUAAGCCAUCAGUUGCAUGAGAAGAGAGAUUUGAAGAAAAUAACACAAUAUCAAUAAAGAAGUACUGAAUAUUUGAGAAGAAAAAAAUAGUUUUAAGUUUAAUUUACUUAUUAUAGUACUUAAUAGGCAAAGAAAAUAAGAGAAAAAAGAUGAUGGAAAAAAUUCAACACUCAAGAAAUCAACAGACGAAGAAGAUAAAGAAAAAUGAAGAGUUUGACAUUUAUGAUUUUAACAGAGAAAAAAAAGUUGUAUAUGAAAUAUCAUUAAUAAAUUAAAUUAAUGAUUUUUUUUAUGGUUUCAAGGCAAGAAAAAAUGUAAUGCAAUUUUAUAUUUUCAAUAGUAAAAAAGGUUGUAUAUGAAAAAAAAAUUCCCAUUAAUUAGUUUUUAAUCUCCAUAUACAAUUUUUUUCCCUUAAAAAAGGUUAAUUAAUAGCCUUAAAAGAAUAUUGUUUAAGGCUUUUAACUUCAAUAAAAAAAAUUUAUAAUACAUUAUUUAAACUUUUUUAAAUCAUACCAUUUAAAAAUAAUAAUGCAGUUAUAUUAUAUAUGAUUAAAAGACAUUAUAAAAAUAUUUUUUGGUGGAAAUAUAUACAACUCAAAAAUAAAACACUAAAUGAAAGACAUGUGUGGACUCCUCCAGCAACCAUAAACAAGUUCUUCUAUCCCUUAUUGUCUUAACGAUAUUGUCUGUAAGUUUAUUGUCCUAUUUAGAAAUAUGUUGAAUAUUUCGGUGACUAAAAAACUUCAAAACCGUAUGAAUUUUCCUUACUAAAAUGAAACUAAAGUUUCCGAAAUCGCUAUCCUUAAUUAUGUUAAUAGCUUCGAGGCAGAGACAUUGUAAAUUAUUAACCAUAAUUCAUGUUUAUGUUCCAUAUUAAUGAAUGAUAAUGAUAUAAAUUGAUGCAAAAUUCCAUUUCAUAUUGAUUAUUAAGAAUCAGCAAUCAAAUAUUCAUAUAUAUAUAUAUAUAUAUAAACGUUACCAUAACUAUGUUAAAUUCCUUAUCAAAUACAAAAUAUAUAUAUAUAUAUAUAUAUUCCAAGUGCUAAUCUCCACCAUUGCAUUGGCAUAAGAAUUGCAAAGCUCUUUAGUCAUCUGUCGAACCAUAAACGAUAUGAUUUGAAAUUUUGUUGGAAAGACGUACAAAAAGAAAAAACCAAAGACAAAGACGUCACACCUUGUUAUAUAUCAUCAUCAUUUCACAAGCUUCACUUCCACGUCUCUUUUUCCCUAACCUUACCAAGUUUUGUUUUUCUUUCAUUUUAUUCCCUCCAUUUUCAAUCCUUUCCCAAACUUAAACAUUUCUUCCUUAAUUGUUAGCAAAAUUAAGAGUAUAACUCCAUAGUAAGCUUAUCAUCUUGCAAAGCUAGUUAAUAGCCAUUUUAGGAGGAGAAAGAAAAAUGAAGAAAGUUAGGGAUUUAAGGUAAGAAAGAUAAAUUGGCUCAUAGAACAUCAAUUUUAUUUCAUCAUAAUGCAUGGAAAUAAUAUAUGAUUUUUGUUUUGAUAUUGAAUAUUGUAGAUGUGUUGUGUAAUGAAGAGAAGGAGAAGAAGAGUGAAUAUCAAGUGGGUGAGAAGGGUAAGGAGAUAGCAAACAAGUGAAGAAAGAAAGAAGGGGUACUUCAUUUCAAGCAAUUUUUAUUGUAAGUAUUUCAAGAAUUUAUUUUACUUGAUUUAAACCCUAUUUAAAAACAUGAUAAAUUGGUUAAGUAACGUUCAUGUAAUAUGUUUUGUUGUUAAAAAAAUAUGUUGUAUUUUGGAAAUUAUUUCAAAAUAAAACAGUAUUAAUAUAAUGCAUUGAAAGUGUAUGUGUAGUGAAAUUAGAGAAAAUGACUAAUUUGCAAAGAGUGAAAAAGUUAGAUAGGUGAAUUAGAUAUUGACAUGGAUUGAUUUAGUGAAAUGUUGAAUGUAGACACAUAAUAGGUGUCAAGUGAAAUAGAUGAUUGGUUGAUUCUAUUUGGUAAUGACUAAAUUGUAAAAAAUGGUAAAUUUUGAAUUGAUUUCUUUGGUGAGAAAAUACAAUAAAAUUGCAUAGUUUGAAUGUCCAAGUGGACAAAAUGAGAACUAGUAGGAUAUAAAUGAAAUGUCAUUAGGAAAGUGACUACACACACUAGUGAGAGCGGCACUAUGGUGCAAGUGUUGGUGGCACUUCUGUGCAAAAUGACAUCUGCACGUUCAUGCAAAGAAUAGUGGCACUUUGGUGCACCUCAUCGACAUUUUUGUAUAUCCUAUUGUGUUCUAUUAAGUCUACAAUUGAGCAACUGAAUUGAAAGGCAAGUGAACGUUAAAGUGGCAUUGGUAAGUGGCUUGUAUUUUGUUGAAUCGGUAUCUUAUUGUAGUUUUCAUUAAAAUAAACUUGUGCAUAAUGAUGGAGAUUAAUGUGUCAUUCAAUUUUUGAUAUGUUUACUAACUCGUGAGCUUAACAUGUUUCUUUCAAACAUGUAGGUAAAGAUUUUUUUGAAGCUAAAAAGUGAAUAUCGUCUAUAACUCAUUUCAUCACAUCUCCAGCAUUAGAAGAAGUUGAAAAUGUUAUAUAUAAAUUUAAAAAAUGAAAUUAUUAGGUAUUGAUCUUCAUUGUAAACCUAAACAUGCUAGUAGGCCUACCAACACAUCACGUCCAAAUACAUGCGUGGGAAGCCUAACAUGACUCAACUUUUAGUUGUUUUUAGUAAGACAGCUAUCUUAAGGCAUCAAAUCAUAUAUAUCCUUUUCAUUAGUCAGAUCAUUUUAGAACACACCUUUUUACAUCGAAUACACUUCUAUGUGAACCAACUUCCGUUAAGCCAAGAGGAACAGAUCCAUCUUCUUCCCUUGGUCACAAAGGAUUCUAACUUUUCUUGCAUCCGAUUUGAAGUUUAGAACCAUGGCUGCAACAAGUUAUUAGUGUCAGCCACUUAUUUUCAAUGCAAAAACUAUUUAUUUCAUAUUCCAUUUUUUUUAAAAAAUUAAUUUAACAAUUUUUCAUCUUUUUUAAUGUUCAAAUUUACCUUUUAUUUAAAUUAAAAUAAAUUGAAAAAUUAAUUUUGUACUUUAUUGACAUAGAAUACAAUAAGAAUUUAAUUAAUUUUUAAAUUUUAAAAGUUUAAAAAAGUAUUUUUAAAAAUUAAAAAUUAUUAAAACUAUUUAAAAAAUAUACCCAUUAUAAAAAAUAAUUUUAAAUUUUUAAAUUUUAAUUAAAUGUUAAUAUGUUAUUUAAAUUGUAUAUCAUGUUAGUAAAGUUAACAAAUGUUAAUUUUUUCAUGAUGUUAAAGUGAUUUGACAAAAAUAUACAAGUUUAAGAGCUAAAAAAGAUAAAAAAAAAUUAAUUACAAGAACUAAAAUAAUUUAUUUUUAUAAAAUUGAAAGACGAAAAAAUAAUUAUGUUGAAUAUAAAAAUCACAUAAAAUUACAUCUCUCUAAUUAUUUUAAAGGCUAAUCAAAAUCCAACGGAAAAAAGUAAUUCAUUAUAGCUUUCUAGGAUAUGAGUUUUUGUUUAUAAAUUCAACCUCGUACCAAAUUAAUGAUCUUUGGCGCUAAGUAGAGGUGAUUAUCCGCAGGCUAGGCUUAAUAAAAAAAUUCAAGUCCAUUUAUUAGACUUAGGCUCAGCCCGAAAAGUGGGCCUAAAAUUUUGUUCAAGCCGACUUAGAUAAAAAUACUAAAAUUUAAACUUGACGUGGCUCGCCUGUAUUAAUUUUUAUAUUAUUUUUUAAUAUUUUUAAAUAUAUAUAGUACAUCAAAAUAUUAAAAAUAUCAAAAUAAAUAUAUCCCAAAAAAUUAAAAAUAAAUUUUAAAAAAUAUGUAGACUUAAAUAAUAACACUAAAAUAAGUAUAACUUCACAAGCAAAUACCUCUAAAGUAAUAACAAAAUUAACAAAUGUCUUUAAAAUAAUAACAAAAUUAACAAUAAAAUAAAUUUUAUACAAUAUCCAAACAAUAAUAAUAAAAUAGUAACAACAUAAUAGUAAAAUGGUAACAAAAUAAGGAGAAAACAAUAAGAAAAUAACAUUAAAAAAAAGAGUAAUUUUUUUUUCUUUUAGUGAAUUCGGGCUAGGCUAGGUCGAGCCUGGGCCAAAAAUACUUUACCCUUCGGCUUAGUCCAUUUUUUAAACGAGCCUUAUUUUUUUUAUCUAAACCUAUUUUUAGGCCUAUAUUUUUGCUCAAACCCUCUCAUAGUUUAGGCGAACUUUUAGAUCAAACUAAAUGACCCGACCCGUGAUCAGGUCUAAUGCUCACUGAUAGCAUUGCCUGAAAUUCCUGUUGCUAAUUGUAGAUACGAAUGAAUCCCUCUUCACCUUGUCAUCACAUUGGUACACUUUUAAAUAGAAAUGCAAUCAAGUUGAGUUAGAAAUCGAUUUUUUCAUUCGAACUUAAUUGAAUAUAUAUUUAAAAGCACUCAUUUACAUAAUUUUUUUACUCAAGCUGGUGAUAAAGAUAAUUAAAAAGAACUCGCAUUAAGGAAAAAGCAUAAAACCCUUUUCCUUAAACCCCAAAAUGCUUUUCUUUUCAUGUAAGAAAAUGAUUAAUUUGUCAUCCAUGAAUGAAAGCAAGCUGUAUCCACUUUCUGUCCAACGGAUGGAUUCCAUUAUCAAAUACAAAGAGUUUAAAGCCCUUAAAGUUGAAAAAAACAUACGUGAAAAAGCUGCCGACAUCUUUUGACCUUUAACACAUUACAGUUCAGAGUUCAGACAGAAACUACAUUACCUUAAAAAUAUCAAAUUGGGUAAAAAAAAAAAUAAGAAAAACUAUGAGAGCAUUGCAAAAUUGCCUACUUAAAGCAAGAACAGUCAAAUCUAUUAGUAGCUCCUUUUUUUUCAAUACAAGAUAGCGAUUUUCAACUGCUUUUCUUCAAUUUCUAAUGAAUCAAAGUUCUGGAAUUUUUUGUUUACAUUGAUAGCAAAUCUGGGUUAUCCUUUUAAUUUGAAGACCGUCAUCAUCACCGUGAGCUUUGCCUCACCGAACAAGCAACCACUUGUGCCCAUUGCUUCAGCCUUGUCUUCACCGUCUGCGGUGAAUCAGCUUCACCGGGCAUCAAACAAUAAAAUCAGAAAACGAAAAUGAAAAUGAAAUAAUUCCAACAGAUUUAAGAUACUAUUGAAUUGAAAAUUUAUUACUUACCAGGGUCAAAGAUGGCAUGGGGACUGCCAACAGGGGAAGGGAUACUAUCACAAUCGGAAGCAGCUGAAGGAGACGACACAGACCUGGAAACAACGUCGUUAUAGUUCUUGUUAACGGCGUAGUAAAGACCCAAAGCCGGGAAAGUACUAGACAAACGCUGAUCCAACUCGGUAGAAUCGAACUCAAACCCAAACCCCAACUCAAUACAAGCCUUGAGUUCAUCAAGGUCUUCAUCCGUCACGCUCUUGCUUCUCCUCUUCUCGAUUUUUCCUUUCCUUCUAAGCCAUGCCUCGUCACGGUUAAUAUCCGGCGACCACGAUCGCUGCUUGUAAAGCUGGGAUAAAGAAGGCAUCAUCGGCAGUUGUUGCGGUGAUUCUGAUUCUAGCUUAUUUGCUCGCUGUUGUGGAAGUGGUGGCGGGUUAAUAAAAUUAGACAUGGAAACAGCCGCUCCCCCGAGGAGGUCCUGAGGAACCUCGCCCGCCGGGGUGGGGAGCUCAAUGGCGGGUGUGUUGAUUUUGGGAUAUUGGUUUACAAGCGAAGGAUGAGAUGGGUUAUAUGGUGGCGGUGGCGGUGGAGGUGGUGGGUCAGGGGUUGACGCUGAGGAGACUUGGGAUUGGUUGGUCUAUCUUUAUUCUUUUCCCUUAUUUAUUUUGCUUUUAAAUAAAGUUUUAAAUGUUUCUUAGAAGAUUGGUAAUCGUAAAUUAUACUACUAUUUGUUUCCUUAUAUUAUAUUAAGCAAUCUAUAAAAUUUUUUUGGUUCUAAUCUAUAAAAAUUUUAAAUUAAUGUUGAAAUCAGCAUACAAUCAAGGCGAGGUCUAAGGAACUUCUAUUUUAAUUUGAAAUUAGCUCUAUAUCACUUGCAUAUCACCAUUAAUUAUAAAAUUGAAUAAUGACGUGGGAUGUAGUGGUUAUUAUCUUUUAAUAAUAAGGUUUGGGUUUGAUUUUUGCCUAUAGAAAUAGUCUACAUUUUAUUCUUAUAUGUUAUCUAUUUAGAAGGUAUUCGCGACAAGGAUAUUAAUCAUUCUUAUUGACGGUGGAUGUAUUGAUUUCUAAAAUAUAAAUUAUAUACAUUGUAUAAGAUUAGCAAUUGAAUUUAAUCGAAUAGAGUUAAUUACUAUAUUUUGGGUUAGUUCUAAAAUUUUAAAUUUUAAAAAGAUAGAGAUUAAUUUUGAUCAAAUUAAAGUAUAUAAAUUAAAUUUACAACUUUCAUAAAAUACAAAAACUAAUAUCAUAAUUUAACCAAUUUUCUUUCAUCCUCUUUACAUUAAUUAAUUAAUUUUCAUUGAAUUUAUUGAAUUUUUUAAAUAAUAUAUAUAGCAUAUGGUCAGCUUCAGCCACUUGAAAUUUCUAGCUGAGUUUCUCCAAGAAGUUUCCUUUAUAAGAUAUAACCCAAUUUGAACACUGUGAUAAUUCCAGUGUCGUAUAUGUAAAAGUAAAACAAGUAUUACAAGUUAUGUUUUCCAUUUGAAAAAUAGAUAAUUUAAUUUUUAUAUGUUAGAUAAAAAAUAGUUUUUUAUUAAAAAUUUUAUCUAUUUUCACUAUUAGAAGUUAGUGUAACUGAGGAAAUAUCCAGACAGUUAUACAUGGUGUGUCACGCGUACAUCAUGCUAAUGUAUCAUGACUGAAUUUUAAUAGUAGAAAUAAAUAAAAAAUUUUACUAAUAGACCAAUUUACUCUUUGAUCUAAUGUGUAAUAAUUAAUUUACUUUUUUUUAAAUAAAUGACACAUAACACAAUUUAAUUCUUAAUACAAAAAAUUUCAUAAUGAUUUUAUCGAAAAAUAACACCUUAUAUAUCUUUAUAUAUUCCCUCAUCAACCUAUCGAAUGAAGUAAUUAAAUUAAAUUAUUUUUAUUUUCAUAAUUUACAUAAUUAUUUUCAUGAAUUUCAUUGACAUAAUUUACAUAAAACCAAUCCUUAUUUUUGGUUAAGUUAUUGAUUGCCGGUCAGAACAAGCCUUUCUAAGCUAUUGACUUAAACCACAAGGCAUCCCAUGGGGCAUGGGCAUAGCCCACUGUAUCAAUAAAUUUCCACAGCAUAUUCCACUCGCCGAUGUUUUACAUGUCAUGUUUGAAUGUGGAGGAAGAGGCUAUGUCGGCAGCUUAUCAUCAUACAAUUUCACAAUAUAAAUUCUUCAAUUUUUUUAAAUAUAAAAAAUAUAAGCCACAUAUAAAAAAAUAAAAAUUUGAGGUUAUGUUAAAGUUUUAUAAUAGAUAUUUAUCUUUGCAGAUAUUUAUAAUUUUUAAUAAUUAUUUUAAGCUAUUAAAUAAAAAUAUUUAUUGAUUUAUAACUUUCAAUAUAAAAGUAUUGAUAUAUAUUUCCAAAAGAAGAUCUCUAAAAAAGUUUCUAUUAGAGAUAAUGUACAAUAGAUAUUUGAGUAAAUUAAAUAGGUUUGAGAGGCACUGGGAAGAGUUGUAGAAGUCCUAGUCUUACGCACAUUUUAUUUGCUGAUGACAACAUAGCCUCUGGUGAGGCUAUGAGAAGUGGUGCUUUGUUUUGAUCCAUCAUUCAGGAAUACGAAAAUUUCUCGAGCCAACAGGUUAAUUUUGGUAAAUUUACUUAUUUUAGUGGUCGACUUUAUGGGAGCCUAAAUUUAUUGGGGGCAUGUGGUUUCAUGAUAUGGGGAAGUCCAACAUUGCUUUGUUAUCCAUAUAGGUCAACAGGAGUCGAGAGAUAUAUGAAGAUAUUAAGACUACUGUUAUUGAGCCAUUUGCUUUUAUUACCUUAUGGAGCUAAAAAUGAUCUCUAAUAUAGGUAGCAACCCAGGCCAGCUUCAACAAGCGUAGUAACAACCGCCGCCACAGGAAAGGGAAGGCCAGUUUUGGUAUCAUGGUCCGUGACUGCAAGGGAGCAACUAUUGGGACUUGCAUGCAAUAGAGGCUAAAUAUACUUGUAUUACUAAAUGUAACCAAUGACCACUCUUCACGUAAAUACAUGCAAGACUACGACUGUUCUACUUUUGAAGUGGUCACCAACGUCCAAUCAUAAUCGAAAAUGCUUCUAUAACACUAUAACCACCGUUUAAAUCCUUGGUCGUUGAAGUUGGAGCUGAUUUCCCCUUUGGCUGCGACAAAACUGGGUAGUCAGCAACACCCUGAGUCCUCUACUCAUUAUUAACAUUCCUUGAAUCAAUCUCUUCCAACGUCUUCUCGACGGUGGAAUGACCGUGAUCAACAAUGCAAUUGCAGACGUCGUGCUUGAUAAAAUUGUUGGGUGAUAAAAUUGUUGGGUUUUAACAGCAAAGAAGGAAAAUAGAAGCAAGUAAUCCGGAUGAAGUAUGAAACCCUGUCUGGAAAUAGAGCAAUAACGUAAUUAACCUGAAUAAAAUAUGAAAGCAGUUUAAGCUUCAAAGACUUGAGAGUUGCAGAGAAACUACCAACAAAGCAGAAAUUUUUGGAAGAAAAGAAUUUUUUUUUGACAGUUACCUAACAUAACUGCUCCCAUAAAUGCUUGUCAAAAGCUUAGCUAAAAUUACAAACAAAAUGUAGCUGACAUACCAGUUAUCACAUUCAAAUCUUGACCAAAUCCUACUAACUUAAAAGUUAGAUUACAAAGCAACCAAAUCAAGUUAGAAAUAAACAAAAUGAUUUUGCUUCAUUUGGUUCAGCUCCAAUGUUGGUUUGCAUGUUGCAUUGCAGGCCAAAGCUUAACACUCCUCCUAGGACUGUAUGCAACAAACUCCAAUCUUUCUUCUCAAAGCUUCAAAUCGUGUGGCACUGAAAGACUUAGUUAAAAUAUCAACAAACUGAUUUUCUGAGCUGCAGUGAACCAGAUUUACCUCCUUCGAUUGUUCAGCCUCUCGAACAAAAUGGAAUUUAAUCUUAAAAUGUUUGGUUUUGCCAUGAAAAACAAGAUUUUUAGCUAUGGCAACCGCUGACUAGUUAUCAACCCUGAUCUCAGUUGCUUCAACUUGUUCUUCAUUCAAAUCACACAAAAGUUUCCUAAGCCAAAUGGCUUGAUUGACAACUGCAGUAGCUACAAUGUAUUCUGCUUCAGUUGUAGAUUGAGCAACAGUUUCUUGCUUCUUUGAACUCCAACAGAAAACUCCCGAGCCAAGAGUAAAAAAGUAUCCAGAGGUGCUUUUCAUGUCAUCAAUGGACCCUGCCCAAUCACUAUCUGAAUACCCUAUCAAUUUGAGCGUUUUUGCCUUCUCAAAAAUCACUCCAUGAUUCAAAGUUCCCUUCAAAUAUCUAAGAACUCUCUUUGCUGCUUUAAAAUGGACAACAUCACAGCAAUGCAUGAAUCUGGACAAUAAGCUCACAGCAUACAUAAUAUCAGGCCUAGUAGUUAAGUAAAGCAAACAACCUACCAAGCUUUGAUAUUCCUUUUCAUCAACCCUUUCUUGAUCCCCAUUACUAGUCAACCUCCCCUUGAGCCACUGGUGUGUUGACUGUUUUGCAUUUUGACAUGCAAAAUCUAUUGAGAAUCUUCAAAGCAAAGGCAUGUUGGCUAAUGAAGAUGCCUUGAUCAGAUUGAUUCACUUCUAUGUCAAGGAAGUAUGUCAUGACUGCCAAAUCUGUCAUCUCAAAAACUUCUUACAUCUGCACUUUGAACUCAUUAAUCAACUCUUCUUUGCUUCUAGUUCAACUCUUUUUUGCUUCCAUUUACAAGCAAGUCAUCCACAUAAAGUUAGACAAUCAGAAGAGUUUCAUUUUUUGACUUCUUUAUUAAUAGUAUAGGUUCACUAAAACUUUUCUCAAACCCGAGCCUAGAUAGGUACUCAUCAACCCUAUCGUACCAGGCCCUUGGUGCUUGUUUUAGACCAUACAAGGCCUUUUUCAGCUUGUAAACUUUGUCCUCCUCACCAGAAACCUUGAACCCCUCUAGUUGUUCAAUAAAAAUUUCUUCUUUUAGGAAGCCAUUUAAGAAUGCUGACUUGAUAUCGAGCUGGUGAAUUCUCCAUUGCUUCUGUGCAGGUAAGGCAAACAGAAGUUUAAUUUUGUCUAGCCUUGCUACUGGAGCAAAUGUCUCCAUGAAAUCAAUGCCAUAUUGCUAACUGUAGUCUUUCACCACAAACCUUGUCUUGUGCUUGUUCAAUAAGCCAUCAACAUUGCACUUGGCUCUAAAUACCCACUUGACACCUAUGACUUUCUUAUGAUCAGGUCUAUCAACCAAAUCCCAAGUGUCAUUCUUGUGGAUCAUAUCUAAUUCAGCUUCCAUAGCAUUCUUCCAACAUUUAUCCCUAGCAGCUUCUUCAAAAUCUGAAGGUUCAACUAUUACAACAUCACAUCUUUGGUAGAUAUCAGCAAUGGUCUUUGUCCCUCUCACAGGUGCUUCAUCAAAAUUAUCAUCAACUGGCCCUUCUUCAAUUAGUUCCAAGCUGCUGUCUAGCUGAUCUUCUUCAAUCAAUCUUGCAUCUGCAUCAUCCCAGCUCCAAACCUUCUCUUCAUCAAACCUCGCAUCCCUACUCACCAAAAUCUUCUUUGUUGAGGGAUCAAAUACCGUGUAGCCCUUAUUGAUGCUGCUGUAACCAAUAAAGAUUCCAGGCAUAGAUCUUUUGUCAAGUUUGGUUCUCUUUUUAACUAAUAUAAGAGUGUAGCAGACACAACCAAACACCUUUAGGUGUGGCACUGUUGGUUUGAGAUUAUGCCAAACUUCAAAAGGAGUUUUGUCCUUGACAGCAGUGGUAGGCAGCCUGUUAAGUAGAUACACUGAAGUGUUUGCUGCUUCAGCCCAAAAUUUACUUGGCAAUUUGCUUUCAAAUAACAAACAUCUAGCCAUAUCGAGCACUAUUUGAUUUUUUUCUUUCACAAACUCAAUUUUGCUGAGGAGUAUAAACUGUUGUUAGAUGAUGAUGAAUUCUAGCUUGCUCACAUAGCUUCUGAAACUUCUCAGACAAAUACUCAGCACCAUUAUCUGAUAUCAAAGCUUUGAUCUUGCAGCCUGAUUGGUUCUCAACUAGAGCUUUAAAUUUGUUGAAUGCUUCAAACACCUCUGAUUUUUGCUUUAAAAAAUAGAUCCAAUAGAAUCUACUGAAAUCGUCAAUAAACAGCACAAAGUAUUUGCUGUCAUUAAAGGAGGAAGACCUCAUUGGUCCACAAAUGUCAGUGUGAACUAAUUCAAGCUUGCCUCGAGCUUUCCAUGCCUUAUUAACUGGAAAAGGUAGUCUUGCCUGCUUACCAAGCUAGCAAACCUCACAAACAUCAUCACUGACCUUAAUUUUGGACAUGUCUUCAACCAAAUUCAAUCUAUUCAGCAAAUCAAGUGACUUGUAACUGACAUGGCCUAACCUUUUGUGCCAUAAGCUAGCUAAGUUAGUAGCACUAGCAUAGGCCUUUUUCUCUAACUGAUUUACAUCCAACAUAAAACACUUAUCAGUCAUAGCCACUGUAACCAGUACUUGACCAAAUGCAUCCUCAACAACACAGGAGUUAUUCUUGAAAACUAGUGGAUAACCCUUCAAUUAGUUGACCAACACUAAGCAGGUUUUGGUCUAUGUCAGGCACAUAAAGUACAUCAGAAAUAACUUUGUUACCUGAAUGUGUGUUGAUCACUGCACCUCCUUUGCCUUUGGCCUCAAUAAGGUUUCCAUUUCCAACUCUAACUUUGGAAGUAAACCUUCUGUCAAGAUCCUUGAACAGCCUUUCAUCUAAAGCCAUAUGGUGAGAACAACCACUGUCAACUAACCAGUUCUUACUGAUUUUGUUUAAGGUUGCAUAACAAGAUGCAGAGAAAACAUGCUCCUCCUGAGCUUGAAGGUCUUCAGCAGCCUUAGCUUGCAUUUACUGCUGACCUUGUACCUUCUUUUUAUUCUUGCAUACCUUCUCAACAUGAAAUUGUUUACAUCUCCAGCACUGAACAUUUGUUCUAUACCAACAGUUUUUCUCCAAAUGUGUGGUCUUUUUACAGUGAAUGCAUGGUGGAAAGCUUUUUCUUUCAACAUCCCUUUUUGAUUUCUCCCUUUUGUCAAGCCAUGGUUUCUUCCCUUUCUAACUUGAACCUGAGCCUUCUUUGACCUUUGCUUGGAAAGCUCCUUCAGGAUGCUCUUCCUACCUAUUGACCCUCCUUUGCUCAAGUGCAUACAAAAGGAAUUAACCAACUCAAACAGUGAAAUGGCUGAUAAUUCCCUCGAGUCCUCCAAUGAAGAAAUCUUUGACUCAAAUUUCUCAAGGAGAGUUGUUAUGACCUUUUCAACAACUCUGCUCUCACUGAAAUCAUCACCAAGGAGCCUAAUGUUGUUGACUAUAGCCAUUAUCCUAUUAGAAUACUGCUUGAUGGUCUCUGACUCUUUCAUCUUCAAGUUCUCAAAGUCUCUCCCAAGGUUGAUCAGCUGUUGCUGCCUUGUCUUUUCUGACCCCAUAAACUCCUCCUUUAGCUUCUCUCAUGCUUGCUUUGGUGAGUCACAUGCCAUUAUCCUAGUAAAAGUCACAUCGGAUACUCCAUUUUGCAAGUAAGCCAUAGCCUUAUGCUUCUUGGCACAAUCUUCACUAUGUUUCCUUAUCUGUGCAAUAGUGGGAUUGGCCCUCAAUGGAGAUGGUUCAGUAUCAUUCUCUACAACAUUCCACAAAUCGUGUGCUUGGAGAUAUGUCUUCAUCUUCACUACCCAGAUGUGGUAGUUUUCUCCAGCAAACACAGGUGGUGGUGGUGUAAAACUCAUCUUGCAGCAACAAAAACAACUUCAACUUCUUUCUCUGUAAGUUUUCUCCAUAAAGAAAAAUACCAACAAUAGAGGCCCUCAAAGAUGACAGGCUCUUAAUACCAUUUUUUGGGUUUAACAGCAAAUGAGAAAAACAGAAGCAAGUAAUUCGGAUGAAGUAUGAAGCUCUGUCUGGAAAUAGAGCAACAACGUAGUUAACCCGGAUAAAAUAUGAAAAAAGUUUGAACUUCAAAGACUUGAGACUUGUAAAGAAACUACCAACAAAGCAGAAAUUUUUGGAAGAAAUCAAUUUUUUUUUGACAGUUACUUAAUAUAACUGCUCCCAUAAAUGCUUGUCAAAAGCUUAGCUAAAAUUACAAACAAAAUGUAGCUGACAUACCAGCUAUCAUAUUCAAAUCUUGACCAAAUCCUACUAACUUAAAAGUUAGAUUACAAAGCAACCAAAUCAAGUUAGAAAUAAACAAAAUGAUUUUGCUUCAUUUGGUUCAGCUACAAUGUUGGUUUGCAUGUUGCAUUGCAGGCCAAAGCUUAACAAAAACAAAAAAAAAAACCUAAGAAGGGUCUGCGUCCUUUUCCUCGUUUCAUAGUGUCAUCAAUAUUUGAACUCGAACAAUCUGAAAAAGAUAGCACAUCUAAAUCUUCUUCCUUAAUCUGCUUGAAUCUGAGAACGGCCUUGAUAUCUCACUAACAGAAGGAAAACUCCGUGGAAAAAUCUGUAAUGUAAGAAAAAAAACCUAAAAUGGUCAUAAAGAAAAACUCUGAAAGCUUGAACAACAAAUUAACAUAACCAAAACUGAAAGGGCAUGGUUUAUAUUACAAUGGAAGAACCGUGUGGAUUACAGUUUGGGUUUCCAAAACUUUGCAGUAGUUUGCAAGCAAAAAAUGAUUAUCAGGCGUCCAAAAAAAGGCAGCCGUUAUAACUCCAGUUUAUAGUGCCUUGGCAUAAUCAUCAAAUGAAGAUUGAGUACUGUGCUUGAUAUUCUUUCUUUGGAACCCAAUGUCCUCCACUAAAUGUUGCAACAUCAUUAAGUCUUCUAUAUCACAACCCAAAAUUGCAUUUGUUCUCUUGAGAUAUUUUAUAUCUAACCAACAUGAUGAUGACUCAAUUUUCGAGCAUGUUGCUAUCAUGGAAGUAAAGCNNNNNNNNNNNNNNNNNNNNNNNNNNNNNNNNNNNNNNNNNNNNNNNNNNNNNNNNNNNNNNNNNNNNNNNNNNNNNNNNNNNNNNNNNNNNNNNNNNNNNNNNNNNNNNNNNNNNNNNNNNNNNNNNNNNNNNNNNNNNNNNNNNNNNNNNNNNNNNNNNNNNNNNNNNNNNNNNNNNNNNNNNNNNNNNNNNNNNNNNNNNNNNNNNNNNNNNNNNNNNNNNNNNNNNNNNNNNNNNNNNNNNNNNNNNNNNNNNNNNNNNNNNNNNNNNNNNNNNNNNNNNNNNNNNNNNNNNNNNNNNNNNNNNNNNNNNNNNNNNNNNNNNNNNNNNNNNNNNNNNNNNNNNNNNNNNNNNNNNNNNNNNNNNNNNNNNNNNNNNNNNNNNNNNNNNNNNNNNNNNNNNNNNNNNNNNNNNNNNNNNNNNNNNNNNNNNNNNNNNNNNNNNNNNNNNNNNNNNNNNNNNNNNNNNNNNNNNNNNNNNNNNNNNNNNNNNNNNNNNAUCAUCAAAAACCGAGCUCGAAACAUACCUCAAUUAAGCCACACAAGUGUCGAAUGGUUUAAGCAUUCAAAACCCUAUUUCUUUCUUCAAUUUCGGUUUAAAAGAUGAGAAUAUAAGCUUCAAAUUGUUUUUCUUUUAUUUAUUUUAACUUAAUACUUUGUUUACCAUUUUACCCUUGAUUAAUAAACCAUUUAAUCAUCAAUUAUAAGGCCAUUUAUGUCCAUCUCCACUAUAAAUGGUCUAAUUACAACAUAAGGACCUUUUAUUUAAUAAGCUAUAGCAAUUAAGCACUUUUAACAAAUAGAAUGCAACUUUUGCAUUUUACGCGAUUAGGUCAUUUUCUCAAAUUAAGCACUCAAACACUAAAAUUAUUUCACGAAACUUUCACACAUAUAAAAUCACAUGAUGUAAACAUCAAAAAUAAUAUUAAAAAAAUUUGACCUCGGAUUUGUGGUCCCAAAACCACUAUUCCGAUUUAGCUAAAAACCGGGUUGUUACAUCCCAUUUAGCUAUGCUCCGCACACGUAGGAAAACCAAACAGUGAAAAAAAUUUCCUCUUAUUUACAUUACACCAUUUGUAGUUUUUGUAGAAGUGCCCACUUCCGCAACAAGUUCUUCUCAUAUCUUAUUGCUUAAAGAAUUAGCAACUUAUAGACUUAGCAAUGGCUUUAGGUCAACAAGUAUCAUUAAAUGGAAAGAAGGAAGGAUUAUAAGUUCAAAUUAUGAAAUUUUUUGAAAUCAAUGCUUAUUUAUGAGUAUAGUGGGUUUUAUGAUUGACCUUAUCAACCAUUGGUAUGGUUAAUCAUGGGAAAAAAAAAAGUCACUUGUUGACCUAUUUAAGGGUUGGUUUAUUUGUCAAAGUCUAAAGGUCUCCUUGAUAUUUGGAUCGAAAAAAAUUAUCUUGGGAUGCAAUAUUCAUGUUUUGAACCUAGUUUGGCCCACUUUCAAAUUUUAUAAAUGUUAAUUUUCAUUUUUAGAUAUUAUGUAAUUUAUGUUAAGUGAGAAAGAAAUAAAAUGCAUAAAUAUUAAAAAUAUUGAAUUUACUUAUUUGUAGUUAAAAAUUUAAUAGAAUGAUAUUUAUCAAAUUUAUAGAUAUUUUAAAAAAUUAACAUUUUUAAUAAAAAAUUUAUAUAGAAUAUAGAUAAGCCUAAAAUGUCUUGGUUUUUAGCUAGUUUCAAACACAUGCUUGCAUGGGCAAAAUUUGAAAUCCAUAUGAUAGGUUAAAUCAAGUUUAGGUAACUAUAUAGGAUGUUCACGCCGUGUAUGAGCCCAACUUGACCAAUAAAUAAUUUAAUCUCUUAACCCAAUGUUAUAUAGUUACAAAAAAAAUCCAUAAUUUCCAUAUUCAAAAAAGUUCAAUAACAGAACUAAAAAUAUAAUAUAUUCAAAUGCAAAGAUAAAAUUGGGGGACUAAUAGAAAAUUUUAAAAACUUAGAAACAAUGAAAAUGUAAGAUACAUAAGGCCUAAAAUUAACCUUUAUUGAGGUCUCAUCUUCAUAAACUUUAAAAGUGAUAAUAAUGAUAUUUAAUAGCAACAAUUUUUUUUGCCCAACAUAGAAAUUCUCCACCAAUGUCGCUUCAACAAUUACAAGUACAUGGUGUCAUUGAAAAAUAAUAUUUACAAUGAAAUAAAUCCAUUGAAGAAAGUAUUCUUAUGAUCAAAUCCAAGGGGAAGAAUGAUUACCAUUAUCAAAAACUUAUUUAUUUCACUCACUAAAAUAACUAAACAACUAUAGUAAUUAAAUCAAGAAACCAGGUAAAUAACACAAAUGAUAAAAACAAUUUAAUUAAAAAAUAUAAUAAAUAAACAAAUAUGUAACAUAAAAUAACCAAUCACAAUAUCAUGGGAUGCUUAGAAGAGUAAGAAUCCGGUAAAAACUACAAUAUUAGUGAUGCCAAUGAUGGCUUUAGCUGCAUCAGAAUAAAAUGGUGCUGGUGCAGGACUGUCAUUAUUGGAAUUCGGGCUUUCACUAUCAACUACAUCGCCCUUGCUUUUUAGGGCAUGAAGAAGAGACAAAACUUUGUCAGUGACAUUUGGUGAAGGAGGGGAUGAGACGUCCUCAAGUGACUUGGCGUCAAAAGAGGAUCCUUCUUUGGUCUCGAGGCUGUCACUUUUACUAUGGCUAGGAGAGGAAGAGCUCGAAAAACUCUUUGGGGCUCCAACAGGAGAUGAUUUGGGUACUCUUCCAUCGAACUUCGAUGGUGAUGAAGAAGGCCUGUUCGAGGAUGGUGUCAGCGACUUGGCAGAAUAGGACUUGGUAGAGGAAGCCGAAAAAGAAGAAGAUGGCGACUUUGCAGGGGAAGAAGCCUUGGAAGGGGUUGGUGAAGGUGAUUUAUUAGUGGCAAAUGCCCCAACCACGGCUAUGAAAACAAGUGCAACAACAAUAAGAUCUUGGCGGGCCAUCUUUCUCUUUUGCUUCUCGAUAGAUUCUUAUAUAUGUAUUAACUUGUCUUUGAUGAAGUAUUAAUGUGUGUAUAUAUAUAUUUCUUUAUGUAACGGAAUUGCUUUUUUUGGGGGACGAUGCUAAACCAUUUUAACAUCUUACAAAAAUAUUUUAAGGUUUUGUUGCAUUUUUGUGAGGGUUUUUUAACUUCUAUUUGUUAGGAAAAUAAUUUAGAAAUAAAAUGCUAAUUUAGUAGUUGAUGUUUAGUAUAUACUAAUAUUUUUCCUUUUAAAUUUUACACUAAACCAAAUAUAGUUGUAACCAUAUUUUACCUUAUAACAAAAUCUUUCAAUUGUUUGAUUCAUGUUCUUGAGUUGUUGAGUUUGAAAUUUUUAAGGUGAAAAAUAAGAUUUAUUAGAUAGAAAGUCUAAGGGUUUAUCUUGAUUUCUUUAGUGAAUAAAAAUAAACAUUAAUAUACUAGUUUUAAUUACACGUUCAAUAUUAUUGUAAUAUAGUUAAAAUGAUCUUGAAUAUAUUAUAUUAAAUUAUUACAAUAUAAAAUUUUAAAAUGUAAUUUGAAUUAUUAGGUUGACUUUGUAGUAUUUUGCAACUGCAAUAUUUGUUUGAAUAUGUGUCAUAUAUUAUAUACUUCGAUGGUGUUGUUGAAAUAUAUGAAGUCAUAAUUUUUCAUAUUAGAGCAAGUUUUUAAAAUUUUUUAAUAGGCUACACAGUCUUAAAAUGAUACACAACCGUGUGGCUCACAUGACCGUGUACCAUCUUUUAAUGCUAGGGGUUUUCAUUUUUUUCUCUCCUUUGUUCCUUCCUCUCUCCCCACCACAGUAGCAUGGAUACCACCCAACCAACCACCCCCUCUUUUUGUUUAUUUUAUUUCUUAUUAUAUUAGUUUUAUUAUAUUAUUAUCAUUACAAGUAUUAGUAUUGUUUUAAUUUUUAUUUUUAUUUUUUAUUUUUUCCAUUUUUAUUCCGCUAAGUUAGUUAUUAAAACAGUGUUAGAUUUUUUUUGUUAUUUUCUUUUGAAUUAUUUAAAUUUUAUUUAGUUUUAUGUUUUAUUUAUUUUAUUUUUAUUUUUAUUUUUCUUUUAUUUUUCUUGUUAUUUUUUUUUAUUUUAUUUUUCAGAAUUUUGUGCUUUAUUUUAUUUUAUUCAGAAUUCUGUGCUUUAUUUUAUUUUAUUAUGUACUUUACUAUUAUUAUUUUUUUGAUUUUUUUCUAUUUGUUUUGUCACCUCUUUAUUUUAUUUUAUUUUUUUAUCUUUUUAUUAGUGUGCUCAGGAUAUGUACUUCAUUUAGAAUCUCCUAUGAUUCUAGAUUUCACUAUUCCGACGAAUUCAUCCAAAUUCAAGAUAGUUUUAGUUCUCUUCCAACCUUAUGAUAUUUUGCUUAUUUUGUUCAUAUCUAUUUGUGGCGAUGUACAUCUUAAGUUCGCAGAGGAUUUUAUAUGUUUAUGUGAUAUUGUAACACCCCAAACCUAUCUUAGGCAUCAAAGCCAAGUCUAAAAAGUUACAUUGAUGUUCCUAGUAAAACCCACCUUUUAUAAACAUAAAUAAAAGAAAACCAUUCGAUAAAUUAUAAUAAUUAGAACAACCAGUCUAUCAUUCAACAGUCUGAAAAGACAUACUACUAAAGAAUAUUAAAACGUUUAACACUAUAAUGAAAGGGGUGAUAAAGCAGACUAACUGAGCUUCCACAACACCAACCCAACCAAGACUAUGAGCUACCUAAAAUUCAGUCAACAACAAAAUGAUUUGUGAACCCAGUGUAUAACAGAAAUAGAUUCAACUAGAGUACAAUUAUAAUAAUAAAUUCUUGAAUCUCAAGUUCCAACCAGAAUUAAAGAAUAUUCAGUAUAGAUUUAACAUAUCAGUUAUAUGGCAGGACAAUUCCAGUUUAGAUACAUAACAGAUUAGAAACAGAUGUAGUCGUUCCUAACCCCAUCCACUACACAUCAUCUCUGACUGUCCCAACACAACGUUAAGGGAAUUAAAUACCCAUUAAUCCUUACACACCAUAUAGUGUCGGUCCGGCACGUUCAAUGAGAUGCAGACUACUUGUAGAUCAAAUUGCGAUUAAACGCCAUAUUCACAUAAAAGUCAUGGCUUAGCCACUAAAUCAAAAUAGAUCACUUCCUUCUUUACAUAAUUCUCAUCCAAUGCAAAUUUAGAUUACAGAUGUCAAAAAUGUGCACAAAGUCUUUCAGAUUUAAUUCAUAGCUAGGUGGUACAAAUCAAUAUCAUCGACAGUCAUCAUAAUCAAUAUACAUUUGUAUAAUUAAUAUCUCAUUCUCAGAUUAUUAGAUAGCACUCAUACAGUCUAAUUUAGAUCAUAAAUACACUACGGACGGCCUACAUUUGUGUUAAACAAUGCUUAUGGCCCUAGAAAUAAAUUCCAAAUCUGAGCCACAUGCCCGUGUGGCUCCACACAGCCGUCUUGUCUGCACAUGUGAUCCUAAAUCACAAAUAAUGAGUCACACAGCAUGGACACAUGCCCGUGUCCCUGGCCCGUGUGGUCUCUAAUAGCAACAGUGAGUCACACGACCCAGACACUCGCCUGUGUCCUUAACUCAUGUGAUCUUAUCCUGUACCCAGUGAGAUACACAGCCUGGACACAUGCCAGUGUGAACCCUGCACUAACAUGCCCAUACACAGUCUGGACACGCGCUCAUGUCCCUUACCUAUGUGGCUCGUAUUUGGUAGACAGUGUGUUACACAGCCUAACACACAGCCUGUCACACGGCCAUGUGACACAGUCGUGUGACAUCGACAGCUAUGUUUUUUGGCAUCUGAUAUUUGUAAAAAUUGAGGUUUUCAAUACACACCUAAAUUGAUUUUGAAGUAGUAACAAUGUAAAGUGCUUCAAAAGCCUAAAACGACCACCUAAUAACUCAAUCAGCCAACUUUAAUGAUAAUAAUACACAGUUAUAGGCAGAAUACUGAUGUCAAAAGUUUUGACACAAAACCUUCAACGAAAUCAACACUUUUCGAAAAAUCAACAAUGAUUACUCGAAUUAACGUGUUGAGGUUCGCUACUCCUGAUAUCCCCGCCUAAGAGGGAAACCAAGCAACUUAUAACUUUAGACCGAAUUCGGAAUGCUACAUUGAUCACCAAAGUGAUUGCAGGUAAAUUUUACAAAAUAAGUUACCAUGUCAAAUCAAAACAUUUACUUAUAUAAAACUCGAAUCGAAAUUUGUACCAUAGCUAUAUAAAUCCUUACAGUUCAAUUUAAACCGAAUAACAAAUAAAAACUAAAGUGAAACUUAUAGUUCAAUUCCUCUAAACCUGUCUGAGACCUUCGCAUACUGAGUCCAGCAUCCAGAAUCCAAAACUGUACUUAAAAAAGGGAAACAGAAAAUGGAGGUGAGCUAUUCGAGCUCAGUGUGAGAUCAAACCAAUUAAACUACAAAAGGGAAACCAGGAAACUAGAAGCAAUUCAAAAAUAGAACAUACUUACAGACUGACUAAAACAAAUACAGACCUUAUGUAACUUUACAGUCAUAUAUUUCUGUCAGAUAUAAUAAUGGUAAUUUCUAGUAGUCACAAACUGGGUCUAAGCCCUUUUCCAGAAUCAAUAUCAAUUUUUAUUUGGGGCCUUAGUCCCUUGCAAUAACUAUCUAGUCAAACAGUAGCAACUAUAGCUACAGAAUCCUCUUAGGCACAAGUGCCUUUCAGUCAAUUAGUCAUUUGCAAAGAGUCAAUCAGACAUAUCAGACCACAGUACAAUCAUUUAGGUCACAGUAACACAUCCAGUCAAUUAGAUUCAAUCAAAUGCAUAUAAGUGCAUAUGAGUUACAAAAUGAACCUACCCAACCAGCCAACACACCUCUCCAUCCAACCCUACAUUUACUGUGGGGAUUUACUCAACCCAUCCAUCCUUACACUUACAAUUAGCACUGGUUGCGGCACUAAUCAGAAAUUUUGCAGCUGAGCUGUCAGAAUUUUAGGCUUAAGAGCCUUUUAGCACAAAUCCUCAGAUAUAUUACCCCAGGUUGCCCGGCAAUGAUGAUCAUCAAUGCAGUUAAACUGCCAGAUCAAAUCAGCAUUCCUUCUCUUCAACAUCCUAACCCAAAAUGGUUUUUGCGAAUGGAUGUAUGCAAAUGUAUGAAUGCAAAUGCACCAACUCAGUAUACAAUCUCAGACAGUCAUUCAGAAACAGUCCUUCAGAACGGUCAAUCACAUUCAGUCAGUCAGAAAGAUGUACACUAAUGUAUUCCAUAUCAGUAACAGAUUAUUCAUGCAAUUAAUCACGAGUGUCGCACAAAUCCAACCCAAUUCGAAGUCACGAUUACCCUUAGUCAAGCUUAGUUAGAAGUAGGAACACAUUGAUUUGUGAUUGUAAUCAAAUUGACUUAAAUUCAGAAUUUGGCGAGUUAGGGCCACACGCCAGUGUGCUCCAGCAGUGUAGAGCAUUCCAGCCUGUGAGGAUCCAAACGCCCGUGUGAGGAGGUAGCACACAGCCGUGUGACAAAUACACAAACCCGUGUGGUGUAGGGGCACGAUCGUGUAAAAAGGCUAUGUAACUCACUGUUCAAUUUCACUUAUAUUAGGUGCAGGGCAGACAUGGCUGUGUGAAGGUGUCACACGCCCAUGUGGCUAUCAGUCACGACCGUGUGUCCCAUAAUACAUGCCCGUAUGAAAUCCUUAGGCCCCAAAUCAGUCACACGGCCGUGUGUUCUGAAGAUACGCCCGUAUGGGAACCCUAAUUUCCCAAAUCAGUCACACAGUCGUGUGUCCAAUGGACACGACCAUGUGGUUUUCGAAAAAAUUCCCCAAAUCGGCCACAUGCCCAUGUGGAACCCAAAAUUGACCGAAAAUCCUAAUUCACAAAUCCACAUGGUCGUGUACCUCGGCACACGCCCGUGUGGCCAUCGAGGAGGCUAUGAAACCACCCUAAUUUAGUUUUAAAAACACCAGUUUGGCCAUCGUAACGGUCCCAAUUCUUCACCCUAUCAAAUUACAUCAGAAAAGGGAGUUUUGCCUUCGCUUCCCCCAACUAACACGUAAAUUUCUAAGUUAAAGCUCAAUCAAGAAAAACCUAUAGAUAUUUGCAAAAACAGUCGAGCAAAACAAACAAUGUAGUCAAGUUUGAGUCCCACACUUGUUUUGACAGCGAAGAAGACGACUGAGGAGCGAAGUUCCAGAAUCUAGAAAUCAAUCGUUUUCACAGACAGAAAAUAGCAAAAAUAAAGAAAAUGAAGAAAGGGAGAAGAACAGGAGAAAAAAAAACGUGAUAAAAAAUGAGAAGAACCAAAUAAAAUAAUAAUAAUAAACAAAUUAACAAAAUAAUUAUUUUAACUUAAAACAUAAAUAAAUAAAAUGUUUUUCAAAAUGCCCACAUAGAGACUCGAACUCAAAACCUCCAACACUCCAACACUCUACUUAACCACCAAACCAACAGACCCAUUCUUGUCGCUAAAGUGUAUAACUAAUCACAUAUGUACCUCCUCUUCACUAUUCCUAUGCUCAAAUCCCAAAACUUCUAGGCCCAAAAUUCGGGGCGUUACACGACUGAUUAUCUGAAAAUUACACAACAUACUAGAAACGCCCAAUUCAGAACAUGCCACGAAGAACAAAAAAGAAAACCAAGAAAUUAAACAAAUUGUGACAGCCCAAAAUUGACCCUAGUCGGGAAGUGGUUUCGGGACCGCUAAACCGAGUCAUAAAAAUAAUUAACCGUCAUAAUUGAUGCUCAUUAUAUGUACAUGUGCAUGUGUGAAAAUUUCGUGUUUGAAUUUUGUUUAAUUGUAAGUGAAUUUUAGUAAAUAGGACUUAUGUGAGAAAAUUCUGAAAUGUGAUAGGUCAAAGCAUAAGGACCUAUUAGUGCAUGAAAUAAAAAGGGGGGACUUGCAUGUCAAAUUCCCCCCCUAAAUAGUAGUGGCCGGCCAUGACAAGGUGGAUAGACAAAUUGUGAUGGGUAAAACAUAUUAUGAAAAGUUUAUGACAACAUGUUGUGUUAAGAACAAUAAAAUAUGAGGGGAGUGGGAGGAGAAACCAAAGUUGUUUCAUCCUUGCUCCCCCAUUUUGCCGAAACUAGAAGAAAAAAAAAGGCUUCAUCCUCUUUGUUCUUCUUGACCGAAAAAUCAAAGGAAGAAGAAAGAGUUCUCUUGCUUUAUGUUCGGUUUGGAUGAGGAUUAAGAAGAGCUCAAGAGCAAAGGGGAACUAGAUCCGAUAAAGGGAAGGAAAAAGUAAUUGAAUAGCCAUUAAAGUUGUUCGACAACAUCCGAGGUAAGUCUUCGAGUAAUGACCCUACUUGAAUUAUAUUGAAAUGAUUAGUCAUACUAUGACGGAUAGCCGAAUGUGCAUAGAGACUAUGUUAUAAAGCCAAUUGAAAUCAUGCUCUUUGUGUGUGGCUAUUGAGCCGAAAUUGGAAAGGUUAAAUAAAUGCUUUGUGUUGAGCCUUAGUAACGAAAAUGAAAUAUGGAUGUGUCAUGAUUGUUGAUAUAUGGGUGCAUGAGCAUUUGAAUGAUAUCCGGGCUAAGUCCCGAAGGCAAUUGUGCUAGUGAUUUUAUCCGGGCUAAGACCCGAAGGCAUUUGUGCGAGUUGCUAUACCCGGGUUAAGACCCGAAGGCAAUUGUGCUAGUGAUUUUAUCCGGGCUAAGACCCGAAGGCAUUUGUGCGAGUUGAUAUAUCCGGGCUAAGACCCGAAGGCAUUUGUGCUUGUGGUUAUAUCCGGCUAAAUUCCGAAGAAACUUGGGUUCGAAGGUGAGCAUGUUGUGCUGUAAUAAAUUCAAUUAAAAUGCUCGAAAAAAACCCAAACGAUAAGGUAUGUGUUCGUAUGCAUCGGAAAAGUCGAUUCGUUUUAAUAGUAUUCGUUCAAUCGACUAACGAACUUUCGACUUUUAGAUAGGUUAAUACCUUGUGUGUAUAUGUUGAUGAAGUGUGAAGUAAGGAUGUGUAUGAGAAUGUGUAUUAAUAAAGUGAUCCAUUUAGCUAUGUGAAUGUAAUACUUUAGUCAAAGCCGAUUUCAUUACUUGAAACUUACUAAGCUUUAAAAUGCUUACCCCGUUGCUUUGGCUCUCUGUUUUAUAGAUUUUGUUCGUCGGAUAUCGGAUUCGGGAUCAUCGAAGUCGAAGUCAUCCACACUAUCAAAGCCCUUUUGGUACUCUUUUAGUUGAACUCUGGAUAUGGCAUGUAUAGGACUACCCUUUUGUUGUGGGUCAUGGACCCUUUGGACUUGUAUAAUUUUGGUUAGCCAUGCGAAAAUGGCUUAAAUAUGUUUGAGUAUAAUGUUAUAAUCAUUUGGUAUGGAUAUGGUUAUUGAGAGGUGUGGAUAUGCUUAACAAGGAUUGGCCAUGAGAAUGGUUAAUCACUAUCAUAAAUUGUGCUAUUUAUGCUAAAAGGGCUAGUUGAAUCAUGGAAACUAUGAAAUAGGUAAAGUCUACCUUAAAGGCAGAUGCUGACAGCAGCAGUGAUGUAGAUUUUGAAAAUCACUAAAAAUAGUAGGAAUGGAAUUAAAUAGUUAAUAAAUUAUGUAAACGAACCUUGAUGAAUCUAUUUUCAUAGGAAAGUAACAAAACGAUCAUAUGGACAGUAUGUUAAGAGAUAUUCAGGUUCUCGUGAGAUAGGGCCAGAACGGUUUCUGGAUUCCCUGUUCCGACUUUGGAAAUUCAUUAUAAAUUAACCAGAGAUAAUUAGGAGUCAUGCCAUAUAUGUAUAGAUUCCACUCUGAGUCUAGUUUCUAUAGAAACAAACGGCAUCAGUAUUGAAGCUCUGUGCAGGGAGAUAUCCAAGUCGUAAUGCGCAAAGGUCAGUGUAGUCGAUCCCUGUAACAUGGGAGACUUUGACUAAUAAACUGUACUAAUUGGCCCAACUAAAAAUUCUAGAAAAAAAUAUGUAGAUGGGCAUAUGAGUCUAGUUUCAGGGAAAAUUUACGGAACUGGAUUCCGAGUUUCUGAACUCAAGAUAUGAUUUUUAAAGCGACUAGUACACAGAUUGGCAGUGUCUGGGAAAUUUUUUUAUAAGUGGUUUAAAGUCUGUUAACACCUCGUGUUCGACUCCGGUGACGGUCUCGGGUUCGGGGUGUUACACAAAUUGGCAGUGAAACUUACUUAAUAACCUUUCGAUCCACACAACUAAUAGCUUAUAACUUCGAUUAGUCUCGUAUUUACUUACGACAGUAACCAAAAUGAAGAAAAAUAAAAGAACCAAAAAAGAGAAAAGAGAAAGGAAAAAGAAGAACAAUAAAAAGGAAGGAGAAAAAAAUAGAAGAUGACUAUGUUAGAUCCUAAUUUAACCACCAAUCAGAUUCCUAGCAUUUAGCAAAAAUGUUCCCUAUCACAUACUUUGGAACUCAAUCAUAGGACCAAACAGAAUACAAAUGCUUAACCAGUGAACUAACAGGCUCAUUCUUGACACAAGUUUGCAUUGAAUUAAGCUUAAUUAUAUAAUUCAAGGAUAGAGGUUAUUUAAAAUAAAAUAGCAAAAGUUCUAAAGAUGUGACUCAAAAUCCUAACCACGAUCAUCGAAGUAGAGCACAUAACCACAGAUACAGAGACUCAAAUACAACAGAAUCCAACAUUCAAACAUUUAAAAUUUCAGGGCGUUAUAGAUAUAGCUCCUGAUUUGUUGUUCAUGUUUAAGUGAUUUUCUCACACAUACCAUUAAAGUUAGUUUUUUUUUAUUUGGAGUUUUUAUUAAUUCUAUUUGGGAAUAAUUUAUAGAUUUUUAGGCAUUUUUUUAUUUAUACUUCAAAACACGAGAGAGUCAAGUGUAAUGCCCCAAAAAACUAAGUUUCUAAUUUGUUAAAUUUUGUCAUAAUUAAGUAUUUGCUUCAGUGGUUAAAUGUUCUAUUUGUGUGUUGGAGGUCUUGGGUUCAAAUCUCUUUUUUAGGAAAUUUAAUUAUUUUUGUUCCUAGGUUUAUCUCUAUUCGUUGAGUUUAAAUAUUAUUUCCAUUUAAUUAAUGUAAGAAUGAGUUUGUUGGUUUAGUGGUAAAGAGUCAGGUUACCUUAUGGAUGUGUAUUUGAUCCUUUAUGCGAGCAAUAUGAAAUUUUAAUUAAACUCCUAAAAAUCUGGUUAGUUAAUAAUGGGAUACGAUUUAAUUUUUUUUGAAAAUGAAUAAGUUUUAAUUAUUAAAUUAGUAAUUUAAUAUCUUUUUUUUCUAAAACCAUAUUCCCACGUUCAUUGGUUUUGUUUUUAUAUUUGUUAUUUUAUGUUAUGUUAUUUUAUUUGCAAGAAAUCUGCUCCCAUUUUUUCCCUUUCCCACGUUUGUUCCCUUAUUCUCUAAUUUUUCAGGUCGUUGGUAUUGUUCCAGCCUUAGUCAUUGGAUUUUCUUUAUUUUUCUUUCUUUCCCUUGUUUCACGUGGGUUGUGGGUUUAGCAAAGGGUUUUCAAUUGUUAUCUUUUUGCUUACUGGAUCUUCUUCCAAGGGUGUUGUCGUGCGAAGUUUUUGCUUUAGUUCCUUCUCUUUGUUUUGCAUUCGUUUCAUAUUUGAGGUUGGGUAAGUUUUGGAUUUUUUUUUCCGAUUGAUAUAUUCUUUGAUGGAUUUUUAUUAGGGGUUUCUUUAUUGGGUGAAUUGUUUAAUUGGCCUGCGGCAUGAGUUUGAUUUUUACAAGGGAUUUGUAUUGUUAGGUGACGAUGGUGAGAAUCGAAACUCCCCUCCCGCGAUUUUGUUGUAUUAGGAGUUGUUGUGGACGAUUGGGUAAGUUUUGGACGCCUAAGGAUUAAAUUUCUGACUUAGUAAUGUCUUUAUUUGUGUUGUAAUUGAGUUAUUUGGUAAAAAUUGAGGAAUUGUGAUUGAUUUGGGUGAUUAAUUUUCGAUAUUAGGUAUUGGAAUAUGUGAUUUUUGAGCCUUUAUUGAAAAAUACCUAGGUGUGUAAUGAAAACCCGAGCAAACAGUAAACGGCGAAAGCCGAAAAUCUGAACUAUCUACGCCACAUGACCGUGUGAGACACAUAGUCUGGGUCAAUUGGGUCAUGCGAGGCAUUUAGGAUUUAACCUGCCUAACCUUUAAACAACCUACUUGUUGAAUUAACCCUUAGUAAACCCCGUUGACCCUAACACUUUAUAUUUUCAAACUCGUUAAUGUUGACCCGUAACCCACCUUAAUGUUGUUAAAUUUUAUUUUUAUUGACUCCCUUUUUAUUAAGAUUCAAUUUGGUUAGUUACAUGACCAUAUUUCAUCAUUUUCAUUUCUAAAUUUUCUAUUUGUUCUAAAAAACACAAUGAAAAAAAAAUACAAAAAAAAAUUUGAUUGAGUUUGAAUCAUUAGUUUCAUAUUCUAUUGAAAAGUUAAUUUUCAUUCUUUAUUUAUUAUUGACGUAAAUUAUUUUAAUUCAACAAUUGAUUUUUUUUCUAAUUUGAUAACUUAUCAACUCAAUUCCUGACUGUAACCAACUCUUUUAACCUUUUCCAUACCAUUAAUCUAAGCCUCUUUACAACCUUGUAAAGACCUCUUACUUGGUAUGUCAUCUCAUUCUAUAGUGGUGGAGACUUCAUUUUCAAACAAGCAUAUGGUUUUUUUUUUUUUGCAACAUUCAAAAUGUGAUGUUGUCAAAAGACAGACAGAACAUCUAACAAUAAUACAGAAUUUCAGCAGAUAAAAUAGUCACAUACCAACAUUACUACAUUAGUAGAGCAAUAAUACAACAAACUCACCACCAAGCUUUAAACAUUUUGUCCCUAUUAACGUCAGCAAUCGCCAAAGAAAAUGCAAAUUCGUUACCUUUCUUAUUUGCCACCGAGAAUACAAUAUUCCCAGCCUUUAACAUAUCUUUAUCGAUGCCUGCAAAAAUUGCUUGAAAAGACCAUUACUUGUUUGGUAAUAAUAUUUCUUAUUUGAUUGUUGAGUGCACAUUACUUGAAACUUAAACACUUUGAAUGCUUUGAGUGAAUCUUAGUGAGGGUGUUAAUUCUUGUUGAGUUUGAAUUUCAUGUAAUUAUUAAGAUAGGGGAGACGCCUAUGUUCUUUGUGCUUUAAAAAUUUCUGCUUAAAUUGCUUUUUUUCUUUGGUGUUAUUUUAGUUUGAAUUUUCAAUGCCUGAUUAUUUGUAGAUUAUCCUAAGAUAUUAUCGAUGAAAAUAAUAAAUUGAGGGAAGUUAACUUGAAUGUGGGUUGAGAAUUUUGCUUGAGGGUAAGCAAAUACUUAAGUGAGGGGAUAUUUGAUAAGUGUUGAAAGUAACAUAUUUUAACCUCAUUCUUAAUGUGUUUUUGGGUGAUUAUUCGUUGUUAAUUGUGAAUUGGAUGUUCCUAAUCCUUUAAAUUCAUAUUUUUAUGCUUAAUAGAGCACUCGAGAUAAAAAACAAUAAAAAUUGGAAAAUCGAAGCAAGCUACAGGAGCCAAACAAGCUGACCCAUUUCACACGGUCUGGCCACACGACCGGUGAUCCACACGGCCAUGUGGUAGACCAUGCCGAUUGCGCAAUAAUAAAUGCCAAAAGUAACAUGUUUUAGCCUUAUUUUUAAUACGUUUUUUGAUGAUUAUUCAUUUAAAAUGGUGAAUUUUAUGCUUCUAAUACUUUAAAUUCAUGUUUCUAUACUUAAUGAGCAUUUGGGAGCAAAAGGAGCAAAAAUAGAAAAAUCAGAGCAAGUUUCAGGAGCCACACGGAUUGACCCCUUCCACACGAACUAGACACACGGCUGUGUGAGCCAUAUAGGAUGCCACACGGCCAUGUGUCAGACCGUGUUGAUUUCGCAAAUCGCAUUCCAAACAUACAAGAAAACAUAUUUUUUAGAUUUUUUGGGCAUUCUAAGACCUAUAUAUGACAAAAAUAAGAAGAUAAGAGUAAGUCGUCAUACAAUACUCAAGAAAACAAGUCGAGAAACACAAUUGAAGUGAUUUUUGAAGUAGAUUUCCAUCAAGAUUGAAGACUCCCAGUUGAUUUCUUAGGAGAUUAUAAUGAAUUUCUUUAUUUCUUUUGGUUAUGUAGUGUUUUGGAUGUUUUUAUUUGCAAGCAUGAGCUAAUUUUCUAAAUACCUAGGAAGAUGAACCCUAUGAUAAAUUUUGUGAUUUGAUUUUAUUUUAUGCAAUAAAGAUUUAGAUCUUGUUCAAUUAUGUGUGCUUAAUUCUUAUUUGAUAUUUCUAGAUUAUUAAUCGAUAUUUGAUGUGCUUAAAUCAGAGGAGGAAUAGACCAUAUUUAAUAGUAGAUCUAGUAUAAUUCAGUGGAGUUGCAUGCAAUCCUAGAAAUAGGACGACAUAAAUCUAUCGGAUUAGAGUCAAAUCUAAUACAGAAAUCCAUAGAUAGAGUUAAUGAGAUAAUAUGGGUUUUAAUUAGAAAGAAAUUUCAAUUAAUCAAUCUAGAGUCAGUUGCUCUUAUUCUUGAAGAGAGAUAUUAGCAUAAUUUAGGGAUUUCUACGAAUCAAGAUACUAAAUGAAGAAAUUGCGUAAUUUAGAUUGAUAAUGACAGAUGAACUCUAGAUGAAUUUUUUCUUGAAUUAUUUCUUGGGUAUUGUUUUGCUUCUUGGUUGUUUACUCGAUUAUUUUCCUGAUUUGUUUUUUUGUUACAUUAGUAGUUAAUUAAUUUAGUUAAUUUUUAUUUUUAAUCAAUCUCUCAAAUUUAUCGGUUAAAUAAUAGAAAGAGAGUAACUACUAGUAUUUUUAGUCUUCGUAGAAACAAUAUCUUUACUCAUCGUAGUUAUACUAUUAAUUGAUACAUGCAUUUACCUUAAUCAAAUUUUUAAUUAGUUUCGCAAUGCAUCAUAAAUCCAUUGAAGGAAGUAUUCUUAUGAUCAAAUCCAAGGGGAAGAAUUUCUACCAUUAUCAAAAACUUAUUUAUUUCACUCAUUAAAAUAACUAAACACUAUAGUAAUUGAAUCAAGAAACCAGGUAAAUAACACAAAUUAUGAAGACGAUGUGAUUAAAAAAUAUAUUAAAUAAAUAAAUAAAAUAAAAUAACCAAUCACAAUAUUAUAUGAUGCUUAAAAGAGGAAGAAUCCGGUAACAACUACAAUAUUGACAAUGCCAAUGAUGGCUUUAGUUGCAUCAGAAUUAAAUGGUGUUGGUGCAGGACUAUCAUUAUUGGAAUUCGGGCUUUCACUAUCAACUGCAUUGCCCUUGCUUUUUAGGGCAUGGAGAAGAGACAAAACUUUGUCAGUGACAUUUGGUGAAGGAGGGGAUGAGACAUCCUCAACUGACUCAGCGUCAAAAGAGGAUCCUUCCAUGGUAUCAGGGCUAUCGCUUUUGCUAUGGCUAGGAGAGGAAGAGCUUCAGAAACUCUUUGGGGCUCCAACAAGAGAUGAUUUGGGUGCUCUUCCGUCGGAAGAGGACUUGGUAGAGGAAGCCGAAGAAGAAGAAGAUGGCGACUUUGCAGGGGAAGAAGCCUUGGAAGGGGUUUGUGAAGAUGAUUUAUUGGUGGCAAAUGCCCCAACCACGGCUAUGAAAACAAGUGCAACAACAAUAAGAUCUUGGCGGGCCAUCUUUCUCUUUUGCUUCUCGAUAGAUUCUUAUAUAUGUAUUAACUUUUCUUUGAUGAUGUAUUGAUGUGUGUAUAUAUAUAUAUUUCUUUAUGUAACAGAAUUGUUUUUUUUUUGGACGAUACUAAACCAUUUUAACAUCUUAAAAAAAAUUUAAGAUUUGGUUGCAUUUUUGUGAGGGUUUUUUAACUUCUAUUUGUUAGGAAAAUAAUUUAGAAAUAAAAUUCUAAUUUUGUAGUUGAUGUUUGUUAUAUACUAAUAUUUUUCCUUUUAAAUUGUACACUAAACUAAAUAUAGUGGUAACUGUAAUAGCCCAUUUUUGCCCGGCCCAUUUCAUAUUUAAAAUAAUAAACCCCCAAAAAAUAAAAAUAAAAUAAAGUCCAAGUCCGGUACAAAAUUACAAACAUAUAAUUUGGCCCAAUCGGAAUGGCCCAUUGCAUGAAAAGAUUUAAGGUCCAUCUAUGAGCUUGACUCAUAUGGAAAUAUAAUCUUUAAGGAUAUGCAAUCUUAGAUAUUAUAUGCAAUCUUAGAUGUGAUAUGCAAUCUUAGAUAUGAUACAAUCUUAGAUAUGAUAUGAUAUGAUAUGAUAUGCAAUCUUGAAGAUAUGAUUUUGUAAUCUUGGAGAUUUAAUUUGUAGAUAUCCUUUAAUCUUAACAGUUGAUGUAAUUGAUCUGUACCGUUGGAUUUGGGGAGGCUCAACUAUAAAUAGAGGCCUCUCCCUUCAUUGCAAACGCACUUGAGUUUUGGGAAGCAAUAAGAAUUCUUGAGAGCAUUCACUCAAAUUUCUCUCCCUCUUGCGUUCUUAUUUUCUACGGUUUGUUCUUAUUUAUUCUUUGUUCAUCUUCGUUUUCAACCUUUUUUUAUUUAAUCCCUAUCUCCUUGAUUUUUUUAAUUCUCUUUUAUAUUUUAUUUUUUAAUAAUUUUAUUAUAUAAAAUUAUUUUUUUAUUAAAUUCUAUAUUAUUCAUUGUUUUAAAAAAUAUAUUUCAUUUAAUUGAAAAAGUUUUUUCUUAAAUAAGGCAAUGUUUGGUGUUUAGAAAUUCGGAAAUUAGUGCCUUAACAUGCUGGGUUGCGAUUUUUUUGUUUGACUAAAUAACCAAAUAUCCUUUUAAUAAAUUUGCAAAAUCAUGAGAUAAUUUUAGUUACGAGGAUUUAAAACAUCGUGUCCUAACAUGCUGGAUGUGAUGUUUGUAUACUUUCGGAACAAAGGAAUCUCAAGUUUCAACUUUAAAUUGUUCAAGUUUUAAAAUCUUUUCAAAAUUUCGACAUUAGGACAAUAAAUAAUCAAUUCGAUACCAAUUUUGGGCGUUAUGAGGGUGCUAAUCUUUCCUUGUGCGUAACCGACUCCCGAACCUAUUUUCUUGCAUUUCGUAGACCAAAAUGUUUUAUAAAGGUGAUCCAAUCACACCUAAAAAGGUUGGUGGCGACUCCUAUUUUCAUUUUUCAAAAAGUCGAACCCCGUUUUUCAAACCCUUUAAAAAAUGGUUUCGACAGUAACCAUAUUUUACCUUAUAACAAAACCUUUCAAUUGUUUGAUUCAUGUUUUUUAGGUGUAGAGUUUGGAUUUUGUAAGGUAAAAAAUAAGAUUUAUUAGAUAGAAAGUCUAAGUGUUUAUAUUCAUUUCUUUAGUGAAUAAAAAUAAAUAUUAAUAUACUAGUUUUAACGACACGUUCGAUAUUAUUGAAAUAUAGUUAAAAUGAUCUUGAAUAUAUUAUAUUAAAUUAUUAUAAUAUAAAAUUUAAAAUUUAAAUAUAAAUUUUUAAAUGUAAUUUGAGGUAUUAGGUUGACUUUGUAGUAUUUUGCAUCUGCAACAUUUUUUCUAAUAUGUGUCAUAUAUUAUAUGCUUCAAUGGUGGUGUUGAAAUAUAUAAAGUUACAAUGUGCUAAAAGAAGUGUCUACUUAAUUCACCUCUACGACAAAGCAACUUGCCAUAUAUGGAAUAUUAGCAUUUUGCUGAACCGAAUCUUUGGGUUGUGUUGAUAUUGUUAAAUAAUUUAAGUCCAUAAAUGGAGAUCAAUUCAUUUGAAGAAACAUAUUUAAAAGAUCAAGUCAUAUCAUAUCAUGUGUUUUGAAUACCUUGGAUAAAGGAAGCCGGAAUUACUCAAAGCAUUAAAGGCAUACCAACAAGUCCAUUUUACUUAGUCGCUAAUAUUAUAUUGUAUUCAGCUAUUUUAGCUAUUGAAUAGAAGGGGUUGUGAUUGAUCUUCAUUAGGUUAACAAGUCCCAAAAUCUUAUAUAAAAGGGGUUGUGAUGGAUCUUCAUUAUGUUAACAAGUCCCAAAAUCUUAUAUAAUUGGGAUAGAUAUAGCCUUUGAGAUACAAAAGUAAGGAUCCUUCAUUGGGGUGUGUUAGAAUUGGGAUCGCUUGUUGUAUUUUCUUGAAGGAUAGUGAAUUCAUCUUGUUGAGCUAUUCUCCACAGAUGUAGAAAAAUCGAACUGUGUAAAAAAUCUUAUUUACAUUAUACCAUUCGCAGCUUUGGUAGAAGUGCCCACUUUCGUAGCAAGCUUUACUCAUACUUUGUUGCUUGCAGAUUUAGCAACAUGUAGACUUAACAAUUAUUUCAUGAUAGUAGGUACCAAGAAAUGGAAAGAAUGAGGGAUUAUAAGUUCAAAUUAUGAAAAAUUGUGAAAUCAAUGCUUAUUUCAUGAGUAUAAUGGGUUUUAUGGUUAACCUUAUCAACCAUUGGUAGGGUUAAUAAUGGGCAAAAAAGGUCAUUUGUUGACCUAUUUAAAGGUUGGGUUACUUUUCAAAGUCCAAAGGUCUACAUGAUAUUUAGAUUGUAAAAAAUGGUCUUGGGUUGCAAUAUUCAUGUUUUGAUCCUAGUUUAGUCCACUUUCAAAUUUUAUAAUAUGUUAAUUUUCCUUUUUAUAUAUUAUAUAAUUUAUGUUAAUUGGGAAAGAAAUAAAAUACAUAAAUAUUAAAAAUAUUGAAUUUACUUAUUUGUAAUUAAAAUUUUAAUAGAAUGAUAUAUAUAUCAAAUUUAUAAAUAUUUAACAAAAUUAAUAUUUUUAAUAAAAAACAAAUUUAGAUAGAACAUAGAUGGGUCUAAAAGUGUCUUAUUUUAGCUAGUUUCAAACACAUGCUUGCAUGGGCAAAAUUUGAGACCCAUAUUAUAGGCCAGAUCAAGUUUGGGUAACUAUAUAGGAUGUUGAUGACAUUCAUGAGCCUAACCUACCUAAUAAAUAAUCUAGUCUCUUAACCCAAAGUCGCAUAGUUACAAAAAAAUAAUAAUUUCCAUAUUAAAAAAAGAUCAAGACCAACACUAAAAAUAUAAUGGCCAUGUUUAACAAUUGGCUGAUAGCUGAUUGUAGUGAUAGGUUUGACUAACUGGUUCUAUUAACUGUUUAUUUGAAAGUGUUUGAAAAACUUAGUUGAUAGCGAAAAGUUGAUAUGUGUAAAAUGACAAAUAAGGGUAUGGCACAUUUUAUUGUUAAGUAUUUAUUUGUUUAUAAUACUUUAGUCUUUAUUGGGUGAAACUAUUGAAAUAAACUAUGGAAAUUAAUUAGUGAAUAUUUUAAAAAAAUUUAAAUAAACAAAUUUAUUAAGUUCCUUAUUUGCAAAUAUCAAUCUUGUGACAAUUGAUAAAUAUUAAUAUUGUAUCAAUAUAAUAGUAAACUACAUUCUUAGAGAUAAUUAUGUCAUGUUUUUAGUACGUAAAUUAGUGAUAAUUAGGUUUGAGAACAUGUGUCAAAACGAGUAAAGUUUUAGCAAGCAUGGUGAGAUAUGUCAUUCCACAUAUAUCAUUCCAAAUGAGCAAUAAAAAAAAGUUUUCCAACCUUGCGAUUUUUAUUUUGGAGGUUUUAGCUCAAUAAGCUCUUCCAAACCUCUAUUCAUCAAACACUACAAUUAUAGGGUUUGACUACUCAGUCCUCUAUUUAUACCCAAAUUAGCUUAAAAAAGGCCGAAAACUCUAUUUACACAACAUAAAAAUUCACCACCAUUGUCGCUUAAAAAAUUACAAGUACAUGGUGUCAUUGAAAAAUAAUAUUUACAUAAAAUAAAUCCAUUGAAGGAAGUAUUCUUAUGAUCAAAUCCAUGGGGAAGAAUUGCUACCAUUAUCAAAAACUUAUUUAUUUCACUCAUUAAAAUAACUAAACACUAUAGUAAUUGAAUCAAGAAACUAGGUAAAUAACACAAAUGAUGAAGACGAUUUGAUUAAAAAAUAUAUUAAAUAAAUAAAUAAAAUAAAAUAACCAAUCACAAUAUCAUGUGAUGCUUAAAAGAGGAAGAAUCCAAUAACAACUACAAUAUUGACAAUGCCAAUGAUGGCUUUAGUUGCAUCAGAAUUAAAUGGUGCUCAUGCAGGACUAUCAUUAUUGGAAUUCGGGCUUUCACUGUUAACUGCAUCGCCCUUGCUUUUUAGGGCAUGCAGAAGAGACAAAACUUUGUCAGUGACAUUUGGUGAAGGAGGGGAUGAGAAGUCCUCAACUGACUCAGCAUCAAAAGAGGAUCCUUCCUUGGUAUCGGGGCUAUCGCUUUUGCUAUGGCUAGGAGUGGAAGAGCUUAAGAAACUCCUUAGGGCUCCAACAGGAGAUGAUUUGGGUGCUCUUCCAUCGGAAGAGGACUUGGUAGAGGAAGCCGAGGAAGAAGAAGAUGGCGAAUUUGCAGGGGAAGAAGCCUUGGAAGAGGUUGGUGAAGGUGAUUUAUCAGUGGCAAAUGCCCCAACCACGGCUAUGAAAACAAGUGCAACAACAAUAAGAUCUUGGCGGGCCAUCUUUCUCUUUUGCUACUCGAUAGAUUAUUAUAUAUGUAUUAACUUUUCUUUGAUGAAGUAUUGAUGUGUGUAUAUAUAUAUUUCUUUAUGUAACGGAAUUGCUCUUUUUUUUUGGACGAUACUAGACCAUUUUAACAACUUACAAAAAUAUUUUAAGGUUUUGUUGCAUUUUUGUGAGGGUUUUUUAACUUUUAUUUGCUAGGAAAAUAAUUUAGAAAUAAAAUGCUAAUUUAGUAGUUAAUGUUUGGUAUAUACUAAUAUUUUUCCUUUUAAAUUGUACCCUAAACCAAUUAUAGAGAUAACCAUAUUUUACCUUAUAACAAAACCUUUCAAUUGUUUGAUUCAUGAAUUUUAGUUGUUGAGUUUGAACUUUGUAAGGUGAAAAAUAAGAUUUAUUAGAUAGAAAGUCUAAGGGUUUAUCUUGAUUUCUUUAGUGAAUAAAAAUAAAUACUAAUAUAGUUAAAAUGAUCUUGAAUAUGUUAUAUGAAAUUAUUAUAAUAUAAAAUUUUAAAUUUAAAUAUAGAUGUUUAAAGGAAUAAUUGUAUAAAAUACCUUCAAUGUUUAGGGAUUUUAGGUUUUGUGUCCUUAACCUUUUUUAUAUAUAUUAACACCCUUAGCGUUAUGAUUUUUUUAGAAAUCGGUCUAAUUUUACGGUAAACGUGAAUUGACCUUCAGUCAAGUACCGGUCAAUCAAGUACCGGUCAACAAAGUAAGCCUAUAUGAAAUCAUAGAUGAUGUCAUCUAUUUUUUUUCAUUUUGUUUGUAAUAUCCCAAAUUUGACCGGGCCUUAAAACCAAAAAAACUUAAAAUAAAUAAAUAAAUGUUUAUUUAAACAGUCCAUUUACAGAGCCCAAAAAAAAAAUUAACCCGUAGGCCCAAUAUUUAAAACCUUCAAAACCAAAUCCCACUACCCGUGUACCCAAAUACACCCGUAGCCCAAACUUAAACCAGACCCAUUACAACAGACCCAAACAGACCCACCUAAUACCAAUAAACCCAAAGGCCCAAACAGCAGGGGCCCAAAUGACUUUCAGAUAGGGUUAGAAACCCUAGCUCUCUUUCUCCUCGAGCCGCAAAGGAUUCUAGAAGCUUCAGGCGCCUCAAACAUCAUGUCCAAUUAGUGCCCUUUCGUUUCACGAAACUCCAGAACUUUCGGGGAGCGUCUGUUGGCCUCAUGUCAAGGCUCCAUCAGCGCCACGACUUUCUCCUUGACCUCAGCUACUGGAUGUCGCGCCACCAUCAGCGGGCAAACAAUGCUGAGAUUGUCGCCAUCAUCAACACGCCACACCUCAGUCUUGUCUCGCCACCAAGAUCCUCGCGCUCACCUGCAAACAAGGGAAAGAAAUCGCGAUAGACAAAGAACAAAUAUGGAAAGAAAGAACACAGUAUACAGAUUAAAGAAAUAUGGAAAGAAAUCAAGGAUUUCUUUCCAAAAUAUGUAAUAGACUGAGGUUAUAAAGCCUUUUUCUUUGAUCUAUAAAGAGACGAUACACACACACACAAAAAAGGAGAUUGUACACCAAAUAUUUUUUGCAAUAAGACAUCAGAAAGAUUUCACGAGAAAGCAAAGGUGAUUUGUUUUUUAUUUUUCUUUUUUUAAAUAUUUGCAUUUCAUACAUAUAAAAUGUUAAAAAUAGAUAAAAAAAAUGGAAUACCUUUCGAUGCGGGGUAAACGAUGAGGUUUUUUGGCUUCCGGCCGCCGUAUGUGACGGCAUUGAUAGUGGCGCGUGAGCGUGUAGAGCCCAUUGGACGGAGGCACGAUGGCACUCCGAGAACUCACCCCGGGCCCUCGUUCAGAGGAUUUUUCCUCGUUUUUUUUAGACAGAGUACAAAAUGAUUUUAAAGCUUUAAAUUUGGCUUAUAUAGCCUAGAUAAAACGGUGCCGUUCUGGUCUAAUUCAAUAAGCAUGAAACGGCGUCGUUUUAAGGCUCAGAAUCCGCGUGUUGACCCGAUUACUCGAGGAGGAUCCACGUGUUUUUGUAAAGUGGGUUAAUCACUCAAUUGGUCCUCCCACCUUUUUAAUAUUUAUAAUUUCAUUUUAUUUAUUUUUAAUUUAGCUCUAAUGUUUUAAUUUUGUUUCAAUUUAGUCCUCACAGUGAUUUUAAAACAGUAUUUGGGAAACGGCGUCAUUUUGGGAUUACGGCUAAAUUGCCCAGUGAGUUCUCUGAAUGUAACGUGCAUUUCAAUCAGGCCCAAAAUUUUUAUUAUUUUGCAAAUUAACCCCCAAAUUUCUUAAUUGAAUCCAAUUUUAGUCCUUUUUUUUAAAAAAAAACGUUAGUUAUAUUGUUUCAUUUAUAUUAUUUUUAACAUUAUAUAUACAUUCAUAAAUUUCAUUAUAUGUUGUAUUUUUUUAUUUUAUUAUUUAUUUGUUACAUUAUUACUAUUAUUAUAUAUAUACCAUAUUAUAUUUCACUAUAAUUAUUUAUAUUUUAUUACAUACUAUAUCUUAUUAUAUAACAUUCCUUAUAAUAUUUAUUUUUCUUAUAUAUUCUUUUAUAUAUAUUUUAUUAUGUAUAUAUUCUUUUUUACUAAUUGUGCUACCAUAUUUUUUCAAAACCAUUUUUAAAUCGAGUUUUGGAAAAUGGGAAUCGACUUUAAGAAAAAACGAAAAUGGGAGUCGCCACCAAUCUUUUUAGGUGUGAUUGGAUCACCAAUAAAGCGUUUUGUUUAAAAUCAUUAGUUUUGGUCUACGAGAUCAAGAAAAUGGGUUUAGGAGUCGAUUACGAACGAGGAAGGGUUAGCACCCUCGUAACGCCCAAAAAUUGGUACCUAAUUGAUUAUCAAGUGUCUUUAAUGUCGGGAUUUUGAAAGUUUUAAGAUACAAUCCUCUUUUAUUUAGAAUGUUUUGAUUUGAAAAAUUUAGGUUUGCUUAUUUUAAACGAGUCAAAAUAUCACAUCCAGUAAGUUAAGAAGCAACAUUUUAAAACUUUUGAAGCUAAGCUUGCCUUUUGAAAAUUUCCAUUUCGAAACUACAAAACAUCAUAUCCAGCAAGUUAGGACACCAUGUUUUGAAAUUCCAAAAUAGUUGUUUGUAUUUUGAAAAUUUCAAAAAUACUUAGAAGGGUGCUAGACUAUCGAAGUCAAUGAGAAAAGUUGCAACCCAGUAAGUUAGGGCACUACUUUUCUCGAAGCUUCCAAAUACCAAACAUUGCCUUUUUAUUUUUUUGAAAACUUGGAAUCUCGUUUUUAAAUUGAUGCUUUAGGAUGACAUAUUAAAGCAUCAUGAAGCAUAGAUGUACAAAAUAUUCUAACAUUUCCAUACAAACAUAAAUAAUAUCAUUAAGACAAAACUAAAUAACAUGAACAUACGUUUAAUGAAAAAAAAAUCAUACUAGGGUAAAUAUAAGAUAAUAAACAAAUAAAAACAUGAGUAAACUAAAAGAAAAACAUAAUACAUGCAAAAAUUAUACAACAAUAUAUAUAUAUAUAUCAUAAAAUAGCACAUAAAAGAAAUAAUUAAACAUAGCAUAUAAAAAAAUGAAACUAUGCACAAAUAAGAUAAAUGACAUACACUAAAAAAAUGAAUAAAUAGAACAUUUACAAAUUAUAAAAAUAUAAUGCAAUAGUUCAAAAUACGUGAAAUGAUAAUAUAAUAUAUAUACAUGCAUAGAAAAUAUAUAUUUGAAAAUAAACUAUAUAAAAAGGUUAAAUAUUAUAAUAUAUAAAAUACAUAAUCAAAUGUAUAAAAGAUAGGAAUAAAUAUACAUAUUUGAAAAAUGAAGAAAUUAAAAUAAAAAAAGGUUGAAAAACUAAGAUAGACGAAGAAUAAAAUAAGAACAAACCACAGAGAGUAAGAACGCAAGAGGGAGAGAAAUUUGAGUGAAUGCUUUCAAGAAUUCUUAUUGCUUCCCAAAACUCAAGUCUGUUUACAAUGAAGGGAGAGGCCUCUAUUUAUAGCUGAACCUCCUCAAAUCCAACGGUACAGAUCAAUUACAUCAACGGUUAAGAUUAAAAGGUAUCUACAAAUUAAAUCACUAAGAUUACAAAAUCAUAUCUUCUAAGAUUGCAUAUCAUAUCUAAGAUUGCAAUCAUAUCUAAGAUUGUAUCAUAUCUAAGAUUGCAUAUCAUUAAAAAUUAUAUUUUCAUAUGAGUCAAGCUUGUAGAUGGACCUUAAAUCUUUUCAAGUAAUGGGCCAUUCCGAUCGGGCCAAAUUAUAUUUGUAAUUCUAGACUGAACUUAGACUUAAUUUUUUUGGGGGGUUUAUUAUAUUUUUGUUUUUGGACUUAUUUCUUGGCCCGGGCAAAAUUGAGUGUCUACAACUUUUAUAUGCAAAAUACUUAUUAUAUUAUUAUUAUUUUAUAUUUCCUUAUUUUAUUCAUAUUAUAUUAUUAUACAUAACUUAUUUUAAGCAUUUUUUUAAAAUUUAUAUUUUAUGUAUAUUUUAUCAAUAAUCACUUACCUUAUAUUACAUUUUAAUAUACAUUAAUUCUUUCACAUAUAUUGAACAUAUCAUUUAUAUAUUAAAUACUGUUUUGUGAUUAUUAUUAAAGGUCAUAUUUUAGAAUUGACAUGUAUGUUGAUAUUAUUUUAGGAAUGUUUAUGUUAAGUUGUAUACCAUGCAUCAUCUUUUGUCUAUUAAUUUAUUAAAAUGUAUAUAGAGUUAUACCGUAUAUGUUUAUAUGUUCACUUAUGCAUUUUUAAUGUAUGUCAUAUAUUUUUUGCAUGUAUGUUUUACUUGUUUUAAAUUUGCCAUGUUUGUUGUUUAAAAUUUGUUUAAAUUCAUACUUUUACUUACCUAUUAUGAUAAUAUGCUAUCUUGUAUGUUAUUCUAUGAUGUUAACACGAUUCUUCAUGCAUUAAUCAAAAAGGAGAUUCCAAAGUUUUCAAAUAAAAGGCAAUGCUUGGUAUUUGGAAGCUUCGAGAAAAGUAGUGCCCUAACUUACUGGGUUGCAACUUUUCUCGUUGAGUUCGAAUAGUCAAGCACUCUUCUAAGUUUUUUUAAGGUUUUCAAAAUACGAGCAACUGUCUUGGAAUUUCAAAGCGUUGUGUCCUAACUUACUGGAUAUGGCGUUUUGUUGUUUCGAGAUAGAGAUUUUCAAAAAGGUUAGCUUAGCUUCGAAUGUCUUAAAAAUAUUGCGUCCUAACUUACUGGAUGUGAUAUUUUGAUUCAUUUGAUACAAGUGAACCCUAAUCAAAAUAUUCUAAAGGGGAUUGCACCUUAAAAUUUUUAAAAUUUCCGACAUUAAAGACACUUGAUAAUCAAUUAGGUACCAAUUUUUGGGCGUUACGAGGGUGCUAACCCUUCCUCAUACUUAACCGACUCCCGAAUCCUUUUUCUCGACUUUCGUAGACCAAAAUUAAUGUUUUGAAACAAAACGAUUUAUUGGUGAUCCAAUCACACCUAAAAAGAUUGGUGGUGACUCCCAUUUUCAUUUUUUCUUAAAGUCGACUCCCAUUUUCCAAAACUCGAUUUAAAAAUGGUCUCGACAUUGUUUUCAUCUUCUUUUUGCUUCUCCCUCCCUAAAAAAAAUAAAAAUUUAAGUACACGUGGAUUAACAAGAAAUUUAACAUGAAUUAUGGACUGAAUUGAAAAUUUUCAAACCUGGUUUUUCUUUUCCUUUGACACUGGAUUGAAGGCUUUCUUUAAAGAAAAUAGCCAUUUUACUUUCUUUCCCACCUUUUCUUUCCUGGAUAUGAUCCUUCAAACAAAAAAUCCAUGAUCUAUCAUGUUAAUGUAUAUUUAUUAACACAAUCCAAAACAUGAUUAAAAACCAUGCUAAAAAAGUUAUAUUUUUUCCCUACUUUAGCUAAAAAUUUUCUCUCUUAUUUUCCCAAAUUUUCUCACCAACGAAACAGAACAAAAAAACAAAACUGCUAUUUGAAGUUUUAACAAAAUUAGGAAUGUACCCAGAUUUCGAAAGAGAGUACCUGAAAUUGUAAUGCCCAAAUCUUAAGAAACUCGAAACACUACAAGAAAAUAGGGCUUUAGCGGCAUUUUUAGCGGUGUUUUAUCAAAAAAACGCUACAAAAAUUGUAAAACACAGAGCAAUAGCGACGUUUUGAUAAAAACGCCGCUAAAAAUUGAGCAAUAGCGGCGUUUUUUGUUAAAACGCCGCUAAAGACCAGAGCAUUAGCGGCGCUUUUGGUGAAACGCCGCUAAAGAUACCAACUAGGUUCUCAUCUUAGUCUCACUAUUUUAAGGUUUAGGGAUUAUGGGUUUAGGGAUUAUGGUUUAAAGGUAGUUUAAGGGUUGGGGUUUAAGGUUUAGGUGUUAGGGGUUAGGGGUUCAUGGUUUAGGGUUUAGGGUUCAUGGUUUAUGUUUUAUGGUUUAAUGUUUAGGGAUUAGGAGUUUAGGGUUUAGAUUAGUUAGUGUUUUUUAAUUAUAUGAUAAAUAUUUUCUUAUAUAAUUAUAAAAGAGAUAGUAUUAAUUUUAAAAUAUUGAAUUAAUUAUCAUUAUAUAAAUAUUUUCUUAUAUGAUAAAUGUUUCUUUUUCUAACAAUGGUUUAGUGUGCAAUUGUAUACAUGAACUUUAAUUUGAUCCAGUUCUUGUAAAUUAUUAACACAAUUAUUGAUAUAACAUCAUUUUAUAUUUAUAUAUUGCAUACAUAAAUAUUUAUAUUUAUCCAAUAGAAAAAUAUAUUGAUGUAUUUAUUUUUUUAAAUUUGUAUGAUUAAAUCAAAAUUAAAGUUUUAACUAUACAUUUAAACCACAAUUAGAAUUUCACGUCUACAAUUACACAUUAAACCGAAAUUCAUAUAUAAUUCUAAGAUGUAUCUCUAUUAAAAUUUAGGUGUAUACAUAUAAUUAAAUGCUAUUUAUAUAAAAAUCUAAACAACUAAUGCGGACCAUACUUAAAAGAAUAAUACUUGUAUUACUAUGUCAUUUUGUAUUUUUUUAAUUCAUCGAUUUCAUUUUAUUUCUGUUAAAGUUUCCUUUUGUAUUUUAUAUGAUAAUUUAAAAAUUAUAAAAAUCUUCAUAAAAAAUUUAAAAAAUAAAAAACUUAAAAAUUUAAUAUUUUAGUUCAUAUUUCAGUUAAAAUGUUCAAUAUUCAAAAUUUUAAAAAAAAAUCUAAAAAAUGAUAAUGUCAACACAAAAAAUUUAUAAGAAAAAAUAGAAAAAAAUAUGUUAAAAAUGAAAAAAAAUCAAAAUUGAGCAAUAAUAGCAAAAAAAUGAACUAUAGUGGCGUUUUUUAUUUAAAACGCCACAAAAAACUAUUAUUUUUUAUCCCGUUUUCAAAAUCCCGCUCACUAACCAAAAAAUAAUUUCUGGUUACCCGCUUCUCAUCUUCUGUCUCAUCUCCUUUUACUCUCAAUUUCUUUUUAACGAUAAACGCUUCAUUAGAAACAAAUUUCUUUUUACUCUCAAGGAACGCGAGAAGAUUCUCGAAGACAUGGAAAACAAGAUCACUUAUCUGCAGUCUGUUAUAUCCACUCUUAAGGUUCAAUUCUUAGCCAAGAAGCUUUGCUUUUUUAUUAUUAUGUUUUCAAUUAUUUUCAGUUAUUGAAUGUCUUUCCCUAAAGAAGCGUAGAUUGAAGAGUACAGUGUACUAAAUUAGGGUUUAUUCGGCUAUGAAUUUUAAUUUCUAUAUUAUGUUAAUUGCAGGAUGAUUCAUUACUUGCUGAUGAAAAGCUUAAGGCUCUACAAGAGGAGGUUCGUUUUAAAUGGUUUAAUAUAAAUAUAAUCCCUAAUUCCGUUUUUUUCUACUAUUGGAUUCCUUGCCUGUAAUGCUUGCUUUAUUUGCAAUAUUCAUCUGACUUGAGUAGUAGGCCUCGUUCUCCUAGGUACGUUUGCUUUGGGAUGUUUCGAGAAAAAACAACUUUGAACUUCAUGUUUUGGAAUCGGAAGCACAGGACACUGAAGAUAGGAUGGAAGCUGUUAAUUUAAAAGUUGAAAAGGUCAGCAUUGUGCAUGCAUUAAUUUUAUUUCUGUGUAGAGACUCUGCUAGUGAAUGUUGAAUGACUAAGCAUUUCUAUGUAUUAUUAUGACCUUUAUCAACUGAAAGAAUUUUCAUCAAGAACAGCAAAAAUGCUUUAAAGACCGUCUAAUAAAACUUUGUUUUGUUGAUUUUUUAAGCCCAUCUCAUGCUGCUACUUCAAUGGAUGCUUUACAAGGUUAGCCUGACAAGGAUUUUUCAGUCUCUAGUAUUUUGCCGAUCAAAAUGGUUAAAUUUCAUGGAUGUUAUUUGUUAUGCCAUAAAUGAAGGUACUGACAUACCCAAUCACCCAUGCAUGAACUAGUGAAGUGAAGCAUAGAAUAGAGGCUUAUGUAAUCAGUCCCUGUUUUAUUUCGAUUCCUCCUUUUUCUUUCCCCUUUUCCUUUGUCCAAUUUUUUCUUCCAAGUGAGUUUUAGAGAAAGAUCCAAUUGUAAGGGUAUCAGAUAGGAGAGUGGAGAUAGGAAUAGAGAAGAUUGUAGCAAGAUUUCUUUUCAAAGGAAUGACUCCUUGAGUGCUUGGGGAUUUAAUUAGAUGGUUAAGUUCAAAACCAAGGAGUCAUUUGGUUCACUUGUUCCUGUUUUGUUAACUAGUUUAUGUCUUGUUUCUUAACUUUCAUUUGCAAUGAAUGGUUAAAAAUAUAAAAUCAAUGAUAUAAAUGCUAUGAAGGGACAGUUCAAACAAAGAAUCUCAGCCAUCAUUGUUCCAUUACAAGCUUAGGUUUCCCUUCUUUUUGCAUUCAUUUUUUGGGGGUUUUUGUAUUUUUCUCUGGUCAAAUUAGUUAUAAUUCAUCAGCAUGUACGUUUGACGGCCAGUGAUUUCAGGGAAAUUUUCGAUAUGUACUUUAUAUUAGCAAUUAAAGAGGUUAACAGGAGAGAUAAUAUCUUUGCAUUCUUCUCUGCAAUUUGUUCAUGGAUUUUUGUUGGGACCUUUCAGUUCAUUCUACAUUGAUAUCGAAUUUCUUCAUGUUAUUUGAGACUAGCAAAUAUGGUGGUCAAAAUUUGCAAGAAAAUUGAGUAGACCAGUCUCCUGCAUUAGUUAGAUCCUCCAAAAUUCUACAACUUACUAAGAGUUUCACUUCAUCAGUCCAAAAGCUUAACUGCUCGUCUUUCUUGUACUGGCUGCAUUAGUUAGAUUCUCAACUGGUUGCAUGGACUAAAUGUGACACUGACUAAUCGUCUUUCUUGUUCACUUUAUACUGUGUGGUCUUUCUAACAUUGCAAUUAUAUAUUCAUUUAUCCUGGGCCUCUUCUCAUCCUUUCCCAUUUCCAUUUCCAUGUUGAUGUCAUCUUAUAAAAUUAAUCAGGAAAAAGAAAGCUGUUUAUACUUCACAGUUUUGCCAUCUAUUUUAGGGAGAAAUAAGAGCCUGGCAGUUAGCCUUCUGAAACCUAGCUUGUCUUUCCCAAAUCCUUUUCCGUUGUUUCCAUUCGUUGAUACAGGGAUGUGCUGGAGCACUGUGUUGUCGUUAGGAUUCUGAGAAAGUAAACCUUUAUCGAUGGAAAACCGUGUAACGUCAAACGAAAUUUAUAUAUUCAUCAUUUUUAGUUGAUUUUCUGUAUUAUAUUUUAUAUAUACAAGUAAUUGCAUUGUUAAUAAAUUAUAUUAUUUGAGGGUACUUUUAAUAUUUUACUAUAUGCAUAUAACACUGCAGUAUAAGCUAGAUGGAUCUCCCUCUUUAAAAAGACCAUAGAAAUCUUGGUUGUUUUUGCAAAUUUCAUUAUAUGCCAACAAGAUUGAGAAAUGUGAUCAAAUUGUGAUACAUUCACUUUUCCUUGUAGGUUUGAUGGUCAGAGGAUGCUGAUGGUGAUUGGGACUGUGUGCAAACUUUAGGUGAAUCUAGCAAGUACUAAGCCUAGAACUCUUUCUAUUUGUUCUGUUUCAAUUCAUUUUCUUGUUCAUUGUAUUGCUUGAUAUGUACUUUUAUAUGUACCUAUUAAGUAUUGUGGUGAUGUCUUUGAAAUUUGUAUUAUACCUUAAAGAUUUUUGUCCACUAGUUUAUUAAGUUUUCGGACUACUAAAAACUCUUGUUCCACUAGUUUAUGGUCAGUGGUCAGGGGACUCAGCUUGCUGCUGCAGAUGGUCUUGAAUGCAAAUUCAGGUGUGAGUUUCAGAUAUUUUAUGUGCAAAAAAGUAUUAGAGUGCCUUAUGUUUGUAUGUUAGUUAAGCAGAUUAUAGAUAGAACCUGCAGUAGGAUCAACUAAUUAGUUGAUCAAAAACUACACCUAGUUUUGUAAUAGUCUACUUGCAUAUUUGCAUAUAUUUAAUAAUAAUCUCGUGUCAACUAAUUAUUCUAUUUUUUAUUUAAUUGUUUUGUUUUCAACCUUUUAUUUUUAUUUAGUUGAAAGAAGAAAAAAAAUGAAUUGUAAUUUUGACUUAGAAAAUAGAAUAUUCAUUAGCAGCUUAAUCAAUUUAAAUAAUCAAUGUUGAUAUUUCACAGGGGAAUGGAUAUUCAAAUCUUAUAUUUUACAUGGUUAUGAUUUAAGUCCUUAUUUCAUUUAAGUAACUUCAUUAUAAUAUCUUAUUUUAUCGAUAUCUUUAUAUUUAAUCUAAUUUUUAUUAUUUAUUUUAGUUUUGAUUCUAAAUUUUUAUUUUUAUUUUAAUAUUUAAGAUAACUUGAGUUUUAACUUUUGAAUUUUAAUUGUGUUAUUAAUUUAUUAUUUUAAAUUUUAAAUUUAAAUUCAUUAAUUUUUGUAUUUAGUUUUAAAGUUAAAAUUUUAAUAGAAAAUUUAAUUUGAUAAUGAAUUUUAAUAGAAUUUUAAUAGGAAAUUUUUAUAUUUAUAUCAUGGAUAUUAUUCUUCUCAAUAUUUUGAUAAUGAAUUUUAAACUUUUUAUAUUUUUCAUGACUUUUAUAAUAUUUUAUUUUUUAAAAUUUUAUGACCUUUAGCAGCGUUUGCAGGAAAAGCGCCGCUAAAAGUCCUGGUCUUUAGCGGCGUUUUUUUUGAAAAAAUGCCGCUAAGUUUUGCGGCGUUGCAUAUAGCGACGUUUUUUGCGGUGCUUGGGAAAGCGCCGCUAAAGGUAAAAAAAAUGCCGUUAAAAGUCUAUUUUCCUGUAGUGAAAGAAUGAACCUUUUUUGUGUGUGUCAAUAAAUAGUUACAGAAAAAAAAAAAGCAAAAACAAAUCUUGAGAAGAAAGAAAGUUUAUGUUUUUCAAACAAAUUGAAGAAAAAACAGAUGUUUUAAGUGAAACCCCUCACUUCAUUGGGUUGGUUAAAUUGGGCCAUUUUUAAUUGAAAAGAUUUGUCUCUUCCUUAUCUAACCAGUUUUUUUUUUCUUUUAAAAAAUGGUUUCUUGCACUCAUAGCAAAUAAUGAGGACUUUCUCCUUGGUAGACUCAAGUUUGAGUCCUUCUUUCAUUCGAAAUUCUCUUACUUUGUUGGACCUUAUAAAUCUCUUGAAUCUUUUAGCAACAUAUCCAUCUCUUUGUUUUAAUUCACCUUUUCACUUGAUUCACUAUCGUCAUUAGUGGUGGAUUUUAAAGCUUUACCAACAUUCUUCUUUAUAACUCUUUCUUCUUCACUCUCUUUGUUAAGCCUCAUCUCAUGUGUAAGCAAAGGACUGAUGAACUUAUCAAGGGAGAGUGAGCUGAGAUCCCUUGAUUCUUCUAUUUCCAUCACUUUAGCUUCUCAAGGUGUUGGGAGACAUCUUCUUCUCCAUCUCAUUAUUGGGAUAGGUCUUCCCAAGGGCCUUGAGACUAUUAAUGAUGUGGGUGAAGCGAUUGGUCAUCUCUUUGAUUCAUUCUUCUGAUUUUACCUUAAACAACUCAUAAUUAAGGGUGAGAAGACUUAUCUUGGACUUAUUAACUCUACUGUCACUUCAUGGGUGACUUCAAGCUUGUAUCAUAUUGCUCUUCCAUUGUCACACAAGGAGACUCUAUUGUACACAUUUGGACCAAGAGCACAAAAUAGAGUGUGCAUAGCUUUUGCAUUUAAUUGCACCUUCUUGACAUCAUUAUCAUUCCAUUCACUCUCUUCUUUUGGGAUAAAAACACCUUCGACCCUCUUUAUUGGAAUGGAUGGUCCAGUAGUAAUUAUCCUCCAAACUUCAUAAUCGUUAGCUUGGAUGAAUAGUUUCAUUAUUGUUUUCAAUAUGAGUAGCUGGUGUCAUUGAAUAAAUGAGGCCUCAUGGUGGAAUGCCCUUCGCCCAAUAUGGUGGAAAUUUUUUCCAAUGCCACGAAGCAAAUUUCUUGACUUAUGGCUUCCAUCUUAGAUAUCUUGAGGAUCUUCUCUUUUGGUUGUAAAACUGUCUCUAAAGUUCUAGCUCUGAUACCAAUUGUUAGAUCAGAAUGAUCAACUCGAGAUCAUCGAUAGAGAGGUUGAAUUGGCCUUUGAGAAAUUAUAGUGGAAGUAAUGAAAAAUAUACAACAAAGAACACAAUGAUUUAUAGUGGUUCGACCCCAAUUGCCUACUCUACUACUUUAGCUUACCACAACUAAGGAUUCCCCCAAAUUUACGAAUUUUGCAACCUUGGAGGAUAAGGUUUAAACUUACAAUCUCUCUUCAGAUUUAUGCCCCAAAAUCUUAAUAUACAACUCUCUUAAGGUUUCUGCCUAAAUCUUAAGGAUUAACCCUCUCUAAAAUAGAAACAAGUAAGCAAGCAAAGAAAUAAUCCUUACAAGAUCAAGAUGUUUGUAAAUUAAGUUCAAAUACAAAGAAGAACACUUAAGCUAAAUGGAUACAAUGAAAGCUCACGAGUGUUUACUAGAAAAUAUAUGAAAGAAUUAAGCUCUAGGUUGUUUUGAUUGAUCUUUAAGCAUUUCACAUUGCUCUUAUUCUUGCUAAACCUUUGGAAGAUGGUAUUUGUACCCUCUAAUUGAUUUCCAACCGUUAUGGUUGUUGUAGAAGUGAAUGUAGCUAUUGGAGAUAAAAUAUCAGAUCAUUAACUUCACCUGUAGCAACGAGUAUCGAUACCAACUAAAAGGGUAUCGAUAUUUUUUUUGCAAUUAAUAUUGAUUUCAGUGGCCGUUGAAGCAGGAAUAUCGAUACCUUAGAAAAUAUAUGGAUACCUUAAAAAAAGUAUCGAUGUUGGAUCGAAACCUACCAGGGUUUGAAAAUGGUUGAAUAUUAAUUUGGUAUCAAUUAUCAAAGGGGUAUUGAUAUCUUGUAAAAUAUCGAUACUUAUACAAAAAGUAUCGAUACUUUUUUUCCUGGUGCAAUUCUAACUAGUUUGAAAAUAGUUAAAACAUAUUUGAAAAUGUUUGACUCAACUGAAACCAUUUCAACUUGAUUUGAUGAAAUGUUCAGCUUUAUUUUUAUUUAAAAAUACUUUGAUUUGUUAUAUCAAAACAUAUUAUCCAAUAAGGCUUAGUUUAACAAUAAGCUCUUCCAAACCCCAAUUCACCAAACGCUACAAUUAGAGGGUUUGACUGCUCAAUCCUCCAUUUGUGCCCAUAUCAGCUAAAAAAUCUCAAAACUCUAUUUAUCAAACACUCUUACUAUAUUCAAAUGCAAAUAUAAAAUUAGGGGGGACUAAUAAAACACUUUAAAAACUUAGAAACAAAGGAAAUAUAUGAUAAAUAAGACCUAAAAUGAACCUUUACUAAGGUCUCAUCUUCAUAAACUUUAAGAGUGAUAAUACUGAUACUUAGUAACAACAAAAUUAUUUUGCCCAACAUAAAAAUUCUCCACCAUUGUCGCUUCAAAAAUUACAAGUACAUGGUGUCAUUGAAAGAUAAUAUUUACAAUGAAAUAAAUCCAUUGAAGGAAGUAUUCUUAUGAUCAAAUCCAAGGGGAAGAAUUGCUACCAUUAUCAAAAACUUAUUUAUUUCACUCAUUAAAAUAACUAAACACUAUAGUAAUUGAAUUGAGAAACCAGGUAAAUAGCACAAAUGAUGAAAACGAUUUGAUUAAAAAAUAUAUUAAAUAAAUAAAAUAAAAUAAAAUAACCAAUCACAAUAUCACGUGAUGCUUAAAAGAGGAAGAAUCCAGUAACAACUACAACAUUGACAAUGCCAAUGAUGGCUUUAGUUGCAUCAGAAUUAAAUGGCGCUGGUGCAAGACUGUCAUUAUUGAAAUUCGGGCUUUCUCUAUCAACUGCAUCGCCCUUGCUCUUUAGAGCGUGGAGAAGAGACAAAACUUUGUCAGUGACAUUUGGUGAAUGAGGGGAUGAGACGUCCUCAAUUGACUCAGUGCCAAAAGAGGAUCCUUCCUUGGUAUCGGGGCUAUCACUUUUGCUAUGGCUAGGAGAGGAAGAGCUUGAGAAACUCUUUGGGGCUCCAACAGGAGAUGAUUUGGGUGCUCUUCCGUCGGAAGAGGACUUGGUAGAGGAAGCCGAGGAAGAAGAAGAUGGCGACUUUAUAGGGGAAGAAGCCUUGGAAGGGGUUGGUGAAGGUGAUUUAUCAGUGGCAAAUGCCCCAACCACGGCUAUGAAAACAAGUGCAACAACAAUAAGAUCUUGGCGGGCCAUCUUUCUCUUUUGUUUCUCGAUAGAUUCUUAUAUAUGUAUUAACUUUUCUUUGAUGAAGUAUUGAUGUGCGUUUAUAUAUAUUUCUUUAUGUAACGGAAUUGCUCUUUUUUUUUUGGACGAUACUAAACCAUUUUAACACCUUACAAAAAUAUUUUAAGGUUUUGUUGCAUUUUUGUGAGGGCUUUUUAACUUUUAUUUGCUAGGAAAUUAAUUUAGAAAUAAAAUGCUAAUUUAGUAUUUAAUAUUUGGUAUAUACUAAUAUUUUUCCUUUUAAAUUGUACACUAAACCAAAUAUAGAGAUAACCAUAUUUUAGCUUAUAACAAAACCUUUCAAUUGUUUGAUUCAUGUUUUUUAGUUGUUCAGUUUGAAUUUUGUAAGGUGAAAAAUAAGAUUUAUUAGAUAGAAAGUCUAAGGUUUUAUCUUGAUUUCUUUAGUGAAUAAAAAUAAAUACUAAUAUAGUUAAAAUAAUCUUGAAUAUGUUAUAUUAAAUUAUUAUAAUAUAGAAUUUUAAAUUUAAAUAUAGAUGUUUAAAGGAAUAAUUAUAUAAAAUACCUUCAACAUUUAGGGAUUUUUGUUUAGGGAUUUUAGGUUUUGUGUCCUCAACCUUUUUUAUAUAUAUUGACAACCUUAGCAUUAUGAUUUUUUUAGAAAUCAGUCCAAUUUUAACGGUAAACGUGAGUUGACCUUCAGUCAAGUACCGGUCAACAAAGUAAGCCUAUAUGACAUCAUAAAUGAUGUCAUCUAUUCUUUUUCAUUUUGUUUUUAUCUUUUUUUUCUUCUCCUCCCCCUAAAAAAAUAUAAAAAUUUAAGUACAUGUAGGUUAACCAAAAAUUUAACAUGAAUUAUGGACUGAAUUGAAAAUUUUCAAACCUUGUUUUUCUUUUCCUUUGACUCUGGAUUGAAGGAUUUCAUUAAAGAAGAUAGCCAUUUUACUUUCUUUCCAACAUUUUCUUUCCUCGAAAUGAUCCUUCAAACAAAAAAUCCAUGAUCUAUCAUGUUAAUGUAUAUUUAUUAACACAAUCCAAAACAUGAUUAAAAACCAAGCUAAAAAAGUUUUAUUUUUUCCCUACUUUAGCUAAAAAUUGUCUCUCUUAUUUUCCCAAAUUUUCUCACCAACCAAACAGAACAAAAAAAAACUGCUAUUUGAAGUUUUAACAAAAUUGGGAAUGUACCCAGAUUUCGAAAAAGAGUACCUGAAAUUGUAAUGCCCAAAUCUCAAGAAACUCGAAAGAAUGAACCUUUUUUGUGUGUGUUGGUAUAUAGUUAGAGAAAAAAGCAAAAACAAAUCCUGAGAAGAAGGAAAGUUUAUGUUUUUCAAACAAAUUGACGAAAAAAUAGCUGUUUUAAGUGAAACCCCCACUUUAUUGGGUUGUUCAAAUUGGGCCAAUUUUAAUUGAAAAGAUUUGUCUCUUCCUUACCUAACUGGUUUUUUUUUCUUUUAAAAAAAAUGGUUUCUUACACUCAUAGCAAAUAAUGAGGUAUUCCUCCUUGGUAGAUUCAAGCUUGAGUCCUUCUUUCAUUCAAAAUUCUCUUUCUUUGUUGGACCUCAUGAAUCUCUUGAAUCUUCUAGAAACAUCUCCAUCUUUUUGUCUUAAUCCACCUCUUCACUUGAUUCACUAUCGUUAUUAGUGGUGGAUUUUAAAGCUUUACCAACAUUCUUCUUUAUAACUUUUUUUUUCACUCUCUUUGUUAAGCCUCAUCUCAUGUGUAAGCAAAUGACCGAUGAGCUUAUCAAGAGAGAGUGAGUUGAGAUCCUUUGAUUCUUCUAUUUCCGUCACUUUAGCUUCUUAAUGCAUUCGGAAACUAUUCAACAUCUUCUUCACCAUCUCAUUAUUGGGAUAGGUCUUCUUAAGGGCUUUGAGACCAUUAAUGAUGUGGGUGAAGGGAUCGGCCAUCUCCUUGAUUCAUUCUUCCGAUUUUGCCUUAACAACUCAUAAUCAAGGCUGAGAAGACUUGUCUUGGACUUAUUAACUCUACUGUCGCUUCAUAGGUGACUUCAAGCUUGUCUCAUAUUUCUCUUCCAUUGUCACACAAGGAGACUCUAUUGUACUCAUUUGGACCAAGAGCACAAAAUAGAGUGUGCAUAGCUUUUGCAUUUAAUUUCACCUUCUUGACAUCAUUAUCAUUCCAUUCACUCUCUUCUUUUGGGACAAAAACACCUUCGACCCUCUUUAUUGGAAUGUAUAGUCCAGUAGUAAUUAUCCUCCAAACUUCAUAAUCGUUAGCUUAGAUGAAUAGUUUCAUUGUUGCUUUCCAAUAUGAGUAGCUGGUGUCAUUGAAUAAAUGAGGCCUCAUAGUGGAAUGCCCUUCGCCCAAUAUGGUGGAAAUUUGUUCCAAUGCCAUGAAGCAAAUUUCUUGACUUAUGGCUUCCAUCUUAGAUAUCUUGAGGAUCUUCUCUUUUGGUUGUAAAACUGUCUUUAAAGUUCUAGCUCUGAUACUAAUUGUUAGAUUGGAAUGAUCAACUCGAGAUCAUCGAUAGAGAGGUUGAAUUGGCCUUUGAGAAAUUAUGGUGGAAGUAAUGAAAAAUAUACAACAAAGAACACAAUAAUUUAUAGUGAUUCGACCCUAAUUGCCUACUCUACUACCUUAGCUUACCACAACUAAGGAUUCCCCCAAAUUUACGAAUUUUACAACCUUUGAGGAUAAGGUUUAAUCUUACAAUCUCUCUUAAGAUUUAUGCCCCAAAAUCUUAAUAUACAACUCCCUUAAGGUUUCUACCUAAAUCUUAAGGAUUAACCCUCUCUCAAAUAGAAACAAAUAAGCAAGCAAAGAAAUAAUCCUAACAAGAUCAGGAUGUUUGUCAAUUAAGUUCAAAUACAAAGAAGAACACUUGAGCUAAAUGGGUACAAUGAAAGCUCACAAGUGUUUACUAGAAAAUGUAUGAAAGAAUUAAGCUCUAGGUUGUUUUGAUUGAUCUUUAAGCAUUUCACAUUGCUCUUAUUCUUGGUAAACCUUUGGAAGAUAGUAUUUAUACCCUCUAAUUGAUUUCCAAUCGUUGUGGUUGUUGUAGAAGUGAAUGUAGCUAUUGGAGAUAAAAUAUCAGAUCAUUAACUUCACCUGUAGCAACGAGUAUCGAUACCAACUAAAAGGGUAUUGAUAUUUUUUGCAAUUAAUAUUGAUUUUAGUGGCCGUUGGAGCAGGAAUAUCGAUACCUUAGAAAAUAUAUAGAUACCUUAAGAAAAGUAUCGAUGUUGGAUUGAAACCUACUAGGGUUUGAAAAUGGUUGAAUAUUAAUUUGGUAUUGAUUAUCAAAGGGAUAUCGAUAUCUUGUAAAAUAUCGAUACUUAUACAAAAAGUAUCGAUACUUUUUUUCCUGGAGCAAUUUUAACUAGUUUGAAAAUAGUUAAAACAUAUUUGAAAAUGUUUGACUCAAUUGAAACCUUUUCAACUUGAUUUGAUGAAAUGUUCAACUUUACUUUUAUUCAAAAAUACUUUGAUUUGUUGUAUCAAAACAUAUUAUCCAAUAAGGCUUAGUUUAACAAUAAGCUCUUCCAAACCUCAAUUCACCAAAAGCUACAAUUAGAGGGUUUGACUACUUAAUCCUCUAUUUGUGCCCAAAUCAGCUAAAAAUGGCUCAAAACUCUGUUUAUCAAACACUCUUACUAUAUUCAAACGCAAAUAUAAAAUUACGGGGGACUAAUAAAACACUUUAAAAACUUAGAAACAAAGGAAAUGUAUUAUAAAUAAGACUUAAAAUGAACUUUUACUAAGGUCUCAUCUUCGUAAACUUUAAGAGUGAUAAUAAUGAUAUUUAGUAACAACAAAAUUAUUUUGCCCAACAUAAAAAUUCUCCACCAUUGUCGCUUCAAAAAUUACAAGUCCAUGGUGUCAUUGAAAAAUAAUAUUUACAAUGAAAUAAAUCCAUUGAAUGAAGUAUUCUUAUGAUCAAAUCCAAGGGGAAUAAUUGCUACUAUUAUCAAAAACUUAUUUAUUUCACUCAUUAAAAUAACUAAACACUAUAGUAAUUGAAUCAAGAACCAGGUAAAUAACACAAAUGAUGAAGACGAUUUGAUUAAAAAUAUAUUGAAUAAAUAAAUAAAAUAAAAUGACCAAUCACAAUAUCAUGUGAUGCUUAAAAGAGGAAUUAUCCAGUAACAACUACAAUAUUAACAAUGCCAAUGAUGGCUUUAGUUGCAUCAGAAUUAAAUGGUGCUGGUGCAGGACUAUCAUUAUUAUAAUUCAGGCUUUCUCUAUCAACUGCAUCGCCCUUGCUUUUUAGGGCAUGGAGAAGAGACAAAACUUUGUUAGUGACAUUUGGGGAAGGAGGGGAUGAGACGUCCUCAACUAACUCAGUGUCAAAAGAGGAUCCUUCCUUGGCCUCGGGGCUAUCGCUUUUACUAUGGCUAGAAUAGGAAGAGCUUGAAAAACUCUUUAGAGCUCCAAUAGGAGAUGAUUUGGGUGCUCUUCCGUCGGAAGACUACUCGGUAGAGGAAGUCGAGAAAGAAGAAGAUGGCAAUUUUGCAGGGGAAGAAGCCUUGGAAGGGGUUGGUGAAAGUGAUUUAUCGGUGGCAAAUGCCCCAACCAUGGCAAUGAAAACAAGUGCAACAACAAUAAGAUCUUGGCGGGCCAUCUUUCUCUUUUGCUUCUCGAUAGAUUCUUAUAUAUGUAUUAACUUUUCUUUGAUGAAGUAUUGAUGUGUAUAUAUAUAUUUCUAUAUGCAACGGAAUUACUUUUUUUUUGGAUGAUACUAAACCAUUUUAACAUCUUACAAAAAUAUUUUAAGGUUUUGUUGCAUUUUUGUUAGGGUUUUUUAACUUCUAUUUACUAGGAAAAUUAUUUAGAAAUAAAAUGCUAAUUUAAUAGUUAAUGUUUGGUAUUAGAUUUUUUCCUUUUAAAUUGUACACUAAACCAAAUAUUGCGAUAACUAUAUUUUACCUUAUAACAAAACCUUUCAAUUGUUUGAUUCAUUUUUUUUAGUUGUUGAGUUUGAAUUUUGUAAGGUGAAAAAUAAGAUUUAUUAGACAGAAAUUUGAAGGGUUUAUCUUGAUUUUUUUAGUGAAUAAAAAUACAUAUUAAUAUACUAGUUUUAAUGACACAUUAGAUAUUAUUAUAAUAUAGUUAAAAUGAUGUUGAAUAUUGUAAUGACCCAAAUUUUUAGGUCAUCGGAAAAGUGAUUUUUUGGGUCUUCGAUUUUGAAAAUUAGAUUCAUAAAUAUUUAUUAGAAAUAUUUACGAAGUUAAGUGAGAGGUUAAUUAGAUUUUAAUUAAGUAAAUUUAGCUUAAUCAAGGCUAAUUUAGUGAAAGGAGUAGACUGAAUAUAGUGUAAAAGUUUAAUUAUAAACUAUAAAAAAUUCAAGGGACUAAAUUAGCAAAUAAGCCUUAGGAGACAAGUGUGUGGUAUGUAUGAAUACAUUUGUAUUAUUUUAAUUGGUACAAAUGUAUGUAUAAAUAAGUAUUUACUUAUUAAAUAAGAAAUAAUAAUAAUGAUUAAAGUAUAUUAUAAUAAUAGGGAGAAGGAUUAAAUUGUGAAAGAAAAUAUAGGUUUUGCAAUAAUAGGGAUUUAAUUGAGAAGAUGUUAUAAUUAGUGUUUUAUGCUGAAAAUUUAAGAAUUGGAAUAGUUUAAAAUGAUAAUUGAAUGAAAAUAUAGGAUUUAUUUUGAAGAAAAAGAAUGGUUAUGGUGGAAGGACUAAAUUGGAAUUUAAGUAAAAGAUACAUAGAAAUACAAGAGUGUGUUAUUAAAUAAUAUAUAUUGAUAAUUUUAAAUGUUAAAUUUUAUGUAGCCAACGUAGCACAGGAAACAUCAUCGAAAAAGGGAAAGGAGAAAGUGAACGAGGAUAUCGAGUAAACUCGAGAAAUUUGGUUUGUAUUUCUAUAAACUAUGCUUAAUGAUUUAAUACAAUGUAAUUGCUAUUCUUAAUAGUUAGAAUGUAUAAUGAAUGAUAUGAUGGAAAAUAUUACUGUUUUUGUAUUAUAAUGAUAUGAUUUGAAUACCCUAUUAACAGUGUCGGGCUAGUCGGAUAUAAUUGGCAUGCCAUAGGAUUAGAAGUAUUAAGGGAUAUUCUGACUGUGUGUCGAUGAGACACUAUAUGUGUCGAUUACUGUGACUGUUUCGGAUUCGUUCCGAAGAGGUACUCUGUACCUGACUAUGACUAUUACUGCUGCUGUUACUGUUACCCUACAUUGUAUUCCGGUUUCGGCCGAUGAAACACUAUACAUUAUCCCCAGUGUGUGGGUUAGAUCCGUAUAUCCGUCCAGGUCUGAGUUAUGUUAAUAGGGGUAAUUUAAAGUACUAAAGACAAAGACUGACUGCUAUUGAUUAUGUGACGGUGACUGUUAUACAAGUAUUGAAAGAUAUUGAAUGAUAUGAAAAGUAUAAAAAGAAUUGUUUAAAUAAAUUUAAGAGCUAUAAGUUAAAGGUAAGUGAUGAAGCUAAUAAGAUUAUGAAAUAAAAAGUUAUGUUACAAUGAAUAUACAUAGCUUAUUAUUGUUUUAAGUAUUAGUUUAUAAAAAUACCACUGAGUGUAUACUCAGCGUACGGUAUGUUUCCGUGCGCAGGUCUAAAUACAAAAGAAAGUUAAGAACUCAACAUCCAAGCCAACCCCAGACUCAAAGUGAGGAAUACUUUUCUUUUGGUAAAAUGGCAUGUACCUAGGUUGUUAAGAUGUUAUUUUGUAUAUGAUAGUGUAUAAACAUGAAAGUUGUUGAAGCAUGGUAUGAAAUAUGUCAAAACCUCCUUUUAAAUGGGUAUUUUGAAAAUGGGAGUCGCCACCAACCUUUUAAAGUGUGAUUGGAUCACCUUAUAAAACAUUUUGGUUUACGAAAUUAUGAGAAAAUGGGCUCGGGAGUCGGUUACGUACGAGGAAGGGUUAGCACCCUCGUAACGCCCAAAAUUGGUACCAAAUUGAAUAGUUUUGUCUUAAUGUCAAAAGCUUGAAAGAAUUUAGCAAUAAGAUCUCUUUUAAAAUCGUAACAAUUUGAGUUGAAAAUUGAAAUUCUUUUGUCCCAAAAGAAUGCGAACAUCACAUCCAGCAUGAUUGGACGUGAUGUUCUUAAACUUUUGUAACUAAAAAUCAUCUCGUAAUUUGCAAAGUCUAUUAAAAAGGAUACUUUAGAUAUUUAGACAAAUGGGAAAUUGCAACCCAGCAUGUUAGGGCACUAUUUCCCGAAUUCCUAAAUAUAAAAGACAUUGCCUUGUUUUUAAGAUUCCUUUGGAUUAGAUGAAAUAUAAAAAAAAAAAAUUUAAAAUGUUGAUGCAUUUAACCUAUUACAAAAGAUCAAUAUUGGAUUAAUUAAACUACAUACUUUAACAUUUCAUACAAAUAUAAUGUGGAAAAUGGUAAAUACGACAUAAAUCACAAUAUGCUUUAACAUUUCAUGCAUACAUAAUCAUAAAUGACAUGAAUAAUACACAUUAUCAUUUCAUACAAAAGUACAAAGCAGCAAGAAUAAUGAAUAUUAAACAUAUAUAAUAAUAUUUCAUGCGAAUAUAUUUUUAAAAUAAUAACAUAAAAUGAUCAAUUUGCACGUGAAUACAUAAUAAUAAAUAACAUGAUAAAUAACAAAUAAUUUAUAAGAUGAAAUUAGCGUGUUAAAACAAUACCUAAUAAAAGAAGGAUAAAAAAACAAAAUGAAAACAAUAACAAAAUAUUAAGCAAUAUAUAAGUAAUAAAAAAUUUUAAAAAUAUAUAUUAUUUAAUAGUAGCUUGAUAUAUUUAUAAAAAAAGGAUGUUAAAUUAGAACAAAAUUUUGCAGUAAAUUUUAAAUAUAGACAUUAAAUAUAUAUAAUAACAAUAUAUGUAUUAGUUUAUAAUAAGUUAGAAAUUUAAAUUUUUUAUACUAAUAAAUAAUAAAUAAUGAAAUGAUAUAUAAUAUAUAAUAAAAGAAAGAUAAUAUAGGUAAUAAUAUAUAAUAAUAUAAGAUAUGUAAUAAAAAAUAUAAACAAAAUAUAAUGAAAUAUAAUAAUAUGAUAACUAUCAUAUAAAUAAGGAUAAUAUAUAUACUAUUAUUUAAUAAUAAUUAAAAAAAUUAAAAUUUUACACAAUUAAUGAAUAAUAAAAUAAUACAUAAUUUAUAAUAAAAUAAAAAUAAAAAAUGCAAGGAAUAAUAUAUAUAGUAAAACAUAUAAUGUAUAAUAAAAUUUAUAAAUAAAUGUAUAAUAAUUAAAAUAAUAUAAUGAAUAAUAUAUAAAUAAAAAAUAAUAUAUAUUAUUUUAUAUAACUAAUAUUUAUAAAAAUAAAUAAUAUAUAAGGUAUUUAUUAAAUAAAUUAUGCAAAAAUAUUUAAAAGGAUUAAAAUUAAAUAAAACUAGGGUUCUAGGGCUAAUUUUAAAAUAAAAAAAAUUAGGCCUAAUUGGAACGCAUUCAAAACUACAAGGGACUCACUGGGCAAUUUGCCCUAAUCCCAUAAAACGACUUCGUUCCCAGAAUAGGCUUUAAUAGCCAUUAGGACUAGAUUGAAUUAAUCAUAGAAGACUGGGGUCAAUUUAAAAUAAAAACAAAAUGAAAUUGUAAAGAUUAAAAAUGCGGAAGGACUAAUUGGGCAAUUAGCCCAUUUAAACGAAAACACGCAGAUCUCAUCCGGUUCUCGAGUCAACACGCGGAUCCUGGGUUUAAACGGUGCCGUUUUGGUACUUAUCAGAUUAAGCAAAAACGACACCGUUUCUAUUAUGCUAUUUAAGUUAGUUUUUUGGGCCAAAAUUCAUUUUAGAAACUGUUUUUUUUUUUAAAAAAAAACUUUGAAACUCUCUGAAAUGAGAGAGGAAAGGGCAGUCCGGGCUCCGGUCUCCAAUUGCUGGGCAGCACACCCACGCGCCACACGCGCCACCGUAUGCGGUGGUCAGAAGGUUAAAAACCUUCGUCUUUCCAGGCGAAACACAGGUAACUUCUUCCCUCUUUUAAAUACUGAUGUUUUUUUUUAAAAAGAAACAAUUCAUACAUGUAGAACAACAGGAAGUAAAUCAAAAAUGUAACUGAAUCACCUUUUCCACAAUGAAACUGUUCGUCUCCCUUGUGUAUAUGUGUAUAUCUGUUUAUAUCUGUAAAAUCUGUGUUCUUUUUAUUGAAUCUGUGUGUAUAUUCAAAAAAAACUGUAGUAUUACAAAAGAUCAAAAAAAGGGGUUUUUAUAACCCUUUGUUACAUUUUAGGAAAGAAUCCUUUGAUUUCU